CUGGUAUGCUUGCUGUUGUUUCUCGCGUUGUUAAUUUUUUGUGUGUGUUGAUUUGAUUAACAACUCAAGCGUAUCUUUUUUUUUUGUGUUGGUUAGCAGCCAGUUUUAUGGCCCCGAUCUAGUGAUGCUUCUCAGUGACUGUGGUAAUUGCAGUUCAUUGCCACCAGUUGGUCAGCUACCUGCUCUGAAAGAGCUAUACGUAGAAGGGAUGAAAGUUGUUAAGAGUGUUGGUGUUGAGUUGUACGGGGGAAAUCAACCAUUUCAAUGUUUAGAGAAGCUAAAGUUUCGGGAGCUAUAGCAGCCUAGUCCAAGUGGAUGUGAAAGUCCAGACUUUCCUCAUCUUAAGGAGCUGGGGUUAUACGAAUGUCCGAAGCUGAGAGGAAACUUGCCCACUCAUCUUCCCUCCUUGAAAACACUUCAUGUGAACAAGUGUGAGGUUCUACAUAAAAACAGGGCCAGUAAUACCCUGAACGUGGAAUCCUUACGAGGAUCUCUUGAAAAACUGACAAUAAAUGGAUGCCCGGGUCUCUCAUUGUUACUAGAGUCGACGGAGACGCUGCCGUCGCUUCAGAAGCUUGAUAUUGAUAAUGUGGUGGGAAAGAGUUGUUGGCGCAAAUGGUGCACAACAGCAAUCGUCUUCAAAGUUUGACUUUAUAUAAAUGUUCCUCACCCUUGUCGUUCCUUACAAAUGGUCUGCCCACCACGCUGACAUCACUGAGCAUAACAGAUUGCAAGAAAUUAGAAUUCCCAUCACGUGAGAUGAUGGCCAAAUUGACUUCCCUUCAGUCUUUGCGUCUAUCCAACAGCUGUGAACGCAAAGGCUUGAGUAUUUGCAGUUUAGUUUUUUUUUUCUUCAUUUUAGAGAUUUUUCUACUGUUUGGUUUUUGGGUUUUGUCUAAUUUUUGUGGUCUGCUUUAUAGAUUGUUCUCUUUGGAAGCUUCUUUCCAGCCUUGACCUUCUUCUUGCCUGGUGCCUUCUCAUUGAGUAUUGGAGGAGCAUUAAAACACAGGUGUGUGUGUUUUGUCGACAUAAGAGAUGAAUGACAUAAAAACAUCCGUCUCUGUAUUUUUUUGUGCUUUUUCUAACCCAUCAAUUUCUUUUGAGUCAACCAAAUAGUCCCAAAUUGCAACUUAUGUUGUGAGGUAUUAUUGUCUAAAAUUAAGUAUGCAUGUAUAUUUUAUGUUUGUGCCCGCGCACACAUCCGCAUGGUGUUAAUCUCUGUGGGUCAUCUAUGUAUAUGUAGAUAUAUCUAUAUGUGUGUGUGGAAUGCAACAUAUCGGAUUUAGGUUAUACUGUGCAUAGUUUUAUUGCCUGUUAUUAUCUACGAUAUCACUAUGCCAUUUCUAUGCAGGCUCUGAAAGUUAUUCAUGAGCUUUAUAAGCACUUACCAUAAUUUAAGCAGUCUGUUUUGGGUUCUUUUUCAUUAGGUCAUUAGCUACAGAUUAAUGGAGAAACGAGGACCAUGCCACUGAUUUGGGUUCUUUUUCUAAUUUUCUGAUUUUGGGGUUUUGCAGGGAGAACUCCGCCUAUGUACUUACAUUGCCGAUCCCAAGCUCGGAUAAAGGAGGAGGGGGAGGGCGUCAGGUAGUCGACAGUCGGCACUCCAUGAUCACGUCGAAUCCUUAUGAAAAUGAAUUCAGAAUAAAAUUGCGCUAAAGCUAGGGCGUCACCCGUAAGUGGCGCGCUGUGUGGCCCGAGCACAGUGAUAAGUGAGCAAGGGUCGCUGUAUCUCCAUCGGCACCCGGAUGCAGUGUUAAAUGAGCAAGGGGGGCAUAGGAACUUCUUUUCGAACGACUCCACUCAAAGUUGUUUGGGAGCAUAUGCUCCUAUCAACUUUACACGGGACACACAAAAGAAGUACUUUGAUCCUAUUAGACGGGGGAGGGUGAAGAAGCUAGGACAGAAGGGUAGAGUUCAAGAAAGCAAAAUGCGUUUAGGAACGUGGAAUAUAGGAACCUUAACGGGAAAAUCUAUGGAAGUAGUGGAAGUUAUGGUGAGGAGAAGGAUAAAUAUUAUGUGCCUACAAGAAACUAAGUGGGUUGGUAGUAAGGCAAUUGAUCUAGAAAACUCAGGGUUUAAACUUUGGUAUUCGGGCACAAAUAGAACGAGAAACGGUGUUGGCAUCAUCGUGGACAAGACCUUGACACAAGAUGUUGUAGAUGUCAAGAGGGUAGGAGAUAGAAUCAUGGCAAUCAAGAUUGUAAUAGGACAAGAACUUAUCAAUGUGGUUAGUGCGUACGCACCUCAAGUAGGGUUGGAUACGAGUUCGAAGGAGAAAUUUUGGGAAGACCUUGGAGACUUGGUGUAAGGAAUUGCUCAGACGGAGAAGUUAUUUAUAGGAGGAGAUUUAAAUGGACACGUGGGCAGAGAGACAGGCAACUAUGGAGGUUUUCAUGGUGGCCAUGGUUUUGGGGAGAGAAAUGAGGAUGGGGAAGCUAUCUUGGAUUUUGCAAUGGCAUAUGAUCUCUUUUUAGCCAACACCUUCUUUAAGAAGAAAGAAGAACAUGUGAUCACCUACAAGAGUGGGUUGUCAAAAACACAAAUAGAUUUUCUUCUAAUGAGAAACGAGGAUGGGGAAGCUAUCUUGGAUUUUGCAAUGGCAUAUGAUCUCUUCUUAGCCAACACAUUCUUUAAGAAGAGAGAAGAACAUGUGAUCACCUACAAGAGUGGGUCGUCAAAAACACAAAUAGAUUUUCUUCUAAUGAGGAAAGGGGAUCGUAUAACUUGUAAGGAUUGCAAAGUUAUACCAGGAGAGAGCGUGGCUAAUCAACAUCGCUUGUUGGUGAUUGAUGUACAUAUCAAAAGAGUGAGACAAAAGAACAAGACUUGGAAGUGCCCAAGGACUAGAUGGUGGAAUCUAAAAGAAGAAAAACAAGCCAUUUUCAAAGAGAAAGUAAUCAUCCAGUGUGUGGGAUAGAGAUGGGGAAGCUAGCCAAAUGUGGGAUUCAAUGGCUAGUUGUAUCCGAAAAGUAGCAAAAGAGGUAUUAGGAGAGUCAAAAGGCUUUGCCCCACACCAAAAAGAAUCUUAGUGGUGGAAUGAGGAGGUACAAACAAAGGUGAAGGCUAAGAAGGAAUGUUGUAAAGCCUUAUACAAGGAUAGAACUGAUGAAAAUGGUGAAAGGUAUAGAAAAGCGAAGCAAGCUGUGAGAGAAGCUAAGUUAGCGGCUUACGACGAUAUGUAUAAACGACUAGAUACCAAAGAAGGAGAGUUGGAUAUCUAUAAACUAGCUAGAGCAAGGGAAAAGAAGACAAGGGACCUAAACCAAGUGAGGUGCAUCAAGGAUGAGGAUGGAAAUGUUCUUGCUACAGAGAACGCGGUUAAAGACAGAUGGAGAGGUUAUUUUCAUAAUCUUUUCAAUGAAGGACAUGGAAGGAGUGCUUCUUUAGGGGAGUUGAGUAACUCAGAAGAGUGUAGAAACUACUCUUUUUAUCGUCGAAUCCGGAAGGAAGAAGUGAUUGUAGCUUUGAAGAAGAUGAAACAUAGAAAAGCAAUAGGCCCAGACGAUGUACCAAUCGAAGUGUGGAAAGUUUUGGGAGAGACAUGUAUAACAUGGCUCACUGACCUUUUCAAUAGGAUUUUGAAAACGAAGAAGAUGCCAAAUGAGUGGCGAACGAGCACUUUGGUGCCUAUCUACAAGAAUAAGGGCGACGUACAAAAUUGCAUGAACUAUAGGGGUAUUAAGCUAAUGAGUCAUACAAUGAAGCUCUGGGAGAGAGUCAUUGAGCAUAGAUUGAGGCAAGAGACACGGGUUUCGGACAACCAAUUUGGGUUCAUGCCAAGGCGCUUAACCAUGGAGGCAAUCUAUCUCUUACGAAGAUUGGUGGAAAGAUAUAGAGAUGGGAAAAAGGAUUUACACAUGGUUUUUAUAGAUUUGGAGAAAUUCGUAUGAUAGGGUCCCAAUAGACAUUCUUUGGAGGAUUUUAGAGAAGAAAGGAGUACGAGUAGCAUAUAUCCAAGCUAUAAAUGAUAUGUAUGAAUGAGCAAAGACUGCUGUAAGAACUCAUGAAGGACAAACUGAAAGUUUUCCCAUAACUGUAGGAUUACACCAAGGCUCAUCCUUAAGUCCCUACCUUUUUGCGUUGGUAAUGGAUGAGUUAACAAGACAUAUUCAAGAUGAUAUUCCUUGGUGUAUGCUUUUCGCAGACGAUAUAGUGUUGAUAGAUGAAACACAGGAAUGGGUAAAUGCAAAGCUUAACCUUUGGAGAGAAGUGUUGGAAUCUAAAGGUCUUCGCCUAAGCCGAUCAAAGACAAAAUAUAUGGAGUGCAAGUUCAGUGCAAAUGGAGGCCAAAACGAGUUAGGGGUGAGGAUCGGAGAUCAAGAAAUACCAAAGAGCGACCGUUUUCGUUACCUAGGAUCUAUCUUGCAAAAGAACGGAGAAUUAGAUGGAGAUCUCAACCAUAGAAUACAAGCUGGAUGGAUGAAGUGGAAGAGUGCAUCCGGCGUGUUGUGUGACCGCCGUAUGCCACUGAAGCUCAAGGGAAAAUUUUAUAGGACGGCAAUAAGGCCGGCGAUGCUGUAUGGCACAUAAUGUUGGGCGGUGAAGCAUCAACACGUACACAAAAUGGGUGUAGCGGAGAUGAAGAUGCUUCGUUGGAUGUGUGGGCACACGAGAAAGGAUAAGAUUAGGAAUGAGGAUAUCCGGGGUAAAGUAGGAGUAGCCGAAAUUGUAGGAAAGAUGAGAGAAAAUCGGUGACGGUGGUUUGGACAUGUGCCAAGAAGGCCUACUGACGCUCCGAUUAGAAGAUGUGACUACUGGACAGAGGUUCAGGGCCGAAGGGGUAGAGGAAGACCUAGAAAAACUUUGGAAGAGACUCUAAGAAAGACUUAGAGUACCUGGAUCUAACGAAGGACAUGACACAGGACCGAGCAUAAUGGCGUUCUAAGAUUCAUAUAGCCGAUCCCACUCAGUGACUUGGAUUUUCCAAGUCUCCAGCCGAGAAGUUUUCCUCACUCAGGAAAUUAAGGGAACACUACCCCAACCUACAUGCUCCACUCACAAAGCUUCAACAAAAGAAAAUUCAAAGAACUUAGCGAAGAAGGCUUUGAUGUAUUUAACACAAUACGUUGAAAUGAAGGAAAGCUUAUUUAUUGAUAUCAUCGAUAAGCUACAAAUAUGUACAUAUACAUAAGUCAAAAUAAACAAACAAGAGGGAGCCUUCACAAAGGUUGCUUAGGAGAAGUCUCAGCAGUCGGUAGAGCCCCAGAAAGAGAAGGCACCGGAGGGGGAUCAUUCGGAGCCUCAGUACUGGACAGAACCCUAGAAGGAGGAGGCAUAAGAGGUUGAUCAUUUGGUGCUUCAUUACGCGGUACAGCCCCAGAAGACGAAGGCAAUAAAUGCCUUUGGAACAAACCCACAAAUCUCUGAUGAUCAAGUAAAACCUGACCAUCAGAUUCCUUCAUCUGGUCAAGCUUCCUCUUCAUGUUUGUAGCAUAGUCAUGUGCGAGCCGGUGCAACUGUUUAUUCUCAUGCUUGAGCCCUCUAAUCUCCUGUUUGAGACUCAUCACUUCAGCCGCCAAUGAUUCAACUUGGCGGGUUCGAGCAAAUAGGUGUUGGGCCAUAUUAGACACAGAACCUGCACACUGAACACUGAGAGCCAGAGAAUCCUUAACAGCUAACUCAUCAGACCGUUUGGAAAGUAGUCUGUUAUCUUUGGGAGUGAGAAGGUUCCUGGCCACCACCGCAGCGGUCAUAUCAUUCUUCAUCACGGAAUCCCCAACGGUAAGAGGACCAGUAGGGGAGACGAAGGAUGGGCGCCAUAUGUUGUCUGGAGAAGGCGGGGCUUCCUCUUCAACAAGGUUCAAGUCAAAACGACGGUCGGAGGGGCCAGACAUUUUCAAAUGUGUUGAAGAGAGAAGAGGUCGGACAAAUCAAGAUCUUAGAAGUGUAAGAAUGGAGCUUCUACUGGUGGAGAUUCAAGUGUGCUUUGGAACUUAAUGUCAGCCCCUAUAAAAAUCUGCACUCAACGGAGCUUCAGAAAUCGAAGAGGCGCCUGCUCAGAAAUCGAAGAGGCGUUUGCUUUCUCAAAAGCAAGGCUGCUCAGAUACCACGAGGGUCGAUCUCAGAAAUCGAAGAGGCGUUUGCUUUCUCAAAAGCUGGGCAGCGCAAAGACCACGAAGGCCGAUCUCAGAAAUCGAAGAGGCGCUCAAAAGUUGGGCUGCUCAGAGACCACGAGGGCCGAUCUCAGAAAUCGAAGAGGCACCUACUUUUCCAGCCUUGUCAGUACCUGUCACACACACACUCAGCUUUGCGAAAAUUAUGGGGAUUCGGUCGAAGACUUCUGGUGAAGUAGAAAGCACAUGAGUCUUACUGUUCAAUCACCCACUUCCCACACGCAACAGUAGCUCAUGGGUACCACAUAUAACUUUUCCAAAGUUCUCUGCCAAAGUUGAACACGUGAAGUUUGCAGCUCCCACUACAUCGCUCUGAUCAAGAAGGGUAAAAGAAUAGCAAAGAAACAACACUAACAAAGUUUAGACACAUAAAUUUUGAUGGUCGAGCUACCAUAUUAUUACCCACAAGGGUAAAGGAACAGUACCACUGCUGGAUAAUUGGAAAGUCCCUGUGUGUCAACCUCUGUGCUUCGUGGCAAGGUAGACUAUCAAACAUGCCCAACCUUUACUCACAUUCGAGAAAACACUCCCAACAAGAUUGCUUGCUCCAAAAUCGAAGAGGCACCGUCCUUCGAAUCUCGAGAGCCAGACUCCCAACAUGACUACUUUCUCAAAAAUCGAAGAGGGUAAAGGAACAGUACCAUUGCUGGAUAAUUUGAAAGUCCCUGUGUGUCAACCUCUGUGCUUCGUGGCAAGGUAGACUAGCAAACAUGCCCAACCUUUACUCACAUUCGAGAAAACACUCCCAACAAGAUUGCUUGCUCCAAAAUCGAAGAAGCAUCGCCCUCCGAAUCUCGAGAGCCACUCCCAACAUGACUACUUUCUCAAAAAUCGAAGAGACAUCGCUCUCCGAAUCUCGAGAGCCAGACCCCCAGCAUGAUUGCUUUCUCAAAAAUCGAAGAGGCACCGUUCUCCGAAUCUCGAGAGCCAGAUCCCCGAUAGGAUUGCUUGUUCGAAAACCGAAGAGGCAACACUUUCCCAAUUUCAAGAGCCGGAUCUCCUUGGAUAAAGCUAUCUGUAAUCUUCACUCGCAACAUUAGCUUUCCAGCUACCACAGACCACUUUUUCAAAGUGAUCUGACAACGUUAAAACAUGUGAAGCUGGCAGCUUCCACUACCGUGCUAUGACCAAGUAGGGUAAAGGAAUAGCAUUACUACUUGUUGUUAAGGAGACUCCUAUAUAUGUCGACCUCCAUCCCCAACGGAUAGGCAGACCUGCAAAAAUGCUCAACUCUUCCUCAUAUCUGAGAGGGCACUCCCAACGAAGCCUUUCGAAAUAUUCAGCUUUCUUUCCCCCCGAUAAUACCUCUGCAAACAAGCUAUACUAGAGCAAGAAUAUCUCAUAUCAUCAGGGUUAAAAGCAAGAGUAUCCCAUAUCAUGCUUUUUCCUUGUCUUUUUCUUUGGCCUUGUUCUUACCUGCAAGACAAGAAGAAAGAGAGCAAUCAGUCAGUACUUGGAAUCAAGCUUCCAGCCAGGAACUGACUGCCUGGAACCCCUUACCUGAUUACUUACCUGACAUUGUUCUCGAGUACUCAUCUUCAACAUCUUAUGCUUCCAGGGAAGAUACCGCAUCUGCCUGAGGAACAGAUAGGGCAAGGGAGAAGGAUAUAAGGAAGCAUGUGGAGACAAGCGUAACAGCACACGUGCCGAUACAUCCAUUACUCUGUCAAAGCAAAAGUAUCCCAUAUCAGUAGGGUCGAACGUACUCUAGAUUUGAUGGACUUGUUUUGACCCUCAAAUUCUUCAGUCGGCCUUAUACUCUGGAGGAAACCAGAAAUUUCUCCAGCUCAGUGCAAGAAUAAGCUUGUGGAAAGUUACUUCUUCAAAAGCAAAAGUAUCACAUAUCAUCUCUUCUCAUUUUCUUCUCUUUAUCCUUCAUGCUGCCUGCAAGAUAGGGAGAUUGUGAACAAUCAGCUGGAGCUAUGAUUGCUUACCUUGUCUGUCACCUCUUUCAGCAGAUCCCCUAGCUCGGCGAUUUGGGGGACUCCUACUACAUGGUUUGUAUCGCGCUUGACCAAGCCUGAAACUACAAGUAAGCUUCAAGUGAAAUUGAUACAUUACCUUGUGCAUCUCCACCAGUUAAAGAUACUACCCCUGGAUGGAGGAAGAGUACUUCCAGAGAAGAUGCCCCAUCUACCUAUGAGACAGAUAAGGCACGUCAAGACGAUACCACACUCUGAUACUUAGAAGUUUCGUGAUUACGAGAUCAUUCUCCCACAAUAUUUCCUAAUGUCAUUUGUACUAAAUCAUUCACUUGUACUCACUAAAGGAGAGCUUGAACCUAUGUACUUGUGUAAACCCUUCACAAUUAAUGAGAACUCCUCUAUUCCGUGGACGUAGCCAAUCUGGGUGAACCACGUACAUCUUGUGUUUGCUUUCCUAUCUCUAUCCAUUUAUAUACUUAUCCAUACUAAUGACCGGAGCAAUCUAGCGAAGAUCACAAAAAGCGACCGUUUUCGCUACCUAAGAUCUAUCGUGCAAGAGAACGGAGAAUUAGAUGGAGAUCUCAACCAUAGAAUACAAGCUGGAUAGAUGAAGUGUAAGAGUGCAUCCGACGUGUUGUGUGACCGUCAUAGGUCACUGAAGCUCAAGGGAAAAUUUUAUAGGACGACAAUAAGGCCAGCGAUGUUGUAUGGCACAGAAUGUUGGGCGGUGAAGCAUCAAUACGUACACAAAAAUGGGUGUGGCGGAGAUGAGGAUGCUUCGUGGGAUGUGUGGGCACACGAGAAAGGAUAAGAUUGGGAAUGAGUAUAUCCGAGGUAAAGUAGGAGUAGCCGAAAUUGAAGGAAAGAUGAGAGAAAAUCGGUUCCGGUGAUUUGGACAUGUGCAAAGAAGGCCUACUGACGCUCCGGUUCGAAGAUGUGACUACUGGACAGAGGUUCAGGGCCGAAGGGGUAGAGGAAGACUUAGAAAACCUUUGGAAGAGACUCUAAGAAAAGACUUAGAGUACUUGGAUCUAAUGGAGGACAUGACACAAAACCGAGCGCAAUGACGUUCUAGGAUUCAUAUAGCCGACCCCACUUAGUGGGAAAAGGCUUUGUUGUUGUUGUUGUUGUUGUUGGGGUUUUGCAGGGAGUACUAAUGUACUGAUUUUCUGGGAUUUUUUUUGUCCUUGCAGGAUUUUUGGUCUUUGAAAUGGGUAUGUGUUGUUUUUAAUGUUUCAGUUCUAGCGUUUUCCGUUCUUCGUUGCUUCGUGAUUCUCAUUUUUCAGUGUUGGGUGAUGGAAAUUUGUUAAAGUAGUUGGUAGUUUUUUGAGAAAGUUGGCAUUUUUAGUUAUAUUUUCUGUUUAAUCCUAAAUGUUUUGAAAACUCAUAAUUUUUUUGUUCUGGGAUUUAAAAGCAUCUUUUCCAGAUUGGUUACAAGGGUUAUGUUCUCUUCAAUUGGUUCACCUAAUUUUGAUUAGUUUUAAGUUUUGUCCUUUAAGUUUGUCUUUUAAGUUUUGUUCUUUAAGUUUUGUCUUUUAAGUUUUGUUCUCUAAGUUUUGUCUUUUAAGUUUUGUCUUCUGUGCUGUAAUGAGAGAUUUCCGUUGGCCUUUCGGAUUUUGGCAUGGGAAAGUUCACUUAUUUGCAAGGUUCUAAAAAACGCUAGGCGUUAGUUGGGCGGUGGGCUAGCGCCUAGCGGCUAGGCGGCUAGGCGGGAUCUAGGCGGGAUCUAGGCGGGCGCCUAGGCGGCCUAGGCGGAUUUAGGUAAAUUUCUUAUAUAUUUUAUGAAUUAAUUAAAUUUACUAUAUCAAAUGUAAAUAAUUAUUAACUAAUAUGUUAUUUCUUAUAGAAGAACAUACAUAGUGAAUGUUUUAUGUACAUAUAUAAUAUAUUUGUCUAGGAAAAAAAAAUAUUAUCUAAAUAAUUUUUAUAACAUAUAUAUAUAUAUAUAUAUAUAUAUAUAUAUAUCCCAAACUUUUAAAAAUAUAAAUAGCAUUGGGAGAGGGGCGUAGGGUUUCUAAAAGCACACUCAGAAAUAGAGCAUAUUUUAGUCUUUAUUUUAGAAUCCUAAGGAGCACCCUACUCGGAUGCACGACAUGUGUGCAAAUCUGGAGAUUCUUGCUGUAUCGGAUACACCAAUGCUUAGUCAAAAUUUCCUGCUAGGGUUUAUGGUGGACAUGUGUGUGUGGUCUUCAUUAUUAAACCCAUUAGCACCUCACCUUUUCACAUCACCCGUCCAUCACCUUGGGUGGUUUUGAUAAUUAAAACCAUCAACAUCCAUGGUUUUGAUAAUUAGAACUACCAACUUUUCCUUGGAUUUGAGAAUCUGAGAUCCCAUUCAUCGCCAUCAAAUAUUGAAAUGUUUCAUUGUUCAUCUCUUUCUCCCUCUUCUCACUCUCUAUUCCCUCAUCUUCACAGAGAUGAGUUACAGAAAUUCUCCGGUAAUCUCUCUCUCUCUCUCUUCGUAAUCGACGAGCUCCUCGACUUGAAGUCGCAGCCAAGUUAUGAAGAAUCGAGAUGCGAGAGCAAGUGGAGAGUGGAGACUCUGGAAAUUGGGAGUGACGAUCGACGACGAUGAGUCGAUGACCCAGGAAACCUCUUGAAGUUGCAGCAGGUGAGUGCACUGCAGUUGAGGAAGAAGAGACGAAGAGACUUAGUUUCUGAAAUUAGGGUAGCUGCAAGGCACGGGAACUUAAAAACAAAAAAACAAAAAGAAAACCGCCUAGCUCCGCCAGCCGCCUAGCCUGCCUAGGCGCCUCCUAGCCCGCCUAGGUGCCGCUUAGCCACCGCCUAGAGCCCAGCCGUUUUUUCCCACCGUUUUGCACAAAAACGCCUUGGCCACCCUCCGCCUAGCGCCUAGGCGGCCGCCUAGGCCGUUUUUUAGAACACUGCUUAUUUGUCUAAUUAGAUUGUGGAUGCCUUCGAUUCUUUAUUUAAUUGUUCUGUUUGCGUUCGGGUGUGAUGAUCUAAAUUUCAUAUGUUUGGAAUUAUUUACUUAACACCAAUUUGUUACAUUCAGAUCUCCACCCCACAUUUCACUAGUUCAAAUUCCAUAGAAGUUGGUUAUUGCAGAUUGCGUCUACAAUUAGAUCAGAGAUCAACUACUCUUUUGUUAUCCUGCAGAAGAUUGCUUUUGGGAAGGAUCUGAAGUAGUUUCUCUCUGUAUGUUUAUUCCCAUGUAGCUCUGUCUUUUCUAAUUGAUGGUGUUGAUAUUACACUGUAAUUCAUGAUGAUGAUUUAAUUGUUUAUUGAUUUGUAAUUGUUUGUGAAUAAUGUGGCAUAUAUGAAUUGCAAUCUGUGUUUGUAUGAAAGGGAUGGCAUAUUAUGUUGCUGACUUAAUUGUUUAUGUUUUUCAUAUUUGCGAAUGGUGUUAUGAUCAAUUAGGUGAUUGCUGACCUGUGACUUUGUUUGGAGCUCAAAUUUUGUGAGCAUUACAUUGGAUUGUUUUGAUGUUGUUUUGGUUGACAAUGCAGGGAUAGGAGAAACAAAGAGGAUGACACUUAUAACUGCCAUUCCCCAUCGGCCGUCUUCAAAUUUGGAUCACAAGAAGGGAGCAACAUAGGUGUUUUCCUUCUUUAUUUAGAUAUGGUUAGUGUAAAUAAUUGGACAAAAGAGCCAAACAAACCCUGUUCUCUCAAAUGGAGUUGAUGAUGUGGUCGACGGCCACCAGCCCCAACUCAAGAGUUUGGCCUUCAUAUAAUUGGAUUGUAGUAUAAUUUUAUUUUUGUUCAUUUCUUUUUUCCUUUAUAUAAGUGCAGGUGUUGUGAUGUUUUGAAUAAAGGGUGAUGAAAGGUGGUUCACACUUCCUCCUUACUUAAAGCAAGUGGAGAUGACGGUUUGUAUAAAAAGAAAAACUUGCCACGUACUUCAAUUUUCUAUUUUAUUAAUUAUUGUUUGGUUUUCCAAAUGUUGUAUUCACAAAGAGAGACCAAUUAUGUCUUUGAGAAACAAGUUUCUUUGUCUACAUUGCGAGAAUUUGCAGUUUGCAACUUUCAUUGGUUAUUAUAUUUGAUUGAGUUAAACUUGGAUUUCUGGAUUCUGACUUUUUCGUUUGUUUCUUUGUUGCAGAGUUGGCUUCAUUUCAUUCCAGGAACUCUCUAAAUAGGGCCAAGAACUCACUAAAUAGGUAGUCAAGAGGAAUUCAGUUUUGCCUUCAAUUUUUGCCUUCUGUUUACAUUCUUCCUGGAUGCACUCUCACCGCUUCUCUCGCUUACCACUUUUUUCUCACUCACCGCUUCAUCUCUUCUGUUGCUUACAAGGUCGUGUCAUAUAUUUUUUAAUUUUGUGGUUUAAUUUAUUGAAUAUUUGAAAAAAGAGAUAAAAUUAUAAGAUACUAUAUAAGAUACUAUAUAGUAUCUUAUAAAUAAAUGAAUCACAAAUGAUACUAUAGUUGUUAAAAAAUCCCAUUACUCAAAACUCCAAUUCCCUCCCAUUACUGAAAGCUCCAAUUCCAUCAAAACCGAGAUGGUAAAAGUACAAACUGGCUAGUUUCCACCAAAAAAAAAAGUACAAACUGGUUACAAAAAUAUGUUUUGUCCCAUCCAAUUGACGAAAAGAGAUAAAAUUUUCAAUUUACAAUUACUGAUAUGAUGUUUGUUUUGAAAAUCAUUAAGGUGAAUGGAGAGAUUUACAACCAUGAAGAGCUGAGGAGCCGUUUGCCAAAUCAGAUUUAUAAGGUCUCAUCAAUUAUGAAUAAACGACUUUUCAUUCCCAAUGACCUUUAUCGUUUUUCUUAAUGGGUUAGCUGAACAUGAGGUAGAUGCUGACUUUAUCAAAUAUGAGAAUGUUUUAGGAUUUCAUUCUAAUUUUUUGGCUGUUUGAUUACUUUGCUUUUCGUAAUUUGUUUUGCUUAUCGUCAAUUGGAUGGGACAAAACAUAUUUUUGUAACCAGUUUGUACUUUUUUUUUUGGUGGAAACUAGCCAGUUUGUACUUUUACCAUCUCGGUUUUGAUGGAAUUGGAGCUUUCAGUAAUGGGAGGGAAUUGGAGUUUUGAGUAAUGGGAUUUUUUAACAACUAUAGUAUCAUUUGUGAUUCAUUUAUUUAUAAGAUACUAUAUAAGAAACUGUUAUUAGCACUCUAAAAAACUCAUUCUACACUCGCGACAAGUGUAUUUUUCUUUUUAAUUAUGGAAAGUUUGAAGGGCAAAAUGAGAAUUUUGGAGUGCCAAUAACAAUUCCCUAUUAUAUAUAGCUCUACUGGGAAGGCUACUGUAUAUGUCUUCAUCCUGUUAAAUUGUAUAUGGCUCUUGAUGUCGGCUGAAUUAAAUCAAAAUGAAAACCAAGCUGAUCUUACCAGCCGAUAUCACUUAUCACUUGCUUAUUUAAAUUAUUUGAAGAUGCGUAUGUGGAUUGGUGAUUUUGUUGGAUUCACUUAGCUCAAAUAUAUGUUAUCUGAGUCGCUACAUUUGAGAAUGUGAUUCUGUUCCUACCACCAUUUUGCCCACUUUUUGUGGAAAUUAUUCAUUCCUGUUGUGAAUAAUACAUUCAUCCCCGGCAACGAAGUGCGGGCACAUUUUAUAGUUUAAAUUAAAUCACACAAUGGGUCAUCAAUAAUGACAAACUCGUCAUUUAUGCGAGUCAAACAUGAGGCCACCUACCUACUAGUUUAGUGGAAUACCACAAAGUGACAUGUUGAUACCUUUAAGUCUCAUAUAAUGGAUUGCAGAAUUAGGAUAUACCUAGACUAAUUUAGUCAGUGCGUGAACCCGAACAAUUAACAAGGGUUUUAUUCUUGCUUGAAUGUUUGUUAUAUGUUCCUAGUUUGACAAGGCAAUUAUAUUUCCGAUUACAAAAGUUAUUAAUUUAGUCGAGAAUUGACGCACCUGAAAUGGUGUGAGGAAAACAUGUAGACACAUCAACCGCAGUCCACUGUCCUGGGCAUCUAUCUUCCCCGAAACGAAGCUCAAAGCCAUACAUGAGGGCAUUGUGUAUGUCUUUAUAAGAGAAGUUGCUGUAGUCUUCAACGUAGCCGGCAGCCAAACUCAUCCACUCUACACUGCAACCCUCAUCCAAAUCCCAUGCUUCCAACCUGCCCCCGACAUAGUCAGCGACCAUGACAUAGCUAUACGUUUUUGGUUGACUCGAAGAAGAAGAAGAAGUAUUAUUCAAGCAUGGAGCAGUGUCCACGUACAGAGAAGAAUUCGAUGGAUUCGAACACUUCAAGUAAUAUAUAGAUAGAGAAUUGAUGUCAUAGGUGGGCCAAUAUGGAGAAUUGAUGUCCUCGGUGGUGGGCGGAAUAUUUUGAGACAUGGAAGAGCAAUUGUUGUUGUCAAGCCCAGGAUCUAGAACUCGGAUUGUAUUGUUAAUGUAGUUGAUUGCCUGGACAUAGUAUUUUCCGGAAGAAGGUACGUCUAGUACAGUAAUGUUGCUCUCACAGUACAGAGUAUACAUUAUGUUGCCACAGUACUUUGGAUCAUCGUUCAGUCGAAAAGGAUGGCUUAUGUAGUGGAUAUGGCCGCAGGAUGAAGUGCAGGACUUGGCACUACUGUUGUCAGCGUUACAAGUUUCACUGCAAAAGCAAAGAAGAAGAAAGGCUAAACUUAAGGUGAAGGACCUGCUUCCACUAAUUUCCAUUGAUCUGAGAGAGAGAGAGAGAGAGAGAGAGAGAGAGAGAGAGGGUACUAUAGCUUGAACACCAAGGAGUUAUAUAAUAUGGGAGGGGUUAAAGCGCUUCGCUUAAAGUUGCAGUAAGCCCGGCAAAUAUCCUAGGGAAAAGUCGGUCAAUGGUGUCCUAUAGAGAAAAGUCGGCCUUGGUGUUUGACACGGUCACUCACUCUCUCUCUCUCUCUCUCUCUCUCUCUCACAUUGACGAGGGACACUGUAAUUAACAAAAAAAUUGUUCUUCAGAGAUAGAUUUUGAAAUUCUUAUUUUAUAUAAAAAAACACCUAAUAUUAAUCAUUCAAAUGAAAUUCCUAAAAUUAAGUAUAAAUAAUACAUAAUAAAAACUGAACACAUACAAUCAACGGUCACGAUCAUGAAAUCCUUCGGAUCCUCAGAAAAAAAUCCGACGAUGAUCUUUUUCUGUGUAAAAUAAUUUGAGGGUAUAAUACUGGAUGUGCGAUUAAACCGAAGAACCCACCCACCUCCAUCUUCUCCGACCAACUUGAACCCAGCCACUACUACAUGUCAUCCCGACAACCCACUCUCAGCUUCCCAAACCGCCAUUUUUCACCCAUUCACCUACCACUGCCAUUAUUCAUUCAAUCAACCCAAAACACGAGAGCCACCCCCAUCUCACCAGUCGAACAGAUGCAGCCACCCACCCAUUUAAUCCCAGUCCAAAAUCAAACCCUCUCCUAAACCCACCCCAGAAUCCAAUAAUUUCAAAAAAUGGCUGAUUAUAUCAUUUCAAGAACCUCACAAUUCCAAAAACUAAAAACCCACUUCAAAGAUGUAAUAUUUUUCUCUCUUCCUCUUUUUGGGUUUUUUUUUCUUUUUUUUUAUCAAUUCUCUUCUGGGUUUUUGUUUACAGUGUAAAAUCAACACUAAUUUACUAAUUUUGCUUUGAUUUCAAACACUAUUGAGGCGUGAUAACCUGUUGCAAGCUCAGCCAUGGCGGCUACUGCGAAAUCUAACGGAAAAACCAUCACAGACUCUGCCAUUUCAUCCAAGGUUCCGACAAUAGCAAAACGAAUAGCUGUCGCAGAUUUCUUCCAACAUCAAUCACUACGCGAAAUUAAUUGUCAAUGAAGACGAUCCCAUUCCCCUUCGAAAUCUGCUGGGGAAAGAGACCUUCUUUCAGAUCUGCUCUGAGACCGGUUUAUGCGAGAGAGUGGUGAGCCUGACGACAGAGAGAAAUAAGGGCAGGAUUGGAAAAUUGGAAAGUUCAUUUAUUGGUUACUGUUUAUCCGUGUUUCUUCGAAAUAAGCUGCUUUUUCCAGCUUUGGGUUUCAGUGUUUUUUAACCCAUAAUUUUGAAAGAAAAAAAACUGAUUUUAAAUGUUUAUCAAACACUUAAAAUGUUCCAAUCUUUUUUCAUACCUACUUUUUAUUAAAAGUUAAGCUAAACAAAAAUCAAGAUUAAGUUUACUACUCUGAAGUUUCUUGCUUUUCAACAUUUCAUACAUUGAAUUUUUCUCAUCCAGUGUCAUAUCUAAGGUGGGAAUUGUGGGACACUUUUAUACAUCCGUUAGAUUUUAUGUGAAUUGCGUGGCACUUUUAUACAUCCGUUAAAUUUUUUGUGAGAACCUUCGCUGACCCACGAUGCGGCAUGCAUGUGGACAUUAAAAAAAUUCAAAAAAUUCAAAAAAUUUUAAAAUUUUAAAAUUUAAAAUUCAAAAAUACUAAAAACCUAAACUUUUCAUAAUAUUGAAAGACUGAAUCUUUUCACAGUCAGCCAAAUUUUCUUCAAAUUUUAAUUAGAUGAAAUAAUGAAUCUUGAACAAAGCAAAACAAAACGUAAUAUUGAGAGAUUCAGUCAUUGAAGUGGACGUGGAUGUUGGGUACUCAAUAGUCCAAGAAUGAAAACUCUCAUAUCAGUUUCUAUCCAAAAUUUUGGAAUUAUGUGUGUUGCAACGAUUGUCCAAAGGAUUAUUCUUCUUUUAUUAAAUUUCCAUGAAAAAUGAGCAUGGAGCACAAAAGUUGAACGAAUGAUUAUUCUUCUUUUAUUAAAUUUCCAUGGAAAAUGAGCAUGGGGCACAAAAGUUGAACGAAUGAAAUUUCAACGAUUUGAAAAGGGAUUGUGAGUUUGACAUGUCAUUUUUCUUCCUCUAAUGCAAUCAUGUUUAUUAAAAGACAAAAAUAAAUAUGACUUUACAUAAGGAGAGAGAAGGAGUAGUUUUCUUUGAAAAAAUCAACCAUUUAUUGAAGAGGAUGUGGAUGUUGAUUGAUGCGUCGUGAAUACGAAAAAAAGGACCUUGAAAGGAGUUGAGACAUUCAUUAAAAGCUAGAAGAAAAAAAAGUUAAAAGUGUUUUAGAAAAAAAGCAAGAAAGCCUCAUUUUCAAAGUUGUGGUCAUUGCACAAUACUUGAUUAGAAGAAAACUCAUAGUAUUGUAUUUACAAUUUCAAGUCUUUAUGGGGAACGAGAGAGCAAGUUUUCCAAUUGGAAUAUGAUAUGAAAUUUCUACAUAACUAUAUAUGACAAUGAAAGAAGUCUAAGUUUCUAAAUGGAAGGGCUUCCAAUUGAUGUGAGUUUGUUGAGAAAUUAGUGAACAACAGAACAAGUUGCUUCUCCUUUGGCCUUCUAACAUGAUAUCACAGAAAACAAGUUGUUACUAAUAAAUGUAUCUGAUUGGUGGACUUAGACGUGCGCGGUACGAUUUUUGAUAACUAGAGAAGAUGGGCAGUGUCAUGACAAAAUUUAUCCAAGUAGACCCAAAGGAAUGACUUAGGAACUUCAUAUGCAGUGGGAUAAAAUCUUAAGCUAAUUUCCUUACCUAUCUUAUAGGCAUUAAGUAAAAUGUAUAUGCAUAUUUCUAGACACACCAAUUUACUUAAUAUUAACUUCUUUCAAAUACCCAUUUGCAGAAACGCAAAGCUCUCUUGCAUGCUUGUUGUAAUGCUUAUGUAGUGCGUAUCCUAUAUCUUAUAUAUAUAUCUUACUUUUUGUGAUCCAUUUUUUCAUCACUAUGCCAAACGAAUAGCAAAACGAAUAGCUGUCGCAGAUUUCUUCCAACAUCAAUCACCACGCGAAAUUAAUUGUCAAUGAAGACGAUCCCAUUCCCCUUCGAAAUCUGCUGGGGGAAAGAGGCCUUCUUUCCGAUCUGCUCUGAGACCGGUUUAUGCGAGAGUGGUGAGCCUGACGACAAAGAGAAAGAAGGGCAGGAUUGGAAAAUUGGAAAGUUUAUUGGUUACUGUUUAUCCGUGUUUCUUCGAAAUAAGCUGCUUUUUCCAGCUUUGGGUUUUCAGUUUUUUUUACCCAUAAUUUUGAAAGAAAAAAAACUGAUUUGAAAUGUUUAUCAAACACUUAAAAUGUUCCAAUCUUUUUUCAUACCUACUUUUUAUUAAAAGUUAAGCUAAACAAAAACCAGGAUUAAGUUUACUACUCUGAAGUUUUUUGCUUUUCAACAUUUCAUACAUUGAAUUUUUCUCAUCCAGUGUCAUAUCUAAGGUGGGAAUUGUGAGACACUUUUAUACAUCUGUUAGAUUUUAUGUGAAUUGUGGGGCACUUUUAUACAUCCGUUAGAUUUUUUGUGAGAACCUUCGCUGACCCACGAUGCGGCAUGCAUGUGGACAUUGAAAAAAUUCAAAAAAAAUCGAAAAUUUUAAAAUUUUAAAAUUUAAAAUUCAAAAAUACUAAAAACCUAAACUUUUCAUAAUAUUGAGAGACUGAAUCUUUUCACAGUCGGCCAAAUUUUCUUCGAAUUUUAAUUAGAUGAAAAUAAUGAAUCUUGAACAAAGCAAAACAAAACGUAAUAUUGAGAGAUUCAGUCAUUGAAGUGGACGUGGAUGUUGGGUACUCAAUAGUCCAAGAAUGAAAACUCUCAUAUCAGUUUCUAUCCAAAAUUUUGGAAUUAUGUGUGUUGUAACGAUUGUCCAAAGGAUUAUUCUUCUUUUAUUAAAUUUCCAUGAAAAAUGAGCAUGGAACACAAAAGUUGAACGAAUGAUUAUUCUUCUUUUAUUAAAUUUCCAUGGAAAAUGAGCAUGGGGCACAAAAGUUGAACGAAUGAAAUUUCAACGAUUUGAAAAGGGAUUGUGAGUUUGACACGUCAUUUUUCUUCCUCUAAUGCAAUCAUGUUUAUUAAAAGACAAAAAUAAAUAUGACUUUACAUAAGGAGAGAGAAAUAGUAGUUUUCUUUGAAAAAAUCAACCAUUUAUUGAAGAGGAUGUGGAUGUUGAUUGAUGCGUCGUGAAUACGAAAAAAAAAGACCUUGAAAAGAGAUGAGACAUUCAUUAAAAGCUAGAAAAAAAAAAGUUAAAAGUGUUUUAGAAAAAAGCAAGAAAGCCUCAUUUUCAAAGUAGUGGUCAUUGCACAAUACUUGAUUAGAAGAAAACUCAUAGUAUUGUAUUUACAAUUUCAAGUCUUUAUGGGGAACGAGAGUGCAAGUUUUCCAAUUGGAAUAUGAUAUGAAAUUUCUACAUAACUAUAUAUGACAAUGAAAGAAGUCUAAGUUUCUAAGUGGUAGGGCUUCCAAUUGAUGUGAGUUUGUUGAGAAAUGAAGAUGAAGAUGAAUAUUGAUGUUGAUGUUAGUGAACAACAGAACAAGUUGCUUCUCCUUUGGCCUUCUAACAUGAUAUCACGGAAAACAAGUUGUUGCUAAUAAAUGUAUCUGAUUGGUGGACUUAGACGUGCACGGUACGAUUUUUGAUAACUAGAAAAGAUGGACAGUGUCAUGACAAAAUUUAUCCAAGUAGACCCAAAGGAAAGACUUAGGAACUUCAUAUGCAGUGGGAUAAAAUCUUAAGCUAAUUUCCUUACCUAUUUUAUAGUAUUAAGUAAAAUGUAUAUGUAUAUUUCUAGAUGCUGACACACCAAUGUACUUACUAUUAACUCCUUUCAAAUACCCAUUCGCAGAAACGCAAAUCUCUCUUGCAUGCUUGUUGUAAUGCUCAUGUAGUGCGUAUCUAAUAUCUUAUGUGUAUAAUUUUUUGUGAUCCAUUUUUUCAUCACUAUGCCAAAAUCCCUUUAGAAUUUGCAAUUUAUCCAUUUGGUUAUGGUAAAAAAAAAAACUCGGAAUUUCAUUUAAACUCGAAAAUCUAGAAUUGGGAAAGCAAUUUUCCCUUGUUCGGCAACUUGUAGCGAUAGCAAAGGCAAAUUGUACCGGAAAAAAGUGGAAAUUGGGGAUGAAGAUCCAAUUUUAAUUUCGUCAAAAUAAGUGUAAUUUCACAAUUCCAACAACGUUGAGAAUCACAAAUGCAUUGUGGGGAAAUCUUGCGACCACCAAACUUUACGAUUAGAGCGCCAAAUUUCAUGAUAAAACGUAAUAAGGGUUUAGGACUGCAUCGUUCGCUCUGUUAACUCUCCAAUCUUCGACGGGAUUUUCAACUCGUGCAUCAUUUUUUGCUUUGUUCUAGGUCAAAGCCUACUCUUUUCUUUCUUGAAUUAUUUUAGCUUUGCGGGUAUACUCUUUAGGCCAAUUGUGAAUUUUGCUAGUUAUUUUUAUUUUCUGAUGGUCAUAUGUUUGUUUUUUUUUUCUUCCAAUUGAGCUGUGUAUUGGUUGGAUCAGUAACUUUUUUUUUGGAUUUUUAUUUUUAUUUUUAUGGAUUUUGGUGUUAGUUCCUUGUUAUAGAUGUAUAGAUGUUGUGGAGCAAAAAAUAAUCUCAAAAAUCGUGGAGGUGACACACGGAUUUUUGGACAAGAAUGACAAAAUUAUCCUCGAAGCACAUCAUGAUUCCCACGUGCAUGCAACGGACAAUAACGGCUCAAUCAUGGAAGAGUCAAAGGUGAUCAAUAUGGUAUUUAUUCAAAUCCCUCUCAUCACUCCUCAUCAAUCCCUUUUUGAUUUUAUUCAAAAGGUAACUCCCAAAACUUCCUAUUUAAUUUAGGGAUCAUUGUCAUGUUAAUUGCAAGAUAUUAUUUCACAAAAUAUCUUGUAAUUAUUCUUCAAUUACCACCAUGUAUGGCCGGCCACUCCUCACCCUAUGGGCCGGUCACUCCUCACCCUAUGGGUCGGCCACUCCCUAUAAAUAGCCCUAUUAUUCCACUAAUAAGGAAGCCAUUUGCUACCCACAAACUCCUAAACACAUUCUUUCAGAAUUCUAACUUUGGCAUUGGAGAUUCUUAGGCCAAAUCCCCCCUCCCAUUCAUCGUGGGCGCAUAAGGCUUUUGGCCUUAGUCUUAGGUAUUAUUAUUUUGCAGGUGCAUUUUCGUCAAAGACGAAGAUGGUGGAAAUUUGGAUCCACAAAUUGGUGUUUUCAUUGAGAGUUUGAUUCACAAGCUCGAAGAAGACUCUCGCAUUCAAAGUUUCACAUUUCUCAUUCAUAAGUAAAUUUUUCAUACGUUCUUAUUCCUAGAAUUUUUUUAAAUCUUUGAAUAGACGUAGGAGAGAAAUACAAUGGCUAGAAAUUUAGAAACCACGACGAACGAAACUUCCUACGUUCAAAGAUCCAGAUCAAAUGAUGGAAAUUGCGAUGUAGCCCCACCACGACGAUCCACGAAGCUCAACGUAGUGGCAAAAUGAGUAACUUGGCCACCACGGAGUACCACCACCACCAUAGCCAAGGCAACCCAUGUUGCAGUGGGGAGUGGGACAACUCCAUGGCAGCAAGGCCACGAAGCAACAACAGAUGCCAUCUUGCAGUAAUGAGCCCAAGCCUGUGUCACAAGGUAGUCAACCCAGCGCUAGGUAACCUAGAUCUAGUAGGCCCACGACGUUGCCAUAGUAGCUGAGGCCUAAAGCAAGGCCCAAGCAGCUGCGACUGCGGCAAAUGGAGCAACACAACACUGGCGGGGCCAAUGCACCCUUGGCCUAAUGCCAAGCAGGCUAAAUCGCACCACACCCACUAUUCAAACUAACCCUAAGUUGAGUAAGUAGCAUUGAAGGUUGUCAACCGCAAGGCGUUGAAGUACGAAUAAAGUUACACACCCCGCACAUGACUUGGCCCACUUCCGCGGCCCAACUUGCUCGCAAGGUCCACCUAGUGAUCCCGACCAGUCGAAGGCCAGUUCAAUCAUCCCAUCUUCAGAUUUCUGGACUGACGAUUGAAUCGGGGGUAUUUUCACCCCGAUUUUCUACAGAUUUGACAUAUCUCAACACAAAUCUCGCACUUGGAGUCCAUUGCACUUCCAUUACUCAAGGAGACGCAUACCAUUUAAGAUCUUCCAUCCCAAAUGGCGAACAACACUUGUCUUGACAAGUCAUAGAGUUGACAUGCACUUUUGCGCAGUAGACGACCUUAGUGAAUCAGCUUUUGCAACGCACAAAGAUGCAGUAUGCCCCAGACGAUGUGUCCCGAAGCAGGACAAGUAUAGACGACGAUUCUCUCCAGCAGCGUCCCAACAAGCAGCCGCUCGACUAGCCACGAACCGAGCAUUCUGGCAGUGUACACUCCCGUCUAGGUCCUCAAGAAAGCAUAUACUCUCAUCUUAGCGCGCGGAUGAGCGUGCACUCCUGGUUAGGCCUACGGACGAGCAUACAUUCACGGUUGGGACCAUACUCUUAUAAUUAACAUGGACAACCUGCUAGACGAAGUGUUCAUUCGCGGCUAGGCUCGCAAAGAGCAUUUUCCACCUCAUAUUGGAGUAAGCAGCACAGAAGACGAAGAUAAGCAGUCAAUUAAUCUGGCUCAAAUUCAAUCGGCCACCUGUAAGUAACUAGCUCGCCUGCCAAGAACGUACCAUAUGCAAUGUAGCCACGACAUAGACUAGCUGAGCACAACGAUGAGCAACCUAGACUAACAGGUUACGACUGGGGGUAGCCAGAAGCUUCACUGCCCCAAUAUAGGUAAAUUUAGAAAGAAGUUGAGAGGCUUCUGACAGAACGAUUGUGCGAUUUCCAACGCAAUGAAGCUACUGACAAGGCGCUUAAACGAUACACGACCAACAUAAACGGGUCACCUUUUAUUGACAAGAUUGAGCAGACAGAACCAUCCUACAUACACUGGCGGAUACAAAUAUUACUUCUAUUUUAACAUACGCAUCAACUCAGCCUAAUGGCGUGUCGAGGGCAAAUGGGUUCCAGAAUGGCACACUAACCCAACCACCAAGAACCAGGGCCAAAUCUUAUUUUCAUCACUCCACACGAUUCAAUGCUUGAGCAUCACAUCACCAGUAAUAGAGCACCGCAGACCUAAUGGUCCAAUUCCUCCUGAUGCACACAAGCUCACCCCAGCUCCACGCUCAAAGCCGUGCCUACCUGCUCCACAACACUCAGCCACCCUUGAUUUGUCACCAUGGCUCACAGUUAUGCCAAUUUUGCACCACAGCUCCCAGCCGUGCUAAUCUUGCCAUGCGGCUUUUAACUACGUUAACCAAGCCCACGAUACUUCAUACUUCAAAACAUCCAAUGACGAAGUAGAACAUGAGGCUCUACUAGCAGCCCCUGCUAGUGAAAGGCUUUGCGGUGAAGAGGCUUCCAAUCCAUUCAAAUUCUCAGUUGACCACCUGUUGGGUUUUACGGCUCAAAAUUAGGAUGAUGCAAAAAAAAUUGUGUUACCUAUUUGGUUUUGGUGUCGUAUUUGGGUUUGGAUUUUGACCUCUUAGUUGGUUUCCUUGGUGGAGAGAUUUUGUUAAUUACCUAUUUGAUUAGGAUUUGGAUUUACUUCCUAUUAAGAUUCUUAUUGUAACCUAAGUCUUAUGCACUAUAAAUAGGACCUCAGGGUUAGUGUAUUUUGUGUGGCUCAUUCGUGUGGCAAUUUGGUGAGAGUCAAUUUGUGAGUUUGUGAGUUAGAGAGCAAUUUGGGAGAAUCUUCUCCGUUAGUUUUGGGUUCUCUACUCGUUUGGUUUAGGGUUUGUAAUUUGUGGGAUUUGGAUUGUGAGAGUUUAAACACUAUUUUGUAAUCUCCGUUUGUUUAGUGAAAUUUCUUGUCAUGCUUCGCUCGUGGACUUAGAUUUUACACCGAACCACAUAAAUCUCUUGUGUUAGUUUGAGAUUGUUUGUUUUAGUUUUCACCUACAACGUUGAUAUCGGUACUUUGCUAUAAUUUGCUUUCCUUUGCUCAUAAAAGUACGACAAGUGGUAUCAGAGCCCAGCUUUCGGCUUGGGCUUUUCUUGGCAAUCAAUAUGAAGCCUUCUGUGUCGUCGGUGAAAGUUGAUAUUGAAAAGUUCGAUGGCAAUGACUUUGGUAUUUGGCAAUUGAAGAUGCGUGCUUUGUUAAUUCAACAAGAGCUUUUAAAAACGCUAAAGGGUGUGAAGGCUUUCCUGAAUUCGUGGACUGAUGAAGAAAAACAAAGAAGUUAUGGAGCGGGCACUUGGAACAAUCCUGCUGACUUUAUCGAAUGAAGUCUUGCGUCAAGUUGGUAGCAUCAAAUCUGCACCGAAGUUGUGGCUAAAAUUGGAGAGUUUGUAUAUGACCAAAUCCCUUGCUAAAUGGUUGUAUUUGAAGAAAAGUUUGCGUACUCUUCGUAUGGAUGAAGGUACGUCAAUUCAUAAGACCAAAUCCUUAUUGCUGCCAAAAGUCCUCAACAGUUCCAAGGGAGAUGGGUAAGAGUUCGUAAUAGUGAGAGAUUGAAUCUUUUCACACUUGGCCAAAUUUUAAUUUUAAUUAGAUGAAACAAUGAAUCUUGAACAAAGCAAAACAAAAUUUAAUACUGAAAGAUUGAGUCAUUGAAGUGGACGUGGAUGUUGGGUACUUAACAGUCCAAGAAUGAAAACUCUCAUAUCAGUUUUUAUCCAAAAUUUUGGAAUUAUGUGAGUAUUGCAACGAUUGUCCGAAUGAUUAUUCUUCUUUUAUUAAAUUUCCAUGGAAAAUGAGCAUGGGGCACAAAAGUUGAACGAAUGAAAUUUCAAUGAUCUGCAAAGGGAUUGUGAGUUUGACAUGCCAUUUUUCUUCCUUUUAUGCAAUCAUGUUUAUUAAAAGACAAAAAUAAAUAUGACUUUACAUAAGCAGAGAGAAAGAGUAUUUUUCUUUGAAAAAAUCAACUAUUUAUUGAAGAGGAUGUGGAUGUUGAUUGAUGCGCCGUGUGAAUAGGAAAAAAAUGACCUUGAAGGGAGACAAGACAUUCAUUAGAAGCUAAAAAAAAGUUAUAGUGAUUUAGAAAAAAGAAAUUUUAACGAAAUAUUUCCGGUAUUGUUCACUCUUUACGAAAAACCACAUUUUUACAUUUCCUGGCUACUAUUCACUACACCUUUAUUUAUCAUUUUUCAUUAAAACUAAAUUUGUUUUUGAACUUUUCGUUAGUUUCCUUUAGAAAAAAGCAAGAAAGCCUCAUUUUCAAAGUGGUAGUCAUUGAAACAAUACUUGAUUAGAAGAAAAGUCAUAGUAUUGUAUUUACAAUCUCAAGUCUUGAGGGGUAACGAGAGUGCAAGUUUCUAAUUGGAAUAUAAUAUGAAAUUUCUACAUAACAAUAUAUGACAAAGAAAGAAGUCUAAGUUUCUAAGUGGAAGGGCUUCCAAUUGAUGUGAGUUUGUUGAGAAAUGAAGAUGAAGAUGAAUAUUGUUGUUGAUGUGAGUUAGUGAACAACAGAACAAGUUGCUUCUCCUUUGGCCUCUAACAUGAUAUUACCGGAAAACAAGUUGUUACUAGUAAAUGUAACUGACUGGUGAACUAAGACAUGCGGUACGAUUUUUGAUAACUAGAGAAGAUGAAUAGUGUCGUGACAAAAUUUAUCCAAGUAGACCCAAGGGAAAGACUUAGGAACUUCAUAUGCAGUGGGAUAAAAUCUUAAGCUAAUUUCCUUUUUAAUCUUAUAGUCAUUAUGUAAAAUGUAUAUGCAUAUUUCUAGAUACAUACACACCAAUGUACAUAAUAUUAACUCCUUUUAAGUAGUCAUUUGCAAAUCCCUCUUGAGUGCUCUUUGGAAUGCUCAUGCGGUGCCGUUCUAAUCUCUUAUAUAUAACUUUUUGUGAUCUGUUUUUUCAUCAAUAUGCCAAAAUCCCUUUAGAAUUUGCAACUUAUCUUUUUGGUUACGGUAAAAAAAAACUCGGAAUUUCAUUUAAACUCGAAAAUCUAGGGAUGUGAAAGCAAUUUUCUCUUGUUCGACAACAUUUAGCGAGAGCAAAGGCAAAUUGUACAGGAAAAAGUUAGAAAUUGGGGAUGAAGAUUCCCAAUUUUAAUUUCGUCUAAAUAAGUGUAAUUUCACAAUUCUAACUACGAUGAGAAUCACAAAUAUAUUGCAGGGAAAUCUUGCAACAGCCAAACUUUACGAUUAGGGUGCCAAAUUUCGUGAUAAAACCUAAUAAGGGUUUAGGGCUGCAUUGUUCACUCUGUUAACUCUCCAAAUCUUCGACGGAUUUUCGGCUCGUGCAUCAUCUUCUUGCUUUGUUCUAGGUCAACGCCUCUACUCUCUUCUUUCUUGAAUUAUUUUAGCUUUUUAGGUAGGCUCUUUAUGGCUGUUGUGAAUUUUGCUAGUUAUUUUUAUUUUCUGAUAGUCAUUUGUUUGUUGUGCGUUUUUCCUUCCAAUUGAAUUGUGUAUUGGUUGGAUCUGUAACAUUUAUUUUUUAUUUUAUUUUAUGGAUUUUGGUGUUAGUUCUUUGUCAUGGAUGUUGUCCCUUUGAAGGUUAACAAUAGCCAAGACUAAACAUGAUGAUAUUGUUAAUUACUUUCUCAUGAUACUAAUGCCAUAUUGUUCUCUCUUUUGCACUUACAAGUGAAGAGAAAUAUCCUAGACCCUAACUGGAUAUGUUAUUGUCAUGGUCAUGCAUUGGUAUGGUAACAAUAUGUUUGGAUAAGGAAAAUAAACUUAGAAUUUGACAAAAGAUAGAAUUUAUAAAUUGAUACAAUCAAUUCCUUUGUUUAGAUUCAUAAACAUAGAAAUUUAAACUUUCCGUGUGAGAAAAAACUUGGAAUUUGGGACCUUCAAUUCUCAUGUUUAAAUUUUAUGUAAAUAGGUGUCAUUUCUAAAUUUCAGCAAGUGAGAAUUUAAAAAUAACAAACAUGUAUUCAAAUUUCAUUCCUCUUUUAGGUUAACCAAACAAGAAAUUUUAUAAAUUCUAGAAAAUAAAAUUUCGUUAUUUCAAUUUCUGUUAUUUUAAAAUUAGUAAUCUUAAAUUUUCCCAUCCAAACAAAGAGUUUCCUUGUCAUAGAACUUUCAAUUGGGAUCAAGGAAGACAAUCUUUUCACAACUGAUUAUUCUCACCAAAUUUUAUUAUUAUUUUAAAGCAGAUCAAUACCAAACUUCAAAAGCAAAGUAGGAAGGCUAAAAUUAAGGUGAAGAACCUACUUCCACUAAUUACCAUGGGAGGGGGAGAGAGAGAGAGAGAGAGAGAGAGAGAGAGAGAGAGAGAGAACCAAGCGAGAGAGAAGAGAGAGAAAACACCAAGUAGUAUUAUAAUAUAGGUGGGGUUAAAUCACCUUUCGUGAAGUUGCGGUAAGAGCAGCUCCAGCGGGAGGUCCAGCUUGAUGGACCGGUGAGAUUUCCUACCCAAUAGCCCCAGCUCCUUGCUCCAGCCCAUGCGGGCGAUUGGGCUGAGGGGGUGCCCGAGUGAGAGGCCUGACUCGAAUCGGUAGCCUGAGAGCUUGAGGCCAAAUGAUGCAUGGACGUCAGCCACGUUAUAAGAAGGAAGCAUAAACUAUGAAUAAUGAUAGAGAUUUAGAUUUUGGUGUGUGAUUUCAUCGGAUGGAUGGUGGGUUAUAUGGAGGAAAAAAAAAAGAUUAGGUUGUAGAUAAUGCCACGUGGCAUGCCGUCAUUCGUUAAAAAUCUGAUCGAAAUCUAUCAUCAAAGAUUUUAAACAGAUUAUGACACGUGACGCAACGUGAUUGGUUAAAAAUCUUAUCAGAAAUCUAUCCUUAACGAUUCUGAAAAGGUAACGAGAUGGGGCACGACGGCAUUGGAUAAAAAUCUUAUCGAAAUCUAUCACCAAAAAUUAUCUUUUUGGAUAAUGACACGUGGUGCAACGAGAACGAUUAAAAAUCUUAUCCGAAAUUACAAAUAGAAUUAUUUUGUAUUAUUUUAUAAAAUAAAAAUACUAAUAUUUUAUUGCCUAUUGACAUGACUAUUCAAUUAUGGGUGUGGAGAUGCAGAAGAUAAUUAUUAUUAAUUAAAGGUAAUUAUUGUUCAUUGGAGGGGAUUGAAUAUGAAGUUGCAGUAGAAGGCCUUUGUCACAGCAAUAGGCAGUUACUGUUCUAAGGACUUCUAUCCUAGAACAGAGACAAAAACACCAAGUAGUAUUAUAAUAUAGGUGGGGUUAAAUCACCUUCCGUGAAGUUGCUGUAUGGACUUCUAUCCUAGAGAAAAGUCGGUCAAUGGUGUUUGACACAGUCAGUCAACGACAAAGACAGAAUUGUGUAACCAUAAUUCUCUCUCUAUCUCUUUUUCAUUAACGGAGGACAGUGUAUAAUUACUACGUAUAUAUCUCUGCUCAAUUAUUGAAAAGAAAAAUCCAUGUGCAUUAUUUUUAUUAUUAUUAUCUCAGAAAUGCAGAAAUUGAUUAUCUCUUCCUUCUGCAUAUUGAUACUGGUUUUCUUCAAACUAGUUGAAGCAAGCCAAUAUGUGUGCGCGAAAUCCAACUGUAGCAAUGAUCAAGGCCCGGCUAAUUUCCUUAGGAGGGAGAGAGAGAGAGGGGAGAGAGAACCAAGUGAGCGAGCAGAGAGAGAAAACACCAAGUAGUAUUCUAAUGUUGGUGGGGUUAAGUCACCUUCCAUGAAGUUGCAGUAAGGACUUCUAUCCCAGAGAAAAGUCAGUAAAUGAUGUUGACACAGUCCGUCAACGACAAAGACAGAAUUGUGUAACCAUAAUUCUCUCUCUAUCUCUUUUUCAUUAACGGAGGACAGUGUAUAAUUACUACGUAUAUAUCUCUGCUCAAUUAUUGAAAAGAAAAAUCCAUGUGCAUUAUUUUUAUUAUUAUUAUCUCAGAAAUGCAGAAAUUGAUCAUCUCUUCCUUCUGCAUAUUGAUACUGGUUUUCUUCAAACUAGUUGAAGCAAGCCAAUAUGUGUGCGCGAAAUCCAACUGUAGCAAUGAUCAAGGCCCGGCUAUCCAUUUCCCAUUGAACAUCAGGCGCACACAUCAUUGUGGAAAUUCUGGGCUUGAAUGCAAUGGGAGAUAUGAGCAGCAAAUACUAAUAAAAUUAUUUGUCAAAGACACAGAUUACAAGCGUCAGGAAAUCCAAGUCUAUUCCCCAAGUAACUGCCUGCUGCUAAAGCUUGUUGAAAUCCCAAACAUGCCACCCUCUCCCUUCGUGCCAGUAGUCGAUUACAUGAUUAAUUUCAUAAACGUUACCUUAUUCAGUUGUCCUACUUCUGUUGCAAUACGAGAUACGUAUGGUUGUCAAGUCCCCUGCCUUGGCGACCGUGGCAAGAGAACUUAUGCCAUUGAUUCUGGGGUUUAUUUUGAAACUCUCUUCCAGAAUCUAGAAUCCUGUACAAAAAUGUAUGAUGUUUUAUCAGUUCCAAUAGCCGAUGAAUAUUAUGUUUUUCGUUUCAAAUGGUCUAUACCAAAUUGCAGAAAAUGUGGAGAGGGAAAGAAGUGUGAAUGGCAGAACAAUGAAAUUAAAUGUCUUCCCUGGAGGAAACCAAGUAAGGAUAACAUAUGUAUUCAUUGCUAGUUUUAAACAUCUUUACAUUUAUGUCUUAGUAAUUAUUAUUUGAAGGAUGUUGUCCAAUCCAUUUUUACUAGGAAUAUUACCUGACAGUCUCGUUUAAAUUCGCAAUGAUCUUCUACAGGCAACACAUGGAAAAAAGUGGUUACAGGUGGAAUCCUGUGUGCUUUGCUUCUUGUUCUACUGACGAUUGCAGCAUAUCGGGUAUAUAGCGCUGAUAGAAAGGAGAAAGAGAGUCGAUUAAGAAUUGAAAGAUUCUUGGAGGACUACAAAGCACUCAAACCAAGCAGGUAUUCGUACGCAGAUAUUAAGAGGAUUACAAAUCAAUUCAAGGACAAGUUGGGCGAAGGAGCCUAUGGAACUGUCUUCAAAGGAAUGCUCUCUUCUGAAUUCUUCAUUGCUGUCAAAGUCCUCAACAGUUCCAAGGGAGAUGGGGAAGAGUUCGUAAAUGAAGUGCGAACGAUGGGUCAUAUCCACCACGUAAACGUGGCUCGCUUGGUUGGAUUUUGUGCUGAUGGAUUUGUACGAGCUCUUGUUUACGAGUUCUUCCCCAAUGGUUCCCUGCAGGAUUUCAUUUCAUCUGCAGAUAGUAAGAAUUCAUUUCUUGGUUGGGAUAAGCUACAAGAUAUUGCCCUAGGCAUAGCCAAAGGAAUUGAAUAUCUUCACCAGGGAUGCGAUCUACGAAUCCUGCAUUUCGACAUCAAACCCCAUAAUGUUUUGCUAGACCAAAACUUCACUCCAAAAAUUUCUGAUUUUGGUUUGGCCAAGUUAUGUUCCAAGGAUCAAAGCUUGGUGUCCAUGACUACAGCAAGGGGGACCAUGGGCUACAUUGCACCUGAAGUGUUCUCCAGGAAUUUCGGAAAUGUGUCGUACAAGGCAGAUGUUUAUAGCUUUGGAAUGCUACUGCUUGAGAUGGUAGGAGGAAGGAAGAAUAUUGGUUCAAUUACGGAUAACACUACAAAUGAAAUUUACUAUCCACAGUGGAUUUAUAAUCUUCUAGAGGAAGGGGAUGACCUACGAAUCCACAUUGGGGAAGAAGGAGAUGGUAAAAUUCCAAAGAAACUUGCAAUUAUAGGGCUAUGGUGUAUCCAGUGGCACCCGUCGGAUCGUCCUUCCAUGAAAAUAGUGGUUCAGAUGUUAGAAGGAGGAGGAGAAAGCUUGAGUAUGCCGCCUAAUCCCUUUGUGCCUACUGGUUCUACAACUAGGAAUGCAAGACACCUAGAGCUAGAAGCUAUUGCUGAAUUAGAGUAAAAUGUAUAUGCAGAUAUGUAGACGUAUAGAUAUAGUAAUAUUUAUAUUGAAUAAGAGGCCGUUUGAUAACCAUUUCGUUUUCAGCUUUUAAUUUUUAUUUUUCACUUUUUUGAAAACUAAAAACUAAAAUCUUGUUUGGUAAAUACUUUUAGUUAAAAAAAAAUGAAGACUGAGAACUAAAAUGUGAAAGCUCAAAGGAAGUAGAUUAAAAGUAGUUACCAAACAAACCGGAAUCUCAAUAAAUAAAAAAGAUUGAAUUGCACAAUGCAAUCCAAACCAAUCAAAACAUUUAAAAUAGCAAAAAAAAAUUAAAAUUCUAGUUGAUUAGAUUCUAAACAUAGUAAAAAUGAACAGAUCCGAUGAAAAAAACAAAAAAUUCUCAGAUAAAAAUAGGGAUAAAGUAAAAUAUUUAUAAAUAGCUCUUUGUCUCUUAUGCCAUCAAUUAUUUCUAUAGUAUAUACACGUUUUUGGAAAAAUUAGGUUCCCAUCCCUUAUUUUCAUAUUACAUUGAUUGAAAUCUUAUUAUUUUUCUAUUUUAGAUCAAGGUCCCUUGACUUAUUCUAUGUCAUCAUUUUAGUAUUUAAAAUAUUACACGUUAUCAUAAACGAAAUCUCAUCCCUUUCUGCAUUUAAGGCAAAAUAAACUAUAUGAGUAAGUUUAAAACAAGGAAAAUCCAUUUGAACUCCUCCAUUCUUCUUCUUCUCUUAUAAACAUCUGGAAUCUACAACACCCCAAACCCAAUUUUCUCCAUUUUUUCUCCUUUCCUGAAUUGAUCCAAUGCAUAUAUGUUGAAUAAACCUAUUGUGAUUAAAAUACAAAUUAGCAUCAAUGGUUUUAUUGGCUUGUGAGAUUUGUGUGGCAUAGGCAAGGCAAUGCAGGCAUCGUUUUCUCAAGGAAUCUGGUUGAUUCAAACAUGCAGAGACUGUAGAGUGAGUGGGCUAUGUGAAAACUGUACCAUUCUGAAGUCAUUUUCUUUUGUUCUUUAUAUUUUUUUUUCUUUUUCUUUUAUUAUUAUAUAUUAGUCUUGGUUAUUCAAUGCCUGGUUGGCUACACUUAUAUCCAUGGGUACAUUUUUAAUCUACAUGUUUCGUUCUAAUAUAUCUAUUGCUAUAAUAUGUUUUGGUUGGUUCAAAUUUGUUUUACAUAAAUAUAUGGGUACAAAGUUUUUGGAGAAUAUUAUGUAAAUGGUUUUUAAGGUUGCUGCAUUUUACGUACCCACAUAUGCAUGUCUAUAAAACAAUGUGGUAUGAUGUACAUUCUUUUCUUUGAGUUUUUAAAUGUACCCAUGAGUUUUUUUGUAAAUUCGGUAUGUACCCAUAUGCUAUUUAUGUUAUGGGUACAUACAUUAUUUUUGGUCUAAGUUCAGGGUACAUUGCUUUUGUAUGUAUGAAUUCAAGGGGUACAUUAUUUCCCUUAAUACUACUCAAUAAAAUUCACAAAAUAUGUGUAGUGUGCAUGAUUUUUUAUUGUAGAAAUUGUUUUUUUUUAAGUCUCAUAAUUCAUGAAAUUUGUACAUAUAUGAUCCCAUAAAUUUUUUAAUUUUAUUAAAUUUCUUUUAGACUUGAUCGAUUGAUUGAAUCUCAUCAUACUAGGAUUUUGAAUUACAUAAAUUCUUGGAUUUAAAUCCCUUAAAUGUUGGACUGCAAUCAAUAUUUUAAAUUAUAGUUUUUUAUUUAAGAUAUCAAAAAGAUGACAUGGAAAUAUAGUAAUACUAAAAUGCUGAGGUGUACAAAGUCAAAGGACUUUGAUCAAAAAAUAAAAAACAAUAAGAUUUCAAUCUAACAAUUAAAUUGACUAGGGACCGGAACCAAAAUGACCCUAGAUUUUUAUUGAGUUUAAUCUUAAUCAAAAAAAGACUUCUUGUAUCACAGAAAAUACAAGAACCAUUAUUUGAAUGAAAUAAAAGCUAUGGGAUGGAGAUAUAAAUGGAUCAUUUUAUUCACAAUCGGAUUAUAUUUAUUUGAUACACUAUUGUCAAUAUGAAUGUUGAGAAAAAGACUACAAAAGAAAAAACAAUUUAUAAAUAUAACUAACAAUUCCAAUUUCAAUCAAUUAGACAAUUAGAUAAUACAUCAGUAAACGCGGGGUGACUCAGUGGUUAGAAACGAAUUUUAGGCUCGUAUUCUAUACAAUACGUCUUGGGUUCGAUUCCUGACAAUGGUGAAUCACGCGACGGUAGAUAUAGGGGUGUUGUUGGAAGUUUUGAGACUCAAGUCCUUUAUAUAGAUUUAGUGCUUUAGUUUAGUAAUUAGAAUAUGGGUCAUUUGGAAAUGGAUUGAAGGUUUGGGCCUUAUGGUUGUGUGGAUUAGGCUUGUAUAAUAUAGCCUAAAUACAAUUAAUAUUAAUUAAUCAAGACAAGGGCCUUGGGCCUUACUUGGGGCCUUGGAAUUUAAAAUUAAUCUGAUUCAUUAAUUUUAAUUUUCGGAUUAAGUUUUUAAUUAAUUUAUUAUUAAUUAAAAACGUUUUGAUUAAAAGACACAGCUCUUAGAAAAGAGUUAUGAACCUUCAAAUACACUGAACUGGUAUUUGAAAGGGUGUGAAACAACCUAUAUAUCUGCAAUCCAUGGUAUCCAAAUAAAUCAUCUUUUCUUCUUCCUUUUCUUCCGUACAAACUUUCCAGAGAGAGUAAACACACAAAGCAAUUCGCUAGAAUUCUAUAAUUUAGUGCGGGUUAUAGGAUUAGGUAGUUGUAUCCUGGUCGAGCAGACGUUAUAGAACCACAAGCACAAGAGUGGGACGGAAUUACUGUUCGAAUGACAUAGCUUUUACGUUAGCCUCUACCUUCUGUAAUCAAGUUAGUACCGUUGACAUUCUUAUAUUAAUUUCUGUAUUUAUUGUAUACUUUUCAUUUUGUAUAGCAAGUACCUUUUGUUAAAUAAAAAUUGUGAAUUUCAAGUUCUGUUUAUUUCUGUUAUUCUGUUUAUUUCUGAAUUGUUCUCCAACACCCCUAUAUCUACCGUCGCGUGAUUCACCAUUGUCAGGAAUCGAACCCAAGACGUGUUGUAUAGAAUACGAGCCUAAAAUUUAUUUCUAACCACUGAGUCACCCCGCGUUUGAUUAUAUUUCACUUAGACUUAUCUUGCGGUAUAGCAUGUCAUCCCCGCCCAAGUUUUUCUGUUGGCAUUGAGUUUGGGAUACCAAAACUUGCCAAACAAAGUAGAUUGAUUAGUAAGCGAAGCUAAUUAUUCGACUAAACAUUGUUUAGAAUUUUAAUUAAAAGAAACAAUAUGAAUCUGUUUAUUUUUUUUUUUGACAAACUAUAACGUUAAGGAGUUAAAUUGUUAGUUAUUAAGAGUACAAUGAUAGGUGAGGAUCGAACCUCCACCAGAGUGCAUAGACAUUAUUGGUUCUACAACUGCGGUAAAUCACAUAAAACAAAACGUAAUACUUUGAGGAUGGAAGACACUUCGUGGAUAGCGGGCAAUCAACACUAUCAGUUGCUAUCCAAAACUUGGAAUUAUGUUUAUUGUCCGAAGGAUUUUUCUUCCAUUAAAUUGCUAAGGAAGAUGAGGAUGGGUGGAGUGUCUAAAUGUCAAGGUUGACAAGAACGUGUAUGGUGUUCAGCUUGCGAUUGAGAUUUGUUAGAGUGGCACAACAAACCACAUAAAAUUUUCUAAAUGAUAAGCUUGAGUAUAAUUUUUUAUCACGUAUUUAUCUUUAAAAUCAUUAUAAUUAGAUUUUCUCUUAAUUAAUAUAGACCGUUAGAUUCAUCUAAUGACCCAAGUUUUUUUCCUCUUUUCUUUCCACUCUUUUCCAUUCACCGUGUAGCAGUCGUUCUUCCCCAACUACGUUUCUUAUUUUUCUUCACAAAAAAUUUGUAGAAAAUAUUAAGAAAAGAAAAGUCAUCAAUAUCAGACUCGACCAGGUAAUCGUUCCAACCUUCCCAGCAACUCUCAGUCUUAACUAGGCACCAAAUUUUCUCCGCCACCUAACUCGUCAUUCAUUCAUGGGUGUUUCAAGCUUGGUGAAAAUUGAUAGAGUUCCAUGUGUGUACACGGAUGUGAACAUAUUGGCCACUCUCUAAGAAUGAGUCAUUGGAAAAGUUGAAGGAAAGAUGUAACCGAUGAAAUUAAUGGAUUGGAAUUACAAUGAAGUCUGUGUUGGUUUAUCACAAAGAACCCAGAUACAAAAUUUUAAAAGCAAACAAUUUCAACUUCUCAAAUAUUAUCUAACAAACUUUCAAUGAAAUGUUGCUCAUAAUUGAAAAAAGGUUGACGAAGGACGGAGUUGGGGUUAUUUUAGAUGAGGAAGAGUUAAAAGAAGGAAGCACCAUUUAAUUAAUAAAAGUGAUUGGAGAAAUGGUAAUUCAAUGGUGGGCGUUUUUAAGGUGUGGACCUUGUAUCACACCCUGAUCCCAACAUACAUUGAGGAUCGACACGUGACAUGGGGACAUAGGGGACAAAAAUCUUACAUAAGAUACAGAAUGAAAUACUAUAUAAUAUCCCAAAAUGAAUAUGAUAGUGGGUUCACCCCUAUAAAAUACAUACGAGUUUGUACAUUCACAAAAAAAUAAAAAAAAUAAAAAUAAAUAAAAAUAAAAAACACACACACAACUCUCGCUAGGCCAAGACUUGCCCAUGGUGCUCAAAGGAAAGUCCCAAAAGAAAUAGUACAAUGAAGGAUAAAGGGGUAACCUAAACACUCCAAGUCUCUGAUCUCUGCACUGCUACCCCCACCGGCUCCUCGUAAUCUACUCAGACCUGUCACAUGUACAAACAGUGCCUACAUUGUGGGAAUGGUGCACCAGGCAAACAAAAACCCGGAUAAGCUGCAAAACUCGUGUGAGUGACAAUAAUGCAACGUAUGUGAUAAUCAAGAAAAACAGACCAUCGAUCACAGUUUAUAAAUCUCAAAUAUAACUUCAUACUUAUGAAAUCAUAAUCAAGUCACUGAAAACUUCGAAUGAGUCACCCAGACAUCUAACGACUUUUCUAAAUCAAAUCUCAGAGAUUCCCAAAACUAUCGUUCACAAAUACACUAAAAACUAGGGCUAGAGUGACACAGUUCAGCCAAAGCCUACAUAAGUAACCAAAUAAGAAGUGGCCCCCCAUAGCGGAUUAACCAAGCAGAGCCACUCCUGAGAAAGUAACCAAGUAGGUAGUGACCCCCAUCACGGAUUAACCAAGCAGAGUCACUCCUACGAAACUGUUAGGUAGUGAUCACCCAUUACGGAUUAACCAAGCAUGAUCACCCCUAAGCACGUAUGGCCAUACCUAAGAAAUAAGGAUCGCCCAUCGCGGAUUAACCAAGCACGAUCCAAAAAUAUUAUGGGUCCCCUAUCGCCGAUUAACCAAGCAUGACCAUCCAUGUACCACUGCUACAUGGUGUAAAUUCGGUGUCACCUAACCUCGUGACACUAGGGUAACGGUCCUCUAGUAGCCCUCACGUUUUUCAAACAUUUCAAAUAUAUAAUUUAAAACACAAUUCAUAAACAUUUCGAAUAGGGAAGUCACAUAGUGUUUAAUAAUGUAGGUCAAUGGCAAACUUUAAAAACAAUUAUUUAGCAUAAAACAUAUUUUAGAAAUCCAUGCUGUAUCCACAAAGUAUACUAGCACGGGAGAUUUUCAGGGUAAUAACUCUAUCACAUAUAUUAAAGUCACUCACCUGGAGUCCGCACUAACGCACCCUGGCACGAAUAUCAAGACGUCGCGUACUAUCAUCUGCAACAUCCCACAUCGACCAACGAAGAGGGGGUGAUGUGCCUUCUAUGUACAUGCCCACCUCCAUAGCAUGAGGCAUUUUGGGAGCUCACUGGCUUCAUAUUCCAUCGGAACUCCAAAGUUAAGCAAGUUUGGGCGAGAGUAGUCCCAGGAUAGGUGACCCAUUGGAAAGUUAUUGUGUGAGUCCUAGAAACAAAACCGUGAAGGCGUGGCCCGAGGGGGCCCAAAACGGACAAUAUUGUGCUACGACGGAAUCGAGACUGAGAUGUGACAGAAUGGUAUCAGAGCCACUCUGCCGUGUGGUGCGAGUGUGCCGACGAGGACGUCGGGCCCCUAAGGGGGGUGGAUUGUAACAUCCCACAUCGACCAACGAAGAAGAGGUGAUGUGCCUUAUAUGUACAUGCCCACCUCCAUUUAGCACGAGGUCUUUUGGGAGCUUAUUGGCUUCGGGUUCCAUCGGAAAUCUGAAGUUAAGCGAGUUCAAGCAAGAGCAUUCCCAGGAUGGGUAACCUACUGGGAAGUUCUCGUGUGAGUUCCCAGAAACAAAACUGUGAGAGCGUGGCCAGGGCCCAAAGUGGACAAUAUCGUGUUAUGGCGGAGCCGAGAUUGGGAUGUGACAUUGUCACCUAAGACAAAGUACAGAUCCACAUUUAGAGUUCUUCAAGUAUUCACAUAAUAAAAAAUUUCCAUACGCCCCCUACAACUAAUGAACAGAAAUCGAGACACGUUGACAAAAAGUCAACCGUCGAUCAACGGUAGGGUCCACAACCCUACAUAACUCGAUCCGCAAUAUCCAACCACUGUAUUUGUGAUUCAUAAGUUCAUAAGGUCUUCAAAUCCUACCUACAAUAACAUACUAAACUUUGGUGAUGAUCUAAUGGUCGAAUCAUCAUUUGCUAUAAUGUUCAAAUGACGCAAAUUCAUCAAUCAGAUGUCAAAUAUGGAAUCAGACAUCGAAUUUAGCUUAGGAAUGUCAAGUGGUGUCUCGAGCACGCACCGCCGUGCGCAACAGCUGGCAACCUAGAUUCGUCGGAAAAAUCACCUAAUUCCAAAAUGAAUGUUGUGAGACGUGGAGUAAAUUGUAUACCUGUGAAGAAGCCCAAUUUGGCCGGGAAGUGGCCUGAAAUCACUUUAGACCGUCGGAAACCCUAAAAUAGGUGAAUCUCGAUUCGUCAUCCCCGGUAUUCCACCGUUCUCAAACUUGUUUAGGGUUUGCUCAUGGUCUCAAAAGAAUGCUAAUGAUGGUGGUGAUUGAAAGAGAACGUUUCAGAAAUAGUGAAUCACCAAUGAGGGUUUCACGAAACCGACAUGGGUGUUCCUCGUGGAACCAAGACCAAAUCUCAACGGUUUUGGCUAGAAAUGGAUGCUGGGAUGUCAUGGUGAAGUUUGGUAGUGAUGGGAGGUUGAAGAAAGACAAAAAAAAUCGACAAAAAAAUCGUCGUCGGAGUCGCAAGAAACGAGUUAGAAAAAUGAGUCGUCGGGUCUGAAACGUCGAAGGCUUUUGAGACAACUACUUACUCUCUCUUCUCUGAUUAGUCACUCCACUCACUCUCUCAUUUGAUUGGUCCAGCCUUCCCACAUGGUGGGAGUUCCCUCAUAUAGUAACCCAAAAUUUACUAUUUAAAUCUGGUAUUGAACGUCCGUAACUUUUUCGUUAUGGUUUCGAUUCGCAAACGGUUUUCACCUAUGCGCUCGUAUGAUCGAAUUAUACUCAAAAACAUUAAUUAUGACCUCGAAAAGGUCUACGAGUUUUAAAAGAUUAAUUACAAAAAUUCACACCUUGUAACUAUACGAUUCAAAUCCUAAAAUUAACGGAAUUAAAAUAAACUAAAAAUAAUGUAAACACGAAAUACAGACUUUAAUAAUGAAAUACGUAAUUAAUAGUGGAAUUCCGGGGAUGGGAUUUCACAACUUGCGUCCGGACCUUCAAUGCGGAUCAAAAUCCAAAGGUCGUGAUCUGACGAGCUCAUGCAUAGAACAGAGUUGUUGUGACCCAAUGCAAUUCAAAACUUUUAUGUUUUUUUAUUUACUGGGUACGUUUUUUAUUUACUGGGUACAUUUUUGCAAGACGUUAAAGAAAGCGCUUCUUGGGAGGCAACCCAUGUAUUCAAAAAAGGAAGAUCUAUGAAUCGCUCUACAAUUAGUUUUGCGUUUCUAAAAACCUUCCCUUUUCUGCAUUUCUAUUUUGCCAUGAUUGUCAUUUUUUAUUUUUGUUGUUUAUUUAAUUAUUUUUGGGUGUGGGUUUAUUUUUGAAACAUUGACAGAUAUGCAAGAUAUUCUUACAUUCAUUUUCAUGAAAAAAAGAAAAGGGAACAUUAAGCAGGAAAUUACAAGAGGGAGCCUUCACAAAGGCUGCUUAGGAGAAGUCUCAGUAGUCGGCGGAGCCCCAGAAGAAGGAGGCAGCGGAGGUUGAUCAUUUGGAGCUUCAGUACGCGGUGCAGCCCCAGAAGACGAAUGCAAAUGUUGUUGGAACAAACCCACAAACCGCUGAUGAUCAAGUAAAAUCUGACAAUCAGAUUCCUGCAUCUGGUCAAUCUUCCUCUUCAUGUUUGUAGCAUAAUUAUGUGCGAGCCUGUGCAACUGUUUAUUCUCAUGCUUAAGCCCUCUAAUCUCCUGCUUAAGACUCAUCACUUCAGCCGCCAAUGAUUCAACUUGACGGGUUCGGGCAAAUAGGCGUUGGGCCAUAUUAGACACGGAACGUGCGCACUGCACACUGAGAGCUAGAGAAUCCUUUACAUCCAACUCAUCAGACCGUUUGGCAAGUAGUCUAUUAUCUUUGGGAGUGACAGGGUUCCUGACCACCACCGCAGCUGUCAUAUCAUUCUUCAUCACCGAAUCCCCAACGAUAAGGGGACCAGUAGGGGAUAUGAAGGAUGGGCGCCAUAUGUUGUCUGGAGAAGGCGGGACUGCCUCUUCACCAAGGUUCAAGUCAAAACGACGAUCGGAUGGGCCAAACAUUUUCACAGGUGUUAAAGAAAGAAGAGGUCGGACAAGUCAAGAUCGUAGAAGUGCAAGAUGAGAGUUUUUACAGGCAGAAAUUCAAGUGUGCUUUGAACGUCCUACGUACUUCUAUAAAAAUCAGCACUCGAUGGGAUUUCAGAGAUCGAAGAGGCAAGCUCAGAAAUCGAAGAGGCCAACUAAAAAAAUUAAAGAGGCGCUAGCUUUCUCAAAAGCUGAGCUUGCUCAGAAACCACGGCCAAUCUUCUUUUCCAGAUUUGUCCGCACUUGUCACAUGCAACUCGACGGGAUUUCAGAGAUCGAAGAGGCAAUUCCAGAUAUCGGAUAGGCAUCUGCUUUUGCAGACGUGUCAACAUCUGUCACAUGCAGAGUAAGCUUUGCGAAAAUCACGGGCAGUUUGUGAAGCGCCGAUUCCAACCAUCUGCUUUUGCAGACGUGUCAACAUCUGUCACAUGCAUAGUAAGCUUUGCGGAAAUCACGGGCAGUUUGUCGAAGCACCGAUUCCAACCAUCUGCUUUUCCCGACGUGUCAACAUCUGUCACUUGCAGAGUCAGCUUUACGAAAAUUACGGGCAAUCUGUCGAAGAUCUCUUGUGAAGUUUACUAUUAAAUCAUCCAACGGUUGCUGACAAGAGUGAAAGAAUAGUACCGACUAUUAAUUCCUAUAAAUGUCAUCCUUCACCCUCAAUUGCAAGGCAGACAUACAUAACCCCCUUCUUCUCAGAAAAUGCCUUUCCAACACACCCUCUCGAGUCACUCAGUGUUCCUAAUUCCUUGGGGUACCUCUGCAAACAACUCAUCCAAAGCAAAAGUAUUUCAUAUCAUGAAGGUUGAAAGCAAGAGUAUCUCAUAUCAUGCUUUCUCCCUGUCCUUCUCCUUGUCUUUGUUUUAGGACAAGGAGAAAGAGAGCAAUCAGCCAGCACUUGGUAUCAAUCUUCCGAUCUGGAACCGACUGCCUGGAACCCCUUCCUGAUUGCUUACCUAGCCUUGCUCUCGAGAACUCAUCUUCAUCAUCUUAUGCUUCCUCUUCGUCUACCACAUCUGCCUGGGGAACAGAUAAGGGAAGUGAAAAUGAUACCUCGAAGCAUGUGGAAACAAUUUACCAAUUCAUCCUUAGCUAGGGACAAGGAGAAAAAAAGCAAGAGGUGGGCACUUGGAAAGAUUGAAGAAAGAAACAGACCAACACCUCUACCUCAUGCCUGCCCGCCGUGCAGAAGAAUCAAGCAGAGAAGAAUACAGACUGCACAAUCAAAUCAGGGAACUCUCAUAUUUCUCGCUCAGAAUUCCAAACCAGUUCAAGAUCAACGCUGUGGAAAGUCAACAAGAUCAUCUAUCUCCAAAACCAGAUUUGCGUUCUUAAACUCUACUCUGUCUGGUUUUUACUUUGCUAUACUUGUCAUGUUUAUUCGUUGUUUGUUUGUUUGCUUGUUGUUGUGUGAGUUUAUGUUUAAAACAUUGAGGACAAUGUUUGAUUUAAGUGUGGAGGGAUAACCAUUGUUUUGCAUGAAAUUCGUAGGAGUUUAUCACCCAUUACUUCUAGUGUUGUUCCUUGCUGUUUUAAGUGUUUUAAGCUGUUUUGGAGUGUUUCAGUGUGUUUUGACAUAAAAAUCCGAAAAUCUCAUAAAAAUUUGAAAAAUUGUUUUGAAAAACCAAAAAAGAGUUGUUUUUGUAUGUUUAUUUGUGUUUUAGGGUACCUUCCAACACAAUGAUGAGGAUUUGGUUUUUAAUUACAUGACUGUUAAAGAGAAUUAUAAACAUGGAUGAAAAUUUGAUUUACUCUUUGGUGUAUGCUUGGUUGUGGUUAUAAUUUAUGAAUUCACAUGCAAUCAUAAAGGAAAAAUCAAUUUUGUAACAUGCUUGAAAGAAGGAACUCAAAUGUACGCUACAACCUUGUGAGACUUGAGCCUAGACGUUUAUUUGGAGAGUUAAUAAUGUGCAUUUUUGUUUUCUAAAGUCGUUGUAUGAUCUCAUUAUUCUUUGCUUGGUUGCUACCUAGAAUGCGUUCAUCAUUAUAGAUCCACAUACUAGAACUCAUGCCCGUUCCAUUCAAAGCAUGACAUUAAUUUGCAUAACACAUAUCCAAGAUGAAGUUGUUUAGUGAACCAAAGCCAAAAUAGCCGAACCCACCUUUGUCAUUUGUUUUGUAGGUUUAAACCCCGUUGAGCCUUGUUUAGCCUAUUUUCUUUGUUAAACCACAUCAUCUCUACCUAACCUAGAAUAGGACUAUCCAUACCCUUGUUCUUGAAGUAUAGUGGAGCAUAACUUAGAAAGAAUUCAUUUUGAAACUUAUUGGGGGAAUUUAGAUUUCAAAUUUUUUGUGUGCCAAAGAAAACGGCAAGAGAAAAAAUUCGUGAAAAAAAAGAAAAAAGAAAAGAAAAAUUUGCAAAUUUUCCUGUGUUUAAAAGUAGAUGCCUAAAUUAACCCUUACAUUAAUUUUCCUUGAAUAAUUUCUCAUUCCAUCUAAUUUAGAUCCAUCUUGCUCACUAUUCUUUUUAAAUUUGUGGAUUUUGAAAUUUCAAAUGAGAAUGAAAUUGGAUGAGUUCAAUUUUCGUUUAAUUCUUACAAUUAAUAAGAAAUUCCGUCGAAAACAUUUUGAGUAUUGUUUAAUUUUUCAAUAUUACCGUAUUGUGUCAUUGAAAUAAUUAUCAGAGGAAUUAGGGAAUUCUCUUAAGGAACAACUCAAAAUGUAGUACAUGAUUAAAUAAUUCCUUUGAAUGGUCAACUAUGAUCAACAUAUCUUGUAUCAGAUCUUAGUCAAAUACCUGUUAAGAGUGUAAAUUUCUUGUGUGAAAAUGAGUGUAUCUAGUAAUUUUGGCAUUAGGAUGUUACUACAUUCUCAAAAUGCUGUUUUUUGAUUAAAUGAGCUGUGAGGUACUAAUCAAAUAUGCUCGAGGGUAAGAAUGGCUUAAAUUAUGUGAGUGGUGAUCUGGUUCAUGUUUCAUUAAAAAUCCCUGAGGCAAAUGUUGGAAGAUUUAGGUUAUGUUUUGUUUGUUUCGUUUGUUUUGUUUUGCUCGAGGACUAGCAAAAGCUAAGUGUGGGGAAUUUGAAUUUGAUAGGAGCAUUAUUAUGCGACUGAGUUAGCUUGUUCUCAUGCAUUUAUGUUGUUAUUUCUUAGUUAAUUAUGUAUUUUAAGCUAUUUUCGUGUGUUUGUAGGUCCAUAGGCCUUAUAAAGCAAUAAGGUGCAUUUUGGAGCAGUUUUGGGCUUGGAAUGGAUAGCACAUGCAUGGAGUAAGGUGAUGGACGAAAUUGAAGACUAAAGAGGCUUGGAAUGUGUUAAAAAGAAAGAAUAAUUAAUGACAAAGAGCUCAGCAACCAAACAGGGAACAUGAGUCAAGAUUACCUUAUUUUGAUUUAAUCUUUCCUAAUCUUCAAUGUCCCUAAGUUCCAACAACAUUCCUUGUCUAUUUCAUUCACUCAUUGCCUAGCACCACCCUUGUUCCCUCCAUCAUUCCAAAUUUCUUGCAUCAAUCAUCACUCCACCUUAACCCUUGACUCAUUUCUACACCAUUCCACCUCCCUUUCCUUUCUCUACCAUGUGCACAAUCAUUCAUGUUCCCUACUUGCAUUCAUUGUUGCAACACCACUCCAUUUUACCCCUCAUGCUUUGCAUCAUUACUUCACUUUCACCUUUGAAUCAUUUCAACACCACUUCAUUUUACCCAUGGUUUGCAUCAUUACUUCACUUUCACUUUCACCUUUGCAUCAUUACUUCACUUUCACCUUUGAAUCAUUUCAACACCACUCCAUGUCCCCCUCCAUUGCCUUGCCCUUCCUCUAUAAAAGGAAGUGUGUGUAACAUAAAUUUAGUUCAUAUAUUUUUUUAGAUCAUUCACUCCCAUUUCAAUACAACCUUCAUCCAAACACAUUCAUUCAUCUUCACAUCCAUUCCUCCAUACAAACAAACCUUCAAACACUCACCAACACCUUGUGCCAUAGCAAAGGAAGGAAAGGAAAAUGCUUGGACGUGCGUGCUGUCAACUUGGAUCGUUGGAGCGUUUAGGUGUUUUCUUUCUUUUGUUUCCAAUGUUAAAUUCAUUUUCUGAUUUUGUUGCAAUUAUGAGUGGCUAAAACCCUAUUUAGUUAGGGGGAAGUUUGAAGCCAUGAACAUGCUUGAGAUAUGAAUUGAUUUCUUCCAAUUGUGAUUUGAUAAGUUGUGAUUGCAAUUCAAUUAUCUAUUUUAUUCAUAACUGAUUCUUGUAUGUUUAUUAAGGAUGCAUACUUAAUUUUCAUGCAUGAAUUAGAUGCUAGAAUAUAAAUGAGUUUCACCUAAUCGUUACAAGUUUAUAUUCAUGAGUAGUGAAGGUUGUUUAUCACAAUCUGACACACCCCGUCCCGAAGGAGGGCGUGCUGGCCGUCACGUGAGAGUGACGUAACCAUUUACACAGUUCGGAAGCUUUAAAAAAAAAUUCCAAUUACUAAUAUAACACACCCGAGGGUGAGUCCUACUUUUGUGAAUUCUGUCAGAACACCGUUGGAUUCCUCGUGGCCACCAAAGCUCUGCUAACUUGAACCUGGGGCGCAAAACAAAAGCUUGAACUUGAACCUUUCAGGCGCAAAACAAAAGUUUUUUCGAAAACUUUUCAUUUAAAACAUUUCUAACCCCUCACUGUAAAACCUGUAUACUUUCCCAGAAAAUAGUGUAUAUAUAAACAUAUAUAUAAGCAAAAAUCUCGAAUCUCAAACCUUUAACACUUUUCAGAAAUAUAUAUAUAUAUAUAUAUAUAUAUAUAUAACCAUUUGAAAUCUCAAGACUUGAAUCCCAAAUCUUUAACAUUUUUCAAGAAAAGCAUGCCAUGCCAUAAAUCAAAAAUAUAAAUCAGGUGAAAUAAGGAAUCAAUCGGAGACCCUGCAGUUGGUCCUAUACGAUUAAUUCAAUAGCUCAUUAUCUCACUAAGCCGGAGUCACCACAGUAACCUAUACGGCCCUACUCUGCACAUCACUCAGAACUACGUAAGGUAGUCUAUACGAUGAAAGGUGUAAAAAUACGCUCUAGUGCUUCUCUCAUCAUAUCAUCAGCGCGCAUAACUAAGAUCACCCACUAGUCGGAAUCACGCCUAGUGAUCUAUACGACUAGCAUGUCGGAACCCUCACAUGGUCUGUACGACAUCCACCUACUUGGAUCCAAGGCGAGCGUGCGGUGUGGUGAAUAAAAUAAGCACUAACACCUAGGGUGCAGGUUAUGAGCUUAAAACAUCUUAUCAACAAUCAAUUAAAUGAAUAAAUGAACUCACCUGACUUACCUGUGCCUCCACCGCACCAUGCAACAUGUAUGCAUCAAAUAUCAAUUCGUAUAACUCAUACGCAAUUCACAUUUUUCAAUUAAUUCUAUGCAUGGCAUUUUUAAAACAUAUUUUCAUAUAAAUUCAUUUUAUGGGAAAAAUCAAUAGUAUAAAGGUAAUACAAAAACAAAACUGCCCACUCACCUGGAGUUCGCCCAACAACUCCCUAGCACCACACAUCAAGGCGUCAUGAAGAUUAGUGCCUAGAACAAUAAUCAAACCCAACCUCAGAAAUCAUGCCGAUAGAAUACAUAACUUAUAUAAGACGCGUCCCUACGUAGUUCGAUCCGGAUGAUCUGCAACUCGGAUUUCAAAUCCGUAACUUCCAGAGGUCCACAAUAUACCUCUAGGACAACAUCCUAAAAUUUCAUUACCAUCCAACGGUCGGAUCUCCGUCAAUUUCCAAAACUAAGUGCCGGUUAACAUUCUAUUUUAUGAACUUACAACUCCAAUUCCGGAAGAUCCGUAAAUCGGAUUCCCAAUCCGUAAGUUCCUAUAAUCCUCAAAUAUUACGUAUUACAACGUAUCAACGUUUGGUGACGAUCCAACGGUCGGAUCGUCAAUUCACAUUUUCACCUAACUACGAAUCGUAACCAACUUAGGUUCAAUUACUCAAUUUACGUCCAUCAAUUAUCAAAACUGAACCUAGAGCCUUAAUCACAUGCUAAUAAUGACAUUGGCGGGCCAUUGGCCAUGCGCCGCCGCGCGGGCCGCCGCGGGUGGCGGUUGGCCGCCCCCGGCUCGCCGGAAAAUUCAACUAUUUCCAAAAAUUACCAAAAUUUGCAGAUUUGAAGAUAUCAAUGAGUAGAACAACUUUCAUACCUGUGGCCAAGGCCAAUUUGGCCUGGAAGUGCUUCAAUUUCACCAAAACCGUGAAGAACCCUAGAAUUAGGUGUUUCCAAUUCGACCUUCAAACUUGUUCCAACGCCUCAAUUACCUCUUAGUAUUUGUUCUAGGUCCUAAAGGAAUGCUAAUGGUGUUAGUAAUUGAAAGAAAACAUUUCAAAAUUUCAAGAAUUUAAACAAAAGGGUCGCGGCACCCGUGUGGGUGUUCUUCGCGAAAUCACCAUGAAAUUUAAUGAUUCUUGGGGUGAAACGUGAAGAGGGAAGGCCUAGAUGUUGAUUAGGAGUGGUACCUUGACUCAAUUCGUCGGAAAUUUGGACGAAAAUGGUGAGAACCCGCCGAUUGGAAGUCGCGGGUCGCACGGGUAUACGGGUUGGGAAAACCCAUUUCUUCCUUCUCUCCUCCGCUUCUCGCCCUCUCUCCUUUCCUCCUUUCCUUCCUCUGGUUGGUCAGCUUCUCCCUCUCUCUUCUUCUGAUUCGCCUCUCCUCCUUCUUCUCCGAUUGGGCAGUUUUUGCCCAAUCUCUCUUCUUCUUUCUGUUUUCUGGUUCUUCUCACGCGCACACACACACACAACUUCCUUUUUCUCAUCCCAGCCAUCUAUUUCAUUCAUCAUUAAAUCUGGGUCGUCCAUUUUCAUAAAAGAAUUUCUAUUUUACUAAAAUUAUAAUUCCUUAAAAUCCCAAAUUUCAAACGUUAAUAACUUCUUCGAUAUAACUCCAAAUCACGAACCGUCUACGCCCACGCGUCCGUAACGACGAGUACUACGAGGAUAUGUCAAGAAAACAAAUCUUAGAUGGCACGACACAACGAUUAACCUCGAAUGAUGUGCGUGCCUCAAAGGGCAUUUUUGUAAAAUCCUUUAUGAAAACUUUAAAAAUUCUUAAAAUUAGGGACGGGCUGUCACACAAUCGCGUUAAUUGAAUUCUUGGCAAUUGUAUCAUGCAUUCAUAGUUAUAAUUGUCUCGUCAACACUUAUGAUUUUCAUUGAACGUAAUGAUCUCUGAUUGUAUCUCUAUUAUGCAUUAAUAUAGGGGACUUUUAGAGGAUGAUUUGGGUUGUCGCAUGCAUUCAUCCAAUUCAAUGAGUAAAGGAAAAUCUGAGGGUUAAUUUGUGCAUCACGGUUAAUCUGGGUGUUGAGCAUAAUAGUUUAUUGAAAAGCAAUUGGAAAUCGAUUCAUGUACAAGUGUGUCAUGUGUGAAGAACGGACCUCUAACUAAUCCAUCCAUCAUUUUAUUUCUCAAAUUCAUUUUAUAAUCUGCCUAGUUUUAUAACUUGCUUGUUUAUUUCAAAUUCAUCCAAACCAAAAUCCCCUUUUUACUUUCUUGUUUCAAAGUGUUAAAUUUCUGUUUUGUUUGUGUUUUUGAGUGUUUUGAUUCAAGCCAAAACACUAAAUUCAUCCAAAGUUGAUUUAAAGUCCAAAUCUGACUAGUUUGUGUUUUUAGGCAGUUUUGAGUGUUUUUAAGUUGUUUUGAAUCUUUAGAAUCUGUUUUGAGUCCCUUGAGUCUAUUCAAACAUUUUUAAUUUUGUUUUUAUGUUUUUGAGUCAGUUUAAAGGUUUUAGCAAGCCCUCCUAAUCCCCGGUUUAGAACGAUCCCUACUUGCAUUUAUACUACAAUUUGACAACAAGAGGGUUUAAUUUGAGUGCUUAACUUUCAUCGCAUCAUGUGAGUUCCCAGAAACAAAACUGUGAGGGCGUGGCCAGGGCCCAAAGCGGACAAUAUCGUGUUAUGGCGGAGCCGAGAUUGGGAUGUGACAUUGUCACCUAAGACAAAGUACAUGUCCACAUUUAGAGUUCUUCAAGUAUUCACAUAAUAAAAAAUUUCCAUACGCCCCCUACAACGAAUGAAGAGAAAUCGAGACACGUUGACAAAAAAUCAACCGUCGAUCAACGGUAGGGUCCACAACCCUACAUAACUCGAUCCGCAAGAUCCAACCACUGUAUUUGUGAUUCAUAAGUUCCUAAGGUCCUCAAAUCUUACAUACAAUAACAUACUAAACUUUGGUGACGAUCUAAUGGUCGAAUCAUCAUUUGCUAUAAUGUUCAAAUUACGCAAAUUCGUCAAUCAGAUGUCAAAUAUGGAAUCAGACAUCAAAUUUAGCUUAGAAAGGUCAAGUGGUGUCUCGAGCACGCGCCGCCGUGCGCAACAGCUGGCAACCUAGAUUCGUCGGAAAAAUCACCUAAUUCCAAAUGAAUGUCGUGAGACGUGGAGUAAAUUGUAUACCUGUGAAGAAGCCCAAUUUGGCCGGGAAGUGGCCUGAAAUCACUUUAGACCGUCGGAAACCCUAAAAUAGGUGAAUCUCGAUUCGUCAUCUCCGGUAUUCCACCGUCCUCAAACUUGUUUAGGGUUUGCUCAUGGUCUCAAAAGAAUGCUAAUGAUGGUGGUGAUUGAAAGAGAACGUUUCAGAAAUAGUGAAUCGCCAAUGAGGGUUUCACGAAACCGACAUGGGUGUUCCUCGUGGAACCAAGACCAAAUCUCAAUGGUUUUGGCUAGAAAUGGAUGCUGGGAUGUCGUGGUGAAGUUUGGUAGUGAUGGGAGGUUGAAGAAAGACAAAAAAAUCGACAAAACAACCGUCGUCGGAGUCGCAGGAAACGGGUUAGAAAAAUGAGUCGCCAGGUCUGAAACGUCGAAGGCUUUUGGGACAGCUACUUACUCUCUCUUCUCUGAUUAGUCACUCCACUCACUCUCUCAUUUGAUUGGUCCAGCCUUCCCACAUGGUGGGAGUUCCCUCAUAUAGUAACCCAAAAUUUACUAUUUAAAUCUGGUAUUGAACGUCCGUAACUUUUUCGUUAUGGUUUCGAUUCGCAAACGGUUUUCACCUACGCGCUCAUAUGAUCGAAUUAUACUCGAAAACAUUAAUUAUGACCUCGAAAAGGUCUACGAGUUUUAAAAGAUUAAUUACAAAAAUUCACACCUUGUAACUAUACGAUUCAAAUUCUAAAAUUAACGGAAUUAAAAUAAACUAAAAAUAAUGUAAACACGAAAUACAGACUUUAAUAAUGAAAUACGUAAUUAAUAGUGGAAUUCCGGGGACGGGAUUUCACACCUUGCAUCCGGACCUUCAAUGCGGAUCAAAAUCCAAAGGUCGCGAUCUGACGAGCUCAUGCAUAGAACAGAGUUGUUGUGACCCAAUGCAAUUCAAAACUUUUAUGUUUUUUUAUUUACUGGGUACGUUUUUGUAGGAGGAAAAGGGGAAGUCGAGAGAUUCUUUGCGCAUUAAAGAGGGAAAGAGAGAAAGGGGGAGCUAAGAGGUUCUUCGCGCGUUAAAUUUUUGCUUCUGAUUUUGCAACCUAGAAAUAAAGUAUUUUCUUUAUGGUUUAUGGUUCAAGAAUAUAAUGGAUACAGCCUAAAAAUGUUUCUUUUUUUAUUUUUUACUUUUUUUUUCUUAUGUUGGCUUUUGGUUUAUUUUUAUAAUGCACUAUAUAUUAACUAAAUUUAUAAACAUUUUGUAUCUUUGUUGCAGUCAAAUUAAUCAUAUGGGUCGGCAUGACGAAGUUCGACUGAGACAUACAGAUGUUUUGCAAUCUUAAGUCUAACCUGACACACCCCGACCUCAAUAUCUAGUGGACACCAAAAUUGAGGUGUGAUGGCCAUCAUCCGGAUGGGUGAUGAAACCAUAAUAUGCAUGAAACAUAACUAAAUUAUCAACCAAUAAAAUCUAUUGAAAAAUUUGGCAGAACAUCCCUUAAAAUAGGGAUAUGCCCAAAUUAAAAACACUUGCACAUGAUCAAAAUUAUUCAACACUUCCCCGAAGGGCCACACUUAAUGGGACUUCGACCAUCUAUUACAUGCAUGAGAAUAUGUUCAGAGCAUAAUUACCCAAACACGUCUUAUUAAAAUAUUGAGUAAAUACCAUACAAGAUAGAAUACGUCAGAGCUGUUGCAAAAUACCUCAAUGUCCGAUGUAAUCACUGAUAGAAUUACUGAAUCAUGUAUAGAUGGAAAGCUGAUAAAUACAUGUAAUUUGAGUGGAUACUUACCAGCAGCAUGGAUACAAUAUCAUCCACCGGUCGUAACUAAUGACAAGCUGAGAGUAUAACUGUAGUACCUCUUAUUAGUGCAAUGCAUGAUAUGAAUUCCAUCUCACAUAUAUAUGCAAGCCAUAAUCAAACCAAUAAACAUCCAACAAAAGCCACAAUCCUUUUAACAUUCGACCACAAGAUCAAUUUUCAUAUUUCCCAAACCUAGGUUCCAAAGCAUUGUUUCGAAUUAUUAAUACAAGAAACCACCACCACCUCAAUCAACUCCUAUUCCCAAGUGUAAGCAAUUACUAAAUGCAUCACUUUCGACUCUAGUCUUAAUUAGAUUACUUGGGAUACUCAUUCACACCAUCAGAUCCAAGUACUAUUUUGAUAAACUUUAAAUAGCAUGGUUAAAAUAAAUGAAACACUUUUAGAAAAUAAGUGAAGAUGUUGUUUACAAAUAUAGAUGCAUCUGUAUAUAAAAGCUUUGGCGGUUGAUCCGUAUACACUUCCAAAGAUAUAAGCAAGUUCAUUGGAAUAUACAUGCAUAGUUAAUGUAUUACAGUAUAAUUAAUAAGAAAACAAUUGCAUCCCUUUAAGAAUAUAUAUAUAUAUAUAUAGACACACACACAUACAUACACACAGGCCCUUUAUGCAAAGGAAUUUCCAUUUUUUUUCAAAAAAUGGGGAUUAGUUGUGGGGCCCACGUUGCAUUGAACUUUAACGAUCCGAACAGUCUAUUUUGUAAGUCUCGAUUCAUAUAUCAUCCUUGUAAAAAUUCAAUUCAAUCCGAACCCAUUUGCCUAUUUAAUUAUCAAGAUAAAAUUUUAUUGUUUCUUAUAUAACAAAGUAUUCGUUAAUUUCUUUGAACUCAAUUAGAUAUCUUAAACAUUUCCGAUUUGGUUAAUAUUUUGUAAGGAUGAUCUAUGUGGUGCAACUUGAAAAAUAGACGAUUACGAUCGUUAAAGUUCGAUGUGGUGUAAACCCUACAAUUAAUCUUCAUUUUUAUAAAAGAAUGGGAACCCCUUCCCUUAAAGGUUUCCUAUGUAUAUAUUUGUUCUCCAGACAUAUGCAGAAGGUAAUGUAAAACUAAUGAGAACUUAAAUGGAUAUUCCAUACAUAGGACAAUUCCAUAUAUGCUUUUUCAACAUUUAUAUCGAAAAGCCAAAUUGUUUUGAGGAAAUUAAUUGUAGCAAUGAUCCCUUAACUUUUAUCUUAUUGGAACAAUGGUCUCUCAACUAAAAAUUCAUGACCAUUGGUUCCUUAACACCACACAACGUGUAGUUAUGGUCAUUUUCAUUAACUCCGUCAGAACUUUUGUUAAAACAAGUAAUGUUAGAAGAAUCAUUGCUACAAUUAGGUUAAAGUUGGGGACCAUUGCUCUAAUUAAAUUAAAAUUGAGGGAUCAUUUCUCCAAAUUGCUUAAAGUUCAAGGACCAUUUCUACAAUUUUCUCAUCUAGUUUCCCAUAUUUACCCCAUGAUUCAGCUUCACAUGCAUUGCACAUGACUCAUUUUGACAAAAAAUUUAACAAAAUUGACGAAAAUGACCAUAAAUGCACGUUUUGAAGAGUUAAGAGACCAAUGGUCGUGGAUUUUAGUUGAGGGAUCAUUGCUCCAAUUUGGUUAAAGUUGAGGGAUCAUUGCUACAGUUUUCUCAAAUGUUUCGUAUGCGAAAAUAGGCAUUUGUAAAGUUUGGCUUGUUUAUGGCAUUAUUACUUUAGUCUAAAGUAAGGCUGGGAAUGGCACUGUAGAAAUGAAUAGUGUUCCAAUCCGAAUUUCAGUUUAAUUACAACAAUGCCAUUGCUCUUUGUGUUGCCUUUAGGUGAGCAGCCCGGCUUGCAGUCAGGCCCAAAUGUAUUGGUUUUAGCUGAGAAGCCCGGCCCUUGGUCAGGCCCAAAAUUUUAAAUUACAGUUUUGCCCAUACAAAAUAACAAUCCGAUUGUAUCGGGAAGGACAAUUUUGUCCUUUCAGUUUUGGGUGAGAUAAGGGGUAACAGGGUAAGUUUCAUUUGCUGUCGUUUAAUGAGGGUUUCGGGGAUGAGGGCUCUGUGUGUGUGUGGAUGAGAGAGAGAGAGAGAGAGAGAGAGAGGGAGAUGGCGAUGGAAGGAGAGCGAGGGGGAAGGGAAGGGUUCUCGGCACUGUUGCUGCAUGUGGAUUUCACAUGUGGGAGAGUGGGUAUGGUCAGAGAAAACCAUAUAGGUCAUUGGGAUUUCAGGGAAACGGGGUAGGGGUCAUGAAUGAACUCUGCUGAGAGUGUGGGUACCGGAUCUUGCGCUGCAUGCCUCAAAUCAAAGAUAAGUUCGUUUUUUUAUUGUAUUUUUUGUGGUAGCUUAGCUUUUGGAAUUGUUUAGUAUGUUAGGUCCGAUUUUGGGGGAUUUAUCUUUUUAGAGAGAGAGAUGGACAGGGAGAUAGAGAGAGAGAGAGAGAGAGAGAGGAGGAGGAAGCAUGACUGUGUGCAAUUUUUGGUGUUAAUUAAUGGGUUGGUGCGUAGGGUGAGUGACAGAGUGACAGAGUGAAGGAGGGACGUGUGGGAGGGUAUGAGUUUUCAGUUCUUUCUUUUGAUUCAACAGGUUAUACAUUGUUUGAAAAACCUUUUUUUAUUAUUUUUUUCUCGUUUGCUUUGUUAAAACCAUCAUUUGAAUUUUUGGGUUUCACUGUGUUCAUUUCUCUGCUUCUUCAUAAUUUGCUGGUGUUUGCUUUUCAUCCCUCUAUUGGUAGAUCUUUUUCUCAUUUCUUGGUUCCUUAUGUAUUCUUUGGUACAAAUCUAUUUACUUUUUGGCUGUGUGAUAAUCUUAGCAGGUGAACUAUAUGAACGUUUUUUUUGAAACGAGUUAAGAAGAUCCAGCUGAAAAGAGCAUGCAAGAUAGAGAACUGGUAUGCUGCUCGCCAGGGAAAGGCUGCUGGAGAGGCUGAGACGGAUGCCUCCUUCAAAAACCAGGUCAGUUUCCUGCUACUCGGCGUCUUAAUGUAUCCAAAUUGUUUAUCUUUUGAUGAAAUUAGCUGGCUUUAUUUUCUAUUUUAUUUAUCUGCAUAUUAUUUUGGUUUGUUGAAAUUUUGACUAUAGUCAUUGUGUCACAUGGGCGCCCAGCCCAACCCAAAUUAGUUGAGGAUAUUUAAAUCUUCACCAUGGUAUUAUAGUACUCACUCACAGUUGUGAAUACUAAGGUGCAGGCAUGGCAUGAAGAAGUGGACCGUGCACGCCAAGGUCAGAGGGAUGCAGAGGGCAAACUUUUUUCUUUGGAGGUAAGUAUCCUUUGUUUAUUGCCCAACAGUGUUGUUAUUAUCAAUUUGUAGCUUUGCGUUCUGAAUUUUUUGCUUUGUCAAACAACCUUUUUGAAAUGCUCGAUUUCAAGCCGAAGUCCAAAAAAUGAGAGUUGAGAUGGCUUCCAUGAAGAGGGAUGUAGAGCAUUACUCGCGCCAGGUGAAAUCUGCUUCCUCUCUUUUCGUAUAUCUUCAUAUGAAGAGUUUUACUAAGUUAUAUUGAGAACUAUGUUAUUUAUAGGUUAUAUUUUCCAUUUUGCAAGAACACAUGGAGCUAAGGAAGAGCUAUCGUGAACUCACUGAUCUACUGGUAAUGUCACUCAAACUGCUUUAUUUGUGCAUGCUGCUACUAUGCGCUUGAAUGCAUUUUAUUACUGGCGGGAUGCGAAGAAUGCUAGAUAUAUGUGCUGGAUCGCUUGAUUAGUGUUAGGGUUUUAACAACUAAUUGUUAGCAGCUAGAAGCUCUGGUUAGAUGAAUGCUAAUUUGAUUUUCCUUACAGUACUUGAGUGCCAGUUUCAUAUUGUUUGUUCCCUGCUGGAUACAUGCUGUACAGUUUCAUUUCUGUUUCUUCAUAACUUUCUUGGCCCUGCGAUAUAUGCAUAUUGAGUACAAUGAAUAUCCAUUGUUCUCUAACUGUUGGGCUUUACUAUCUUUGUAGCAGCCUGCCUAACAUUUUUUAGGCUCUACACUCUACCAUCCAAUUUAUGAAAAAUUCAAAGAUUGGACGGUAUUGAUUGCAUAAAUGAAAAAAAUACUAUGAUAUUAGAAAGGUGAAUGUAAUUGUGUUAGAAGAAGCGUCUAGCAUGAUGGGUAAUAUUUUAAGUUUGUAUUUCUAAAAUUUUUUCGUUCUGGAGUAUGAUUUACCUCAAUUGUUUUGUACUUUAAUCUUUACUAAUUUUCAUUGUGGAGUAUGAUUUGCCUCAACUAACAACUUUUCAUUGUUUAACUUUUUCCUCCCUUAGAUAGUUGCAUAUGUUUGAUUUGUUAAUCUGCUUCUUACACAUGUUGUUUCCUAAUGGUGUAGGUGGAUUGCCGGAUGCAUGUGCAGAUUACUUGAAUAGACGAAGCUAAGAAUGACUUAGUAUUAAGUGAGAAAGAAGCUUGGGUCAGUUGGAUUUUGACAUUUGAUUUAUUCAUGUUUUUUUGUUGCUUGCAAUGUUCUCUCAUUGUUUGUUCUGAGAUUCUGUGAUCUUAUUUUUCAUAGGAACUGACAUUGGUUUGCCAUAUAAUGUUUCAGGAACUAAUACAACAACUAAUCACCUUGCUUAGGUCUCAAGACACAUACUUAACAGGUUAACAAACGCUAACCUAUAAACUUAUCUACUAAGCUGGACCAUUAACCUCUGUUUAUAUCCCUGCCACUCAUCUUUUGGCACUUAUCAAUAGCAAAAUCUAGAGUUGUUGAAACCCCAAUUUUAAUGAAUAUUAUUUUUAGUUGAUAAUUAAAAUUAAUUGAUGAUUAAUCUAUUCCAUUGUGCAUUAUUUUAUCGCCAAAUACUUUGAAUAUUCAUUAGCAAAAGAUAUAGGGUUCACUAUUUAAUGAAUAGAAUUUUGAUGGUGGAUUGCAUUUCCUGAGUUAUAAAUGUGGUGAAUCCAUUAUUUACUAGCUGAAUAAUCAUAAUGUUUUGGCCACUUACCUUGAAUUUUGUUCAAAUUGAAGAAGUCACAUGUUUCUUUCUGUUGUUGAGGUAAUCUCUCUGUUGAAAGCUUCUAUUUCUUUUUUCUUUUUCUUUUUUUCAUUUGGGUAGAUUUUUUUUUUAUGGAUUUAUGUAUUUUUUUUCUUCAGAGAAUUCGAAAUGAAAUAAGAAUAGCGGAUUGAGCAUAAACAAAUUGAUGAAAUUUUUAUUUGAGUGUUUGUGUUGGUCCUUUUUUGAUUUGUUGAGGUUUGGAAUUAUUUGAGUUUUUUUGCUGUUAGUACUGUGAAGGAUGCUUGGCAAUCGCGAAAUGGGGGCUACCUCUUUGGAAAGAGAAGUCUCGCUAUCCAACCUCUCAUGAAUUACAAACAGGGUGCUUUCUUGCUGAAAAACCACUGAAUCAGUAGAACUUUCCUCGGUUCUUCAAUUCGAUUCGAAUAAUUUUUUUACCCAGAAAAGCCAGCGUUUCCUGGUGAGUUUUACAGCUUUCUCAAUGUUUUUUUUAUUUUGGAUUUGCAAAUUUGUUUUCUGUUCAAAUUUCCUUUUGUGAUUUUGGAGGUUUUGUUUAUCGAUUCUCUCACUCAUCUCUCAGCUCUCUCCCACUUUUGAGGUACAUGUCGUUGGAUUCCGUUUGCUGCUGUUGAUCUGCAGGUAAAGCUUCAAUUACCAUACAAAGUUUACAUUUUUCAUGAUUUCUUGAAUUUGGGUUUUAAACAAAGGAAAUAUUGCUAGAUUCUUAUCUUAUGUGCAAAUUACUGGCUAUUUGGAUUGGUGCUUGAGAUUUAGAGAAUGUCUCGCAGCUUUAAUUUCUUUUUCCUUCAUUAUUACUGUUUUCAAAAUUUUUAUUGCUGGGUAUUGAUAAUUUGUAGUAUGUGAGGGCUUCAAUAUGUUGGAAUUUUGAAUGGUUAUUGCUUCAUCGGAAUUUGGGUGGUCCAAAUUUUGAAUUAGAAGAAACCCAUUUGAUUAAUAUUUUUGGUGGAUUGGUUCUCUGUGUUUUCUUUGCUAUUUCUCCCCCAGUUGGAAAUUGGAAGCCCCAACUUUGAGCUCAGAGCUUGAAUUUCUCAAUCGUUCGUUUCUCUACACUCUCAUCAGUCACUCUUGAUCCUCUAUCUAAAGAACUGGGUAAUUUUCCAGCUCUAUCAAGUAAUACUCAAUUUAAUUGCUUAAUUGAGGUUUUUUGUUUCUCUUUUUCGCUCUUUCAUCAGUUCAUUGGCUUUGAUGUUGAGCUUAAGUAAAUGGGAGAUCAUUAAUUGGCAUUGUUCAAAAUAUAAUUAUGUGUUUUUGGAUUUGUGAAACGAUUUGCCUAAUGAUGAUAGUGGUUAAAAUAAAUUUUUCGUUAUGAAAGAGAACAUUGUUCUUCAUUUGCCUACGGUUUUAACUACAAAGUUAAACUACUAUGCUUUUGUUCAAUUGAUUGCAACUCAUGCCGCAGUUUGCUUCACAAACCUCUAUGGUUAGCUUCCAUACAGUAUGUUGCAAGUUUGAGGAUAUCUUUACAUCUUAAUUUUUGCUCUCUCUGGUUGCUUCAAGUUUGUAAUUUUACGUGUUACAUUGCUACUUGAUUUGAUUAUAAAAAUGCAAAAGAAAAUCCAUUUUGCUUUUAUUCAACUUAAAUGUAUCCUUUUGUUUGUUCAUAAUUGUGUUGAAUUUAUUCAACUUAAAUGUGUUUUAUUCAUCUGUUUACGCUUAAAACAACUGGUUCCCCUAGCAAUGCGCGGACCUAAUUUCUAGUACAUAUACUAAAAGCCAGCAGAAAAUUACUGUUCAUCAUGGGAGAUAGAGCACUGUUCAUUAACAGUGAAAGGGAAAAAAUGCCCUCGGUUUCUUCUUUACUUCACGUACUGUUUACGAAUUGCUACAGUAUAAAGUCCGUUUUGUCAUUCCUGUCCACGCAUCUUUCAUCGUCCGUUUCUCUUGCUUCGACCGCAUCUUUUUCGCUUUACCUUUCCUCUUCGUUUUUCGCCUUCGCUAGGCUGCAAUUUUCGGAGGUGGAUUGUUUGCCCUUCUAUUUCCAUGCUCUCCCCAUGCCCUCCAUUGAUGUGUGGUCACGGUUAAACUAUGUCAACAUUUUAUAUUAAUUUUUUUAUAGAAAUAAUAAAAUAAAAAGUAAUAGGUAUCCAGGAAAUUUUCGUCAAAAUAUCCAGGAAAUAGGUAUCCAGGAAAUUUGCUUUACCGAUAUUUUAAUAGGUAUCCAGGAAAUUUGCUUUACCGAUAUUUCGCCGAUAUUAUCGGUUUUUUGCUUUACCGAUAUUUUAAUAGGUAUCCAGGAAAUUUUCGUCAAAAUAUCGCGAUAUUAUCGAUAUUAUCGAUAAUAUCGCGAUAUUUUAGAUAAUAUCGAGACAUUUUGGUUUCUCGACAGUCAGUCACAAUCUCGCCGGAGAAUCAGAAUAACUCCGAGCAAGAACAAAACCUGCAACCAAACGGAACAAAAUCAUCACUAUCUUUCAACAAAAAUCACCACUUUAUACCAAAAUCAGUGACAAAAUUACACUAAUCCGAGAAGCAAGGGCUUGAAUUCGAGCAAGAUCUGGAAGAAAACAGUAGAAGCUGAGAAAUCGAGUACCUCACCGGCAGUUACAGUGCUAAAGAUCAUCAUCUUUGGAAGGCCGCGGAUCAGACGGAGCUGAGAGAUCAAUGAGUAAGCAUUUCAUAGAUCGUAUUCGAUGAGCAGCUGAAAGAGAGGAGAGAGAAAGCAGAGAGAGACGCGGACGAGGAGGAUCUCGCUGAUGGGGACGACGAAGGAGAGGUAGAGGUCGCGGCCCGCGGGACAUGGUGACGGGCUCGACGAGGAGGAAGGCGAAGGAGGAGCAGAGGAGAUGGGUGCGUGCGUGCUGCGGUGCAGAGAAGAGAGAUGAGGGAGAUAUGAGAGAGAGAGAGCCGAGAGGGAGACAGAAGAAAAAGAAAAGAAAACAGAAAGAAGAAGAAAAGAAGAAGGGAGUCGCGGGGGAACAAAGAGAGAAAAGAGAAAAGUGGAGGGGCUGCCACGUGGCCACUUCAGAAAGAAAGGGAUCCAAUGUUUUGGAUCCUGAUUGGGUAGUCAAAGAGGACCAAUUUGAUAUAUUAAAAUGUUUAGGGGAUAAUUACACAAAUAUAUCUUUAUAAAUGGGGGUGGGUGUUACAUAUUGCCCUAAAAAACUCCAAGUAAUUACAACAUCGUAUUAGAAUUGUAAUUGAUCCUUGUUAGAUUUGGUUUAGAAAUUCUAUGUAAUUUAGUGAUUGUUUCAUAUUAGAUUUAGAUUUGAAUUUUUUACUCCAUUCAGAUUUUAAAUGAUUAUAAUAGAUUUAAAAAUUUACGAACUUUGAUGAAGUUUAAUAAUUUUUAAAACUUUUAUGUAAAAUUUUAAGUGAAUUCCCUCAAAUUUUCAGGUAGCGAUUUGAGAAUGUUUAAAAUAUUAUGUGAAAUAUUUCUAAUUUUUUCGAGUUUCCCAGCUUUUUAAAAAUCUCUUUGAAUCAAUUUCUAAAUUAAUACAUUUGGAAUGUAUGAAUUUCUUAAAAAUCAUGAUCGAAUACCCCUUAAACUUUAAAGAAUCACUUAAAAUCCUAAUUAAAUGCCCUUAGAUUUUUAAGGAGAAUUAAAAUGUUUAUAAGCCCCAAUUGGAUGUACCGCUUAAUUUAACUAAUUGACACAACACAACAUAACCAGUUAAGAUUACAAAUUAACACAAAAGACGACUUGAUGCGAGGUCAUAUCUACAAAACUUGCCGCAAUAAGCCCCAAUUGGUGUGUUUAAACUUCUUUCAUUAAUUACUACAUAUUUUCUACACUCAUAAUGUUUGUCAGCUCGCUAUAUAAUCAACUUGAUAAUGUUAAAUCCAUCAUGCAAUGCAUUUCCUUCCAAUUUUUUGUGAUAAACUAAUAGAUAAUUGACUAAAUAAACAUCCUGCAAAGUUUCAAUAAAAAUUUUCAAGUUUUUUUUACAAUUUCCGUGAUUUUCAUGUAAUUUUUAUCGGUAUCGAUAUUAUGCCGAUAUUUUUAUCAAUAUUUCCGUGUUUUCGAGUACAUAUUUCCGAUAUUACCGAUUCAUCCGCGAUUUUCUCCCUUUUCGCCAGCCCCUCUUUUGCUCUCAAAUCCUUGCUCUUUCUUUUUCAAACUAGUCUCAGAAGAGAUCCUGGGUUUAUCUAAUCCUUUGUUGUUCGGCGUUUUGUUCUCAUCUUGCGAUCGUCGGGGCAGCAGCUUUAAGGUAAGUUUGUUUUUAAUGAUUUAUCCUCAAUUUACGAUGUCUGGGCUAACAAAUUUAAGAUCUUUAUUUUUCUUUUUGCUGUGGAUCUGCAGGUUUUGACAAGUUUUUUGUGAAAUUGGUGCUGUCAGUGGGUGUUAAUAUCAGGUACCCAUGUUCAGUUUUUCGUUUUGAUUUGAAGGAAUUUCUUGCGCAGAAGAGCUAGGUUUCUUGGUGAGUUCUUCGGGUUGUGCAUAUGGGUAAUUUUCUUUUAGGUAUAACCCUCUGCUUCUGCUGCUCUCUCUCUCUCUCAUCCCUGCCUGCUCCUCUCCAAUUGUUUGCUGUUCUUAAAUAUUGUGUUCAUUGCCUGAUACAAGGAGCUGCAGCAAUCUGUUUUAUCCUACACGGGACAACGAGGCAAUGGCGUGACAACAAGUGAGCUUGGAUAUCCAAAGAAAAAGAACAGUUGGUUCAUCUGCUGGAGUCUGAAGCUCAGAGAAGUGGAGGAAAAUUGCAGGUGUGCGAGAAAUUUUAUUUUGCUGAUAGGACUCCUUAUUUACCGAUGCAUUUUGAAUUAAUUGAAAAGUUGGAUUUGAGUUAACAGCUAUAAAAAUGUAGACAUGAUUGCUGAGAUUAUGCUAUGAAAGUGGAAUAAAAAAAUGGUAGUUUAUAAUAUUGCGUACCAAUUUUUUUCUCUCUUUUUUACCAAAUGAUAAGGGUGGUGGCUCAGGCCGCCCCCCUACGCGUCCCCACUCUUCGACAAGUUGAAAUCAUGGUGAUAGUUUAUGGGUUGCGGUCUUGGGAUUCUGCAAAUAGAAUAAAAAACAGACACUUAACUAUCUUGUUAUUAAGCAUUUCUGCAUCAUUCAGUUGCUCUUGAUUUUCGUCUUUUAAGCGCUCUUAUUUCUGCGAUCUGACUUGAGGAGGGGUUUUAGACCUAUGGUUGUGGGUGUUUUGUCUGACCCCAUUAAAUUGGUUUCCGAGAUUUGUAGACUUGCGAUCGGCGGUCAAACAUUUCGUGAUUCUUGCUUUUUUUCCGACUGGGAUUGACGAAUUUUGGCCGAAUCUGUUUCCUGUUUUCUUCUCUGUUUGAGCGGCCGCUGCCUUUCGGUCGUUGAGCGCCGGCAGUCUUUAGAUCUUUGGCAAAUCAAUUUAAUACAACCGAGGUAUGUUUUAUAACUGCUGUCUUUCAAUUUUUGUUCUGUAUUUUUGUUAAUUUGGAUGAAGCUCUAAUAAUUUUGUUUUGGAUCAGUUGUGGUCCUCUGUUAGGAUUUUCCUGGCUAAGAGGGUAUUUGCAUUUUUGUUGCUUGGUUGGUCGAUCCAGUGUAUUAAAAGCGUGAGGCGUGGGCGAGGCGUCCGAGGGAAGCUCGGCCUAGGCGUGAGGCGUGAGGCGAAGCCUCAUGGGACCUAAAUUUUUUAAUAUAUAUACAUUGAGCGUACACAUAUAUUAUAUUAAAAAUAAGAAGAUUAUUAAUCAAUAAUCACCUUGAGCACACACAUAUAUUAUAAAUAUAUACACACACACAUAUAUAUACAUAUAUUAUAUUAUAUAUGCAUAAAAUAGAGGAUGAAAAACACAAUGAGCACACAUAUAACAAUGCACGCAAACAACACACACAUCCAUUAUAUAAAAAUAAAAAUCAGAAAAAAGGCAUAGAGACAAAAGUGCAAGGAAGAUGUAUGAGACAGUUAAAAUCCUACCCAAAAUUUGGGUUUGGGAGUAAAGAAAAAAAAAAAAAAAAAAAAACUCACUGAGGCGCGCCUAGGCGGCUCCGGCGACGCCUAGGCGGCCUUUCGCCCACUCCAGCAAAACUGAGGCGUUAGCCAUGGAGCCAAGCCUCAAGGGCGCCCUAGGCGCGCCUCGAGGCGAGUUUUUUAAAACAUUGGGUCGAUCACAAAUUUACGAACAGCUGUGGUGGUCCUGUUAGAGCCAAGCCUCAAGGGCGCCCUAGGCGCGCCUCGAGGCGAGUUUUUUAAAACAUUGGGUCGAUCACAGAUUUACGAACAGCUGUGGUGGUCCUGUUAUUUUUUUGGUAUGUUUUUUCUCCUUUUUGGUUUUUUCCCGGUUUGAGCACCCAUUCAUGAAGAAUUAAAAUGUGUUUAUAGUUUUUCAGGAGAGAUUAGAAAAGUGAUUUCAAUUUGGGAAAAUUUAAUGUUGGUUAAAAUUUGUUUAUAAUUUUUGGGAAGGAAUGAGAGGACCCAUUGAAGUAUGUGUUGUGAUUAUUUUUUAUUCAUAUUUUUAACAAAUUGGGCAUGAAUUGGUAGGUUAACUGUGUGUGUUUAUUAUUUGAAUCGGCCAUGUUUGUCUUUCUAUGGUUCUAAAAAAUUUGUAAAGGCUGUUAACUUGGAAGAAAAUGGGAUCGAGGGUGAGGGGAAAACAGCAGAGAAAGCAUGGAAGAGAGAUUUGGGAUUAGGGGUAGGAAAACAGAUGAAAAGAAUAUGAUAGAGGAAUGGGUUCAGUUCAUUUUCACUAUUUUUUUUAACUGAUUUGGAUUUUGUUUGGGUUUGAGGCCAUCAUUGGCGUUAAGACGUUUAUUAUCAGAUCGUGUGUGUUUUUUGCUAACUUUUAUUGGUAAUUUUUAUGUUGUUCUUAUGAUUUUGUGUGGUAGGGUUUCUGAAUUUUAUCGUUGUUCAUUUGGUUUUUUCUGAAUUUUAUCUGAUUUUGUGUGGUGAGUUUACAAAAUAAUACUAAAUAAAUUUAUUUGUAAUUUCGGAUGAUUGUGAUUCAAUCCUACUACAAUUGAAAUUCACAGAAAGAAUGAAAAACCAGAACAAAACUGCAGCACCUAAAAAGUUGUCAUACAAAAAAACAUGGAAUGUAAAAAUAUGUUAAGAAAUCUAGUUCGUUAAUUUCCAGCUGGUAAGCGGCAUUAUGUAACUUUAGUAGUAUAACUAAUUAACUACUUAUCUAGUGGGUUGCACUUCUAUCCUUGAUCUCAGUUGUGGCUGCAAAGUGCAGGCCACCACCAAGUCUCAGUGUUUGUGUAUUAGCAAAACACUUAAAUAAAUUAAAUUCUGAAAUGUAAAUUAUAUUCCUAUAACUUUAAGAUGCACAUAUAGUAUUGUUGAAGUCGAACUGAAAGCACUGACAAUUCCAAGCAACAGAGCAGCAAUUAUUAAGAGCCAAAACUCAUUCCUAGUCUCCUCAUCCUGGUACUCUACUCCGUAAUCUUCGUUCAGCAUCAUUGACUGAAAUUAGGAGAGAAAAAGAAAAGGAAUUUCAGAAAUUGUCUAUGAAGCAAAGGAUACUGCAGUUACUUCAAGACAUGUAAAUUGCAUAUGUAUAAAGUAAUUUUCUACAUAAAGUAACGAGGCAUAACUCUCUCUCUCCUCUUCAAACCCUAAACAGAGCAAAGCCACAAACUUUACAGAGAUUAGAAUGAGAACUGGAAUUAAUAGAACAAUGACUGAAAAGUAACAUACUUGAGGAGUGAAUGAUUUAGUGUUUCCAUCAUCGGAAAGCCGGAGUAAGUCGCUAAGAGAGGUCGCAAACAGCCCAAAGGGACAAACCCAGACCCCCGGCCCCGAUCCAUACCCUUCCCCCUCAAAUCCCGACGGCCCCCAUACUUUUCUCUGACUGUACCCCCUCUCCCACUCAUGAAAUCGAGGAUCUGUAGCAAUGGUACUGAGAUCCCCACUCCUCCCCCUCCCUUUCUCUCUGUCACUCUGUCUCCCUCUCCCUCUGUCUGUCUAUCUUUAUCCCAGAGCGGCAUGGCCUCGCAUCCCUGAAACCCUCACCGAAAGGUGGCAAUUUUGUAAAUAACUUGAAAUCCACCAACAGCAGGGGCAGAGAAUUGAAACAGACAUUUAGGCUCGUUCGAUAACCAUUUAGGCCAAAACUGAGCACACCUAAACCAUUCCUACUCGUGCCAAAUGUUAGCGGGGAAGCAAGAUGAUGACUUUAUUGUUCAAAACCAAAAGAAAAAAAGAGAGAAAACAAAAUAACAAAUCUAAUGGUUGUAGUGUAAAAGCUGAGAACGUAAAUAAACAUGCAGGGAAAAAAAUUGAAGAUACAAAGUAGCUGCAUCAUGAAACACUUGCUCCAAUUAGACGCAAAAAGUGAUGGUGAUGAGAAGAGAGAGAAAAUGCAGUCGUUUUGAUUUUUCUGGCUUUUAAAGGGAGCAGCUUUCUUCGACCACCAAAAAAAGGAAGCUGCUUUUCGUGUGGUUGUGAUUUCCUGAGUGUAUGUGAGCGGGUCUAUGGCACUUGCACUUUUUGUGUCGGUUACGGUAACCGGGCGAGGUGGACACGGCGGCGUGGGACUGAAUUCGGAGAGGUGAGAAAAAUUAAAAACACAAAAAGAAGGUGUUCAUUUUGUCACAUUUUUAUUACUAAAAAUUCAAUAAAGUACAUUCAUUAGUAUGGUAACUUAACUAUUUAAUUCCAUCUCAUUAAACUAAAAAAAACAAUUACAUAAAAAUAAGGGAAACCUUGUCCAGAGAGACCUGAGAGAAAGUGACGACUUCUCCUCUCAUUCCACUCCAUACUUGAUCUCUAAAGUCCAUUUGGCAUGUAAUUGAUGUUCAAUUUCAAAUUUAGUGGUAGCAAUUAGCAAAGCUAAUGAAAGAAUAAAAUAAAAUGAAAGAAAAAGCAUCAUGAAAUAAAUCAAGAUGAAGAAUGAAAUUUUGGCAACUCGCCAUUCUCUUCUUUUAUACAAAAGAUACAUCCUAUUUGUAGUGAAAACAGGUCCCGACAAACCCAGUUAUCGUCAAGAAGUAUUUUGUAUGACUUUAAAAACAUAUUCCGAGAAAUUAUCUCUUGGCUGAGAACAACAACAAAUCUUCAUGCAUAGCUUGUAGAGAAAGACAUCAGGCAUACAAAAGAACACGCAAGCAUAAAAUAAACGACGCAGGGAAAACCAAAAAUACAAUUGGAUACGCUGUCAAAAGAACAUAAAUAAAUGAAAAUUACAAAACAAAGAAGUGAUGAGAAACCAAAGUACCCAUUUCAUAAUCUAAUUGCUUUUUAGUUUGCUUGCCAUUUUUAGUUCUUCAAUUUAGAGAGAAACCAUAAUUCAGCACAUGAAUAAAGUGAAAACAUAAAAGAUAUGUGGGAUAAGCUAACAGCCAUCCCUGAGUAAUGCAUUCACUUCUGAACCCCAAACACACCAAAACAAAAAUUCACACACAUGAACUACAGCUCUGCUAUGUAACAAGAAUUAAAAGCAUCUCAAAACAAAAUGGCAAACUAUAAGAGCAAUGUAAAAGUAAAAUUGCAAGAAAUCUAAUACUUGGAGGGCAAGUACUAAUCAGACGAAAAUGAAAGAUUGAACUACCUCGCGUGGAACUGUGCCUUGGUUUUUUCCCAUGCUUACAGGAAGCUUUGCACUGAGCUCUUAUAGCCCAAAUUUUCUCUGAAGGGAAAAAAACACAAUUUUGAAAUAAGAUUUUCAUAUUAUACCUUAAAGAGAAGAAUUAGACAACAAAAAAGAGAACAAUGAGUACUUUUCAUCAUAUAUUGUUAGAGUAUGUGGUCCUCUAGUCCAAUGGUCCUGCAGCCAUAUUUACUUUAUAACUCUUUCUUUAGUCUAAAAACAUCUUGGAUCUCAAAUUAAUAUGAAUACGGAUUCAUACGCAUGCAUUGCAUUACAAUCACAAUGCAACAUCUCAUUAGAAAUCCCCACACAAAAUUCUUUUAUUGCUACUUUGAUUUUAGUUUAUAUUUUUUCUGAAGCACGAGGGAGCUAAUUUUUUUUUAAAAAUUUUUUAUUCCAAUAAUGUUAUAGGGUUGAAAGGAUAUUAUCAAUUUAAUUGAUUGUAUUUGAUUGGUGGAACUUCUAUAUCUAUAUUUCAGGUUUUCAAAUUCAGCACUGGGAGAGUCAUUCAUAAAAUGUUUGACAGUGAGAUUACCUCCAUGGAUUAUGCUCACAAUGGACAGCUCAUUUUCCGCGGUGAUGGGACAAUAUAUUUCAGUCAUUCGCCAUUCAAUCAAUUCAAACCGAGGAACAAGCAACAUCAAGAAGAGGAUCUGCCAUGUCAGGAUCACUGUCGUCCAAUUAAUACAAAAAAUCUAGAUAAAAACGAUCAAUUUACAUAAAAGCCUUUCAUUUUCUCAGCAACCAAGCAAAAGAAAAUACCUAUCCGUUAAACACUCGAUUUGGGAGUAAACGUUGCUGAAACUGGACUUCAAUCCCCUCAACCGCAACAAUCGAAUCGAGGUGUGCAAGUCAUUGAAAAACUCACCCAAGAUUUCAAAAUCUGCAUAAAGAAAUAAAUAAGCACAUAAAUUAGCCAACCCUGUUAUGAUCCCACAUCGGGUACACAAGAAAUUGUGUAGUGGUACUUAAGUGCAAGGGGUCAUCCCACCUAUUGGACUAGUUUUUUGGAUUGGGCUCUUCCCUUGGGCUUGAGUACCUAACAUUGGUAUCAGAGCCUAGGUUCCCGACGCUGCGAGACUUGGCGAGUGGUGCCGCCUCAUGGUGCCGCCUUGGGAGUAUGGGCUCCCAAGGGUCUUGGAGACGGGCAAGGUAUGAAAUGUCGAUAUUAUCGCGAUAUUUCGCCGAUAAUAUCGGUUUUUUGAGUUACCGAUAUUUUAAUACUUAUCCACUGAGUUUUCGUCAAAAUAUCGCAAUAUUAUCGAUAAUAUCAACAAUAUCGCGAUAUUACCGAUAAUAUCGCGAUAUUUUGGAGAUGUGCGAAUCGGAGAAGAAGGCCGGAGCUUCUACAGCUCCUGCCGACUGUAAAAGAGCACCCUAGACUCCGAUCUAGGUAUCAAAAUGAAAUACAAGACGAGAGGAAUGUUUUUAUAACUUCCGUUUGCCGUGAAACGGUCGAAGGUGUUCGGAAAGUUCGUCGACACCCACGGCCUCGCCAGAGAUGGGUGUGCCUAUUCUCGAGCCGAUUUCGUCCCAAAAACCUUGCAAAAACACGAGAUAGAACUUAAAUUUCACAUCUAAGCUUCAAUCUAGAAUAGAAUGAGGUAAACCCGAAGCUUACCUAACCGGAGAAAUUCAAGAAACUCGCCAGAGGGUUCCUGCGUCGCCGAGUUGCAGAGACGAGAAAGAGAUGGAGAAAGACGAGGUUGCUGAUAACGAUGGGUGUCUUCCUCAAGCAGGUGCGAUGGUGUGCGUGUGUGUAUGUGGGUCUCGGUGCAGAGAGAAAGGAGAGAGAUGAGAGUUUCAAGAAAGAGACGGCGCCAACGAGAGCUAUUUGUUUUUUUUUAUCUUAAAAAGAGAGAGGUCUAAGAGAAAUGGGAAGAGAGGGCCGAGUGAAAUGAAAGGAGGUCCUUGAAUUAUUGAGAGAUAUCUCUGAGAGAGGCCUAGGAUUUCUAAAAGGUAAUUAGAAAUGGGAAAAAUGGGGCACAUCUUAGCCUUUAUUUUGGAAUCCUAAGAAGUUCACCACAUGGAUGCAUGACAUGUGUGCAUGCCAUGUCUGUUGAAUGGGAAAAGUCUGACAUGGAAAGACAAAGAGUCGUUUGGUCCUCUGGGCUCGAGGCAAGAUAGAAAGUGCUAGGGUUUUUUUUUCUGAAAUGAACAUAAGCUGCUAAAUUCGCAUAUAUUAUAGUUGUUGCUAAAGAUUGACACUAGUGCGGACUUGGACGUGUUGGUCAACAUGUCCUCACAAUCCCCAAGUUCUCCGGUUCGAACCCUUACGCCCAUCAAAUUUUUCUUUCUUUUCGAUGCGCUUUUUCCAUGGCUCUAGGUCUUGAUUUCGAAUCCAGGUGAGCCCUUUCCUUUUUCUUUUUUUUUUCUUUUUGUUUUAUUAUUUGUUUAUUUUAAUUUAUUUGUUUCUUUUAUGUUUUUCCUUUCUUUUAGUUUCUUUGUCUUAGGCGUUCGUGUUUAUUAAAGUAGGAUGUAAAAUCAAUUAUCUUAAAAUUAUGUGUUUUUAAAUUUUGGACUUGUUUGUUGGAUACUUUUUUUGCAUUUUAUCAUUAUUUUAUUAUGAAAAUAUGCUAAAAUAUGCUAAAAUAUCACUUAUGUUUUUGUGAAAAUAUGCUAAAAUAUUUAUAUAUAUGGUUUUGUUUUGAAUUCUUUUUGUACUAAUUCAUUAUAUAUAAAUGAUUAUGGUGUGUUUAAACUUCUUUAAUUAAUUACUACAUAUUUUCUAUACUCACAAUGUUUGCUAGCUCGCUAUAUAAUCAACUUAAAUCAGUAAAAUCCAUCAUGCAAUGCAUUUGCUUCCAAUUUUUUGUGAUAAACUAAUAGAUAAUUGAUUAAAUAAACAUCCUGCAAAGUUUCAAUAAAAAUUUCCAAGUUUUUCUUACAAUUUCUGUGGUUUCCAUAUUAUUUUUAUCAAUAUCGAUAAUAUCCCGAUAUUUCCAUCGAUAUUUCCGUGUUUUUGGACUACCGAUAUUUCCGAUAUCAUCGAUAUUUAUACCUUGGCGACGGGGGACUUGCCGACUGGUGCCGCCAUGGACGUUGGGUCUUUCGAAAGGUGGUGUAAUGUUAUGAUCCCACAUCGGCUACACAAGAAAUUGUGUAGUGGUACUUAAGUGCGAGGGGUCCUCCCACCUAUUGGACUAGUCUUUUGAGUUGGGCUCUUCCCUUAGGCUUGAGUACCUAACAAACCCAUAAAUCAAAGAAAUCAAAAUCCACCCAGAAUCAAAGAAAUCAAAAUCCAUCCAAAACCAAAGAAAUCAAAAUCACACACAGAUAUACAAGGUGUACAGUAUUGACAUGCCUUAAAUGAUAUUAUUCACAAGAUUUAUAAAGCUCAUGUUGUAAUACUUGUGCAGAAUCUAUCAUUCACGGCGUCACUUUUGUGCAAGUCGUAAAUAAAAUUAUUCACGAUUUAAACAUUGUGUGUCGUAUUUGACAAUUUAUACUACGCACUUUCUUUUUCUUUUAAAGCUUUGCGUUAUGUCGUAAAGUUGACUUUCUAUAUAUUUGGGUUGUACCUUUUAUGGCGCAAAUAACACGUCGUAAAUAAUGGCUUUUAGCACAGAAGUUUUGUGGUAAAGAAGCCCGCGCACUAAUUCAUUCUCGCGCCUUCUCUUUUUUAUUUAGCCGCUUCUUUUUUUGGUUUUUUUUUUUUUUAAAAUUCCCCUCAAAUCUUAAAAGGGUUUGUAUUUUCUUUGGUAAACUUGAAAGAGAAACAUUGCAAUUGCAUUUUCAUUUACCCAAUAUUAAUUGUCGAGAGCCCACCCCCUUCCCUUCUCUCUGACAUCGUAACUCUCUCCUCUCCAUCGAUCUCGCUCCAUCUGCUCGCCGUCGCUCUAUAUGCUCGUCAUCGCCGUCGAUUCGUCUGCUCGUCGUCACCGUCGCCCAUCUGCUUUCCGUCACCGUCGAAGUGCCCCGCCAUUCAAAAUCUGAAAUCCCCAAUACAGGGUGCUUUGCGGCAUUUCGUUCUCCAAAACUUUAGGUAUGCUCUCAAUCUGUAUCAACCCUAUCCUGUCACCUCUACUUCAAGGUGAACAAUUUAUAGUUUAUAAAUUUUACUUGUGUUAAUAUAUAUUUUUUGGUAAAUGUUAUGGAUAUUUUAUCAAAUCAGAGAGUAAAUUCGUAUUAAGUGAAGAUUGGCAAAGAACAUAUUGUUUUGAAAGGUUGAAUAAUGUUUGCAGAUCACAUAAAUCAGUAGUUGUCAAGUCCAUAAGAGAAGCAAGAAAUCGGAAAGCAAGGCUUCGACUAAAACCAAAUAAUGUCAAAUUAAUUCAAGAUUGGAAGACUUUCCUUGCAAAGUGUAAGCUCAUUUUCAUUUUCUUUCAUUUCUAAGAUUAGUUAUCUUCUUUUGAGUUCAAAAUUGGGUCAGAGAAAUCAAACUGAUAGUAGUUAAAAGUCUAUUUCAACACCAAGCCUUGUCUACACAAGAAUUUGGUGUUAGUUAAACAUGUGUAUGAUUCUAUCUUGAUUGCAUGUUAAUUUAGUUUGAAGAUAGAUUUGGUACAUGCUAGCUAAUUGAUACGUGAUAUGAAUCUUUGGUUUCCUUUUGAUAGGACAAAAGUGAAACAUUCAGAGAGAUGAAGUCUAAGCAACUCCGCACACAUGUAGUCGCAAGGGAUAUGGUAGGUUGGCCGAGGAUUUGGUAAUUACAUUUCAUUCUAGUGCCUUCUUUUCUACAGGACAAGAACAAUUUACUAAUUUUAUUCUGUGUUCUACUGUGUGUUUACUACAUAUAUGUUUCUAUUUUGUAGAAAAGAAAAAGUGUAGACCCUUCUCUAGUUUCUAGAGGUGAUGUUUGGAUUGCAGCACAUACUAAAAAGGGUGGUGGACCAUCCAAUUUGCUUGCUGCAGAGACUAUUGUAAGUAAUUUUUAACCAUUUAUUUCUUCUUGUUUGUUGAUAUGCAAUGACGGAUGAGGUCUUAACUUUGAUGUGCAACGUUAGGAAAAAAAUUAAGCAAUAUGGAAAUGGAUCAUCAUCUGGUUUUCGAGGUGACGUUCUUUCCAAAGUUUUUGGUGCUGAGCGACAUGGUCGUGCAAGAGGAGUUGGAGGUGGUGUUCCUCCUACAAAGCUUGGAAUAUUUUCACAACAAAAAUUGCGUAAUCACCAAAUGGAUGAAAAGGUGCACAAUUUAACUAAUCAGGUCAGAGCACUGACAGAAUUGGUGCAUCUUUUUAUGAAAAAUCAGGUUAGUGAUUUAAUAACAUUGGUAUCAUAUUGAAUAUUUGUGAAAUCAGUUGUAGUGACACAUCAAAUCACAGGGUAAUGAUCUACCAAGUGAGGCAUCUCCUGACACACAGGUUGCAGCUCCUGAGGCACAUGUUGAUACUGUCGCAAGAACUGAAACUCGUCUUUCCCAAUGCGCAACAAAUGAAUCGUGGUGGCGAGGUUGAUACACUUUUUCAAUGAGCCUUCUAACUAUUAAUGCUCAUUGACUCUGUUAAAAGCUCUGCCAUUUUCAAUCUAACUAGACACUAGAAAUGAUCAUUGACUCAGUUAAAAGUUUUGAUGCUUUGGUCCUUUUGCAUAGUUGCGCAUCUACUGAUUUCUAUUUUUUUUCAAAUCCUGCAGGUUAUUUCUGAAAACAUUGAAACAUCGUGGUGUGCCAGAUGGUUUGAUUAUAAGACACCUUCCUUUUGGUCCACCAACUUAUUUAUAACUGCUAAAUGGUACGUAGUGUGAUAAUUUUCAAAUAUUUUGAUAUUAAGACAGGUGUAGGACAACAUAGAAAUUCUUAGGGCCUUCAGCAACAAAAUUAUGAAAAAGUGAGUGAGAUACAAUUAAAAAAAUGAAAGAGAAGGAUCAUGAUUCAUGAUCUAAAGGUUUGAAUAGGGUAGAAAGGAUUUAGUUUCGUUGUUAAAAUCGAUUUGUGAGUCUAUUGUUAUUGUAUUGUCAAUUUGUUUAUUUACUUGAACUUCCUAGUAUCAAUUUGGUUCGAUAUAUCUAGCACCACCAUAGAUAUAUCUAGUAUCAAUUUGGUUAGAUAUUGUCAAUUUGUUAUUUUAUUGUCAACUAUAGAAUGUGCAUCAGUUGUAAAAGGAACAAAACAAUUCAGAUUUUUUGUUUAUGUCCAAACUUAGAAUUGUAUUGUAAUUGACAAUUUCUACUAAUUAAUCCAAGUAUUUGGAGUUUAAUAUGUUUAUGAUCAAUAUUGUUAUCCUUGUAUUGUAUCAGUUUAGAUGUUAUGAAGUGAGGUCUGUCUAAAAAUGAUAUGCUAAAUAUAGAUGUAAAUUACGGCAUCUAAAAUCAGCAAUAAUUGUUGAUGGUAGUCUUUUUUUUACGAUGUAUGCCGUAAUCACCUUCACAAUAUUACGACACUCAACAAAUGCUGUAUCAAAUAUAAAUUACUGCACACUAGUAUGUCGUAAUUGUUUUUCAGUAUUACGACACCCUAUUAACGCUGUAACUAAUACCAAUUAAGGCACGUAGGACAUGCCUUAAGAACAUUUAUGGCGUGUUUUACUUAAAUUAUUCACGACUAUUAGAGUACGUUGUAUUUGUCAAAACAUCUUUUACAACAGGGGCUUUUACUGCUUGGAGGCUCAAGCCGUGAAUUUCCAUUUAUGGCACCCUUUGUGCGCCGUAAAAGGCCAAUUCUAUUGUAGUGAUCCAUGGGUACAUUUUUAAUCUACAUGUUUCGUUUUAAUAUAUCUAUUGCUAUAAUAUGUUUUGGUUGGUUCAAAUUCGUUUUACAUAAAUAUAUGGGUACAAAGUUUUUGGAGAAUAUUAUGUAAAAUGGUUUUUAAGGUUGUUGCAUUUUAUGUACCCACAUAUGCAUGUCUAUAAAACAAUGUGGUAUGAUGUACAUUCUUUUCCUUGAGUUUUUAAAUGUACCCAUGAGUUUUCUUGUAAAUUCGGUAUGUAUCCAUAUGCUAUUUAUGUUAUGGGUACAUACAUUAUUUUUGGUCUAAGUUGGUGGGUACAUUGCUUUUGUAUGUAUGAAUUCAUUGGGUACAUUAUUUCCCUUAAUACUACUCAAUAAAAUUCACAAAAAUGUGCAGUGUGCAUGAAUUUUUAUUGUAGAAAUUGUUUUUUUUUAUUUUUAAUUUUUAAGUCUCAUAAUUCGUGAAUUUUGUACAUAUUGAUCCCAUAAAUUUUUGAAUUUUAUUAAAUUUUUUUUAGACUUGAUCGAUUGAUUGAAUCUCAUAAUAAUCCCUUAAAUGUUCCAAUCAAUAUUUUAAAAUACAGCUUUUUAUUUAAGAUUUCAAAAAGAUGACAUGAAAACAUAGUAAUACUAAAAUUUUGUUUUAAAUUACAUUUGUGUAACAAUCAAUGGUAUGUUAAAACUGGGCAAAAAAAAAAAUGGUAUAUUAAAAAAUUAUAAUUUAUUCUUUUUUUCAUAACUGUCUUCUGCUUAGAUUAAUUUUUUCCAACGUUUCUCUUCGGGAGAAUUAGUUCUUACCAAUAUAUAUGCACAUUAUCUGCUUUUUACCUGGUCUUAACACAUGAUUAAUUACUUUCCUACCUGCUAACGCGUUGACUUGCGCAUCCAAAGUAUUAUCAAAGUCACUGCCACCAAAAAGGUGCCCACUCCACAACCUUUGGUUGAACCAAAGAACAUCACAACAAUAAGGAAAUCGUUAAAUCUAUCUCCGCAACAUUUUUAUUAAUCAUUAGAUAGAUUAAACGAUCCCCCUAUUCAUAUUGUGUUCUUUUGUUGAACCAAACCAUGUCAACAAAAUAUAUCUAUGGUUAAAGCAUCUAGAUUCAAGCUUUUGGAUGUGCAACUUAAACCCCUCAAUGAAUAGCCAAGCAAUUUAUCAUGUGUUUACAGUAGGUCAAAAGAAGAAAGUGUUUGUCUAUAUAUUAAUAGGAACUAAUUCCUCUGAAGAGGAGAGAUGGAAGUGAUGAUAAUAAAAAAAAAAAAAGUCGUAUUCAGUGCACAAGGCUCCCGCUUUACGCAGGGUCUGAGAGAGGUGAAUGUCGGCUAGCCUUACCCCCAUUUUAUGGAGAGGCUGCUCCCAAGUCUCGAACCCGAGACCUACCGCUCAUGGGCGAAGACACUUGCCAUCGCACCAAGUGCGACCUCUAAGGGAUAAGAGAGUAAUCAUGAAAAUUUUGAAAGUGAAAGCAUUGCCUUGGAAUAUAUAUUCUCUUUAGGAAUUCUGUGCCCAACUAAAUUCUAGAUUCUCAAAAUAUGAAAUUAGCAACUUCACCAAACACUUGGACAUGUAACAGGUCACACGUAUGGUACCAACCUUACCAACCUUACCAACCAUCUAUAUACCUAUGUUUUCGAACAUCGUUAGAUAAUUAAAGUACAGUUCACACAGCAUUUCACAUAAAAAUGGCAUCAUACAACACAUGAGAAGUACUUCUUACAGUAGCAGUCUCGUAACAUGACUAUAGUUUUUGUUACUUCUUAAGAAAAAAGAGUUUAAAAUCCUAUUGAAAGAUAAUUGUAGAGACAGAAACCCAAACUAGUUAAUUAGGUUUCUUUACAUCUCAAUAAAAUUGAAGGGAAUGUAUCUAAUAUUAUCUACUAGAGCCUCUACAAUCAUCAUAGAAUCCACAACCCACAUUUUAAUUAAUCGAAAUUCCAUGAACACAAAUAAGCAAAAGUUGAGUGAAGCCUAAGCAAUAUGUGAUCAUUUAGAGAGUCAAACUCCAUCUUUUUAGAAUUAGGGACUUUUCAAUAUGAAAAGGUAACCUCCACAAUCCAAUAUCAUAUGAAAAGGAAAACCCAAGAAAAAUACAGUAUAAUUGUGUGCAAGAGCAACACAAAAAAAGUUGAAGAAUUAGAAAUCAUAAAGAGACUUGAGACGAUUGUUGCUCACUUAGCUAAAGAGCAUUUGCACUUGAGGUCUCGAGUUCGAUUGCCCCCUUUCUUUAGAUCGCUUGAGAGGAAAAACCUACCAUUCUCUAGUCUAAAGAUAUAUGCAUCUUUGACAUGAAUGACUAGAGGGGAAGAAAGUGCAGACAAAUCACACAUACCUUCAAAAAAUUUUAUGGGGUUGGUGAAUGGUGAUUAGGGAUACUGACUUUUAAUAGCCGUUGAUCAGUGUAUAUUGCACACGCCUUCAUCAAUGGCUAGCGUCGGUACAACUGUGAUUGGGAGGGCCUUUUUACGAUAAUAGAUGGGUAAAGGUUUCAUUAGAAGGGGAAUUUUGUUCUGGUUUGCCAUAAUAACUUGAAAUUAAUGGUUUUUUGUAAUCCUUAAGUUAUUGUCAUUUUAGGUUAACUUUGUACCUGGACUCUUUACUGGAGCUAUCAAUUGAAACCCCCAUUUUCUUACCAAAAUAUGAAAAACAAAGAGUCCCAUUUUUACAGCACAGUCCUACUCUAGUUGAAAUCCGAUCGACGGUCAAGAUUUUCUAGUCAUGUGAAAGUAUCACAUAUAUAAAAUUGACUGGAGAAGGCAUGCCACAUUGCCAUGCCCUUGACAGCUUUACUUUGUUUACAAACUUUCUAAAAGAAAGAAAGAAAAAAAUCUAAAAUGGAAGGUGAUAGCGAUUUUACCACUUGUAAAACAAAGGGUUAAACCAUAGAAAAUUCUUGCAAGAGAACAAGUGUUUGUAGUAUAGAAUGGCUCAAGCAAGGUCGAUCUCCUCAGGGACUGAUAUAAACAAUUUACGAGUUUUUAUGUAUUUAACUUAUUUAACUCUAAGAAUUACACUAAUUUAACGAAACUAAAUAUUAUUGGAUGUGACUUAAACAAAUAUCUAAAAUGGGAAUUGGUUUUAGGGAAUAAUGAUUCAACUUAAACAAAACAAGUAAAUGAGGAAAUUCAAGAUAAAAUAAAUGAUUAAGAAAAAUAGAUUGACAAUAUGCUAGAGUUCAACAUUUACCAACAACACUCUUACGUAGCUAUUCCAAUUGCUUAAAUAAUUGAAAACACAUAUGCUUUGAAUGUUGGAUUUUCCUUGUGUAUGUUUUACUUGUGACAUUCAAGCUAAAACGCAUACCACUACAUGCAACUUAUCCAUGACAUUUGAAUUAAAUAUAAACAUGAGUGAUUCAUUAAUCUUGGUGAAAAUCCUUUUGUUAAACCAUAUAAUCCCUAAGAGCAUGAUAUUUACCUUAGGAGAUUACAAUUCUCAAUCACAAGAAGCACAACCAAUUUUAACGUGACAUUCGUUCAAAAUUGCAUCCGAUAACUUUUCUAAGCAUCCUAAUGGUGAUCAAGCAUCAAGGUACAUAGAUAGUUUAAUUCAGUGAUUGAAAAUAUCAAAACAAGCAUGUAACAACACUUAAGCAAUUGAAAAAUAAAACUACGUAUUCAUGUUGCGGCUCAUGGCCUCACUCUAGCAUAAUACUUUAAAUAAUUAAAGCCCAAACAAUUUACCAAAUUUCAUCUCUGUACUCCGCAGAGACGCUAAACGAGACAUAUUUGGUCCAUCUCUGAACAUCUUUUCUUACUGUUCUUACAAUAGAAAGGGCACAAAAUUGACUUACACAGUCUUGCACAAUACUCACUUUGCUUCAACCCAUAUUUCACUUUGUCAAAUCAUACACGUUCCUGCAACAGGUGAACUCAUAUUUAUCUACCACUUCUUGCUAAUUUUAAUUUUUCCAUUCCCAUUUUUACUACAAGUUUUCACAUAAUUUUUUUAUUGCAUUUGUCAAUUCUUUAUACUUUUUAAUUGUAUUUUUUUUUUUGUCUUUUAUGUGUUUUCUAUGUUGGCACAAGGUUACAACAGUAUUAAACAAUUACAGGUCCUCCAGAGGUUUGCUUAUUGCCCUAUUUCAUCAAGCUCGGUAUAAAUAGAUCUUAAUUUUUUACUACAGUUAAAUACAUGGACAUGCCUCCACAAAUACAAAUUAGUUCUUGCUUAAAUACUUUGUGUGUUUACAUAGAAAAUGUUCCCAUCGUCUACCAAAAUCCUCCACACAUGAAAACAAAAAUUCUUACUCAAAAUACUUAUUACAAUACCACCAUAUCUGUUGUUUUUUAUUAAAUUAACACACUGUUUUCAAUUUUAUCUUCAACACAAAAGAAAAUGCUCUUACACAAUGUGUUUGCUUACAUUUUAUAACUUAUCUACCACAUGUUAAUCGCAGUUAUAUAAAUAGGAAAAUACGUGUUCAAUAGAAGUGUGAUGCAUGUCACUUCGUUAACAAUAGUGGAAACUAAACAAUUAAAUAAUUUGUUUCAAUUAGUUAGUACAUUUUAUAAAUUUCUCAAUUAGAACUGUUUCAGUAUAUUUAAUACAUUUUUAAACAACUUUCCAGUUAGUUGCCCAAACUAAUUAUUCCAGCUUAUUCACAGUAUAAUACCAACAAUUUAACAACCAAUGAUACUUCGUUUAACAUAAACUUCAUUUGGAAAAAACAAAAAAAAUCUUUUUCUCUGCUGAAAAAAUCAACAGAUUUAAUGAUGUAGAUCAGUUAUACCAACAAAUUACCAUAGUUUACCCAAUGCUAUACAGGUUUGACUUUUGUUUAUAUUCUUGGAUCUGUUGCUUGGUUGUAUAAUUUGGCUGUGUGUUUUGUUUCAGGACAAUUUGUUCUUCGUUUCUUGAGGCUUCUAUGUGUAGAUUUGAACCGUUUAGCUUUCAAACCGUUUAUACUCAAGGUAAAUAAUUUCGUUUGUUUCUUUUUAACCUUUUUUGUAAGAAUUUUUUAUUUAAUGUUGUGAGAGUUGUGUUUUCUAUAGUAUGGAAAUUGAAUCUUUGUGAUCUUAUAUCGUUAGAUACGUUGCUUGGUUAAUGUGAACACGGAAAAUUCCCGAAACGAAAAAGACAAGAACAACGUGCACAAACAAAUAUUUUGUAUUUGAUGAUUAUUUUGGGUUACAAUCUCUCUCUAAUUUGAUCCUCUGAUUCGAUCUCCGUAAGAUAUUGGUUUGUGGAUGUGCGAUUGAUCCAAGGGCCGUCGAGGCUUGAUCUUGGAUGAACGGUGAUGAACGGAUCUUCAAGGGCUUUUGGGCUUGAUCUUGAAGAAUAGUGAUGAACGGGUCUUCAAGGGCUUUUGGGCUUGAUCUUGAAGGAUGGUUGGAUGUGUGGAUUUGUCGACGUUGUUAAUCCAAAGGGCUGUUGGGGCUUGAUCUUAGGAUGAACGGAUGAUGAACGAAUAACACUUUCUUCAAGGGCCGUCGGGGCUUGAUUUUGAAUUGGUGAAAGUUCUUCAAGGGCCGUCGGGGCUUGAUCUUGAAGGUAGAUGAUUGUUGAUCCAAGGGCUGUCGGGGCUUGAUCUUGGAAGAACGAUGAACGAAGAACGAAGAAGGCUUUCUUGAUUCUUCGGGAACCUGGAUGCUUGAGAGCUUCGGAGUUUCAGAGCUUCAGAGCUUCAAGGUGUAAUAUGAAUUUGGUUCCCUUAAAUGAAUGAAAUUGGCUUCUAUUUAUAGAAUUUUCCAAGGCCUAAUUUUGAAUAUAAUAUUCCAGAUGAAAUAAGUCGUUUCUGCCAAGUGUUGACACGUGUCCUAUUUGAUGACUUUUCCGACUCAUUUCAAUUUUUCGUCGAGUCACACACUACGUGUAAAAUUUAUGUAAUACAUGAGCGUUGAAACUUUGAUUUAUCAGUCAACAUUUAUUUACCAAAAUUUCGAUGUCUACAAAUGCCCCCACUUCAAGGCGCGUCGUAUACAUGUGCUUGUCACGUGUAGGAGAUGCGUUUUGAAGUCCCCUUACUGUAGAUGUCGAUCCAAGGGCCGUCGAGGCUUGAUCUUGAACCGGGCUGGAGAUUUCUUCAAGGGCCGUUGAGGCUUGUUCUCGAACUUUGUUCGAAAUUUCUUCAAGGGCCGUUGAGGCUUGAUUUUGAAUUGGGCUGAAAGUUUCUUCAAGGGCCGUUGAGGCUUGAUCUUGAAUUGGGUUGAAAGUUUCUUCAAAGGCCGUUGAGGCUUGUUCUUGAACCUUGUUUGAAAUUUCUUCAAGGGCCGUCGAGGCUUGAUCUUGAAUUGGGCUGGAAGUUUCUUCAAGGGCCGUCGGGGCUUGAUUCUUGAAGGUGGAUGAUUGUUUAUUCAAGGGCCGUUGAGGCUUGUUCUUGAACCUUGUUUGAAAUUUCUUCAAGGGCCGUCGAGGCUUGAUCUUGAAUUGGGCUGGAAGUUUCUUUAAGGGCCGUCGGGGCUUGAUUCUUGAAGGUGGAUGAUUUUUUCUUCAAGGGCCGUUGAGGCUUGUUCUUGAACCUUGUUUGAAAUUUCUUCAAGGGUCGUCGAGGCUUGAUCUUGAAUUGGGCUGGAAGUUUCUUCAAGGGCCGUCGGGGCUUGAUUCUUGAAGGUGGACUCGAACACAUGGCAAGCAGGCACGAGGUGAAGGUGACGGUCUGUUUCUUUGCUCAAUCUUUCCAAGUGCCGACCGAUUGCUUUUCUUUCUCCUUGUCCCGCAGGCAAGAGCAAGGGUAAAAGAAAAGCAUGCCAUGAGAUAUCUUUGUUUUUGACUCUGAUGAUAUGAGGUACUUCUGCUUUUGAAGAAGUUGCGGAUGAAUCGACACGUGCUUUGUUGUGCUUGUCUCCACAUGCUCAGACUCUUGGCAGAAUGUGAAAGGUGGCAUUUUCUCGAGUUACUCAACUCAGACUCAUUCUGCUGAGUUGACUGUGCGGGCCGCAUUCUUCUCUGCUUGUUUCUUCUGGCAGCCUUGCUCUCGAGUACUCAUCUUUAACAUCUUAUGUUUCUUCUUUGUCUACCACACUGUGGAAGACGAGUACUCGAGAGUAAUACCAUGUAAGCAAUCAGAAAAGGGUUCCAAGCAGUCGGUUCCAGAUCGGAAGAUUGAUACCAAGUGUUGGCUGAUUGCUUUCCUUCUCAUUGUCCUACAGGUUAGAACAAAGACAAGGAAAAGGACACGGAGAAUGCAUGAUAUGAGAUACUCUUGCUUUCUCCCUUCAUGAUAUGAAAUACUUUUGCUUUUCAAGAUUUGUUUGCAGAGGUAUCCUAUGGGAUGAAGAACACUGAGUGAGUUGAGAGGGUUUGUUGGAAAGCCAUUUGUCGGAGAUGACGGAAUGUUAUGUAUGUCUGCCUUGCCAUGGAGCGUGAAGGUCGACAUUUGUAGGAAAUAAUAACUGGUACUGUUCUUUCACUCCUGUCGGCAACCGUUGGAUGAUUGAACAGUAAACUUCACGUGAUUUCCUCAAAGCUUUUUCUGCAUGCGACAAGUGCUGACGAGGCUGAGAGAGACAUGCGAUUGGAAUCGGCGCUUCGACAAACUUUUCCAUGAUUUUCGCAAAGCUGACGAGGCUGAGAAAGACAGAUGGUUUGGAAUCGGCGUUUCGAUAAACUGCCCGUGAUUUCCGCAACGCUGACGAGGCUGAGAAGGACAGAUGGUUUGGAAUCGGCGUUUCGACAAAUUGCCCGUGAUUUCUGCAACGCUGAGUUUGCGUGUGACAGGUGCUGACGAGGCUGAGAAAGCUGACACUUCUUCGAUUUUUGAGAUCAGUCCGUGAUCCUUGAGUAGGCCUAGCUUUGGAGAAAGCAGGCGCUUCAUCGAUCUCUGAACUCGCCUCUUCGAUCUCUGAAAGCCCAUCGCAUGCUGUUUUUUUAUAGAGGUACGCAAGACAUUCAAAGCACACUUGAAUUUCUACCUGUGAAAAAAAACUCCCCUUUUGCAUAUCUGAGAUCUUUAAUUUGCCCGACCUCUUCAUUUUGUUGAACACCUUCGGAAAUGUCUUUCCCAUCUGACCGUCGUCUUGACUUGAAUAUCGAAGAAGAUAUUGACAUGUCUUCUCCAGGCAACAUUUGGCAGCUGUCCUUCGUAUCCUCCAACGAACCUCUUACGGUUGGGGACACUGUGAUGAGGAAUGACGCAACGGCUGCAGUGGUUGCUAGAAAUCUUCUCACUCCUAGGGAUAGUAAGAUGCUUUCCAAGCGGUCCGACGAGAUGGCUGUUCAAGACUCUCUGGCCUUCAGCGUCCAAUGUGCGGGCUCAGUAUCAAACAUGGGCCAACGCCUUCUUGCUCGAUCUCGUCAGGUUGAGUCUUUGAUGGCCGAGGUGGCUAGUCUUCGGCAGGAGAUCAGAGGGCUUAGGCACGAGAAUAAAGAGUUGCAUAUGCUAGCAACUAGUUACUCAACGAGCAUGAAGAAGAAGCUAGACCAACUGCAGGAGUGUGAAGUUCGGGCUCGAAAUGAUCAUCAAAGGUUUAUGGCGUUACUCCCGAGGCAUCUUCUGCCUUCGUCAUCUGGCGCUUCACCAAAUGUUGAGGCUCCGGAAAAUCAAACUCUGGCGCUUCGUCUUUCUGGAGCUUUACCAAGUGUGGAGGCUUCAGUUGAUCCACCUCCGGUGCUUCGUCUUUCUGGAGCUCCGUCGAGUACUGAGGCACCACAUGAUCAUCCUUGAAGAUCCUUUCCUGUAAAUUUGAUUUGACUUUUUUUUUAAGGUAUGUAUAAUGUAAAAUUUCUAGAAAAAUAAAAUGGACUUUAUUUCUCUGAACAUGUUUUUUUUGUUUUUUUUUUUGGCUGUAUAUUUUCUCUUUAAUCAUGGUGCACCCAUUUUCCACAUGGUGCCAGACGGACCAAAGAUCAAACAUUUCCUUUUUUUAUUUUUUUAUUUUUUCUUUAAUCAUGGUGGCAGACGCAUAAACAAUUUCAUUUAUAUUUUUUUUUCUUUUUGCUGGCACAUGGUGCCAGAUGCACCAUUCAUUUAUAUAUAUUAUUAUAUAUGUUUUUUUUAUUUUUUUUUAUUUGCACAUGGUGCCUGAUGCACCACCUCUUUUUUUUUCACGUGGUGCCAGCAUCACUUUGCUCCACCAUCCAUUUUUUUUAUUUUUAUUUUCUGUAUAAAUUUGGGUGAUGGGUAGAGGAUUUUGCAGGCAGGGAGCAAGGAGGCCGAGAAGAUGGUGCUUCGAACUUCAUGACCGGCUAGUCGUUUGACGGCGGUCGUUGAAGUCGUUGGCAGUUGCGAGGCAAAAGACGGAGGAGAAGGUGGAGUAGGUGACCUUGAUGUCGGAUCCAGCUAGAACCCAGAGCACAGCGACUGAGCCCAAUCACCGAGCACAACCGCUGCACACCCGUUGUACUGCCACCGAGCACUGCCACUGCGCAUCUGUUGCACUGCCAAUUGCUGCAAAGGAUUAUGUUUAACGGCGGAGACGCUGCCCUAUUUGCCAUGCUAUGCCGACGUGCUUCACAUAAUUAACCAUCCAGAAUUGUUAAACAUUCCAUCUGGGUUUAUCGCAAAAACAGAAGAAGAAAAAAACCAAGAUCCAUCCAUGCCAAACACCAAUCUGCCAUCUUUUUGGGAUUUGUACGACAUCAUCAGCCAAAACCUGCUUGGUCCGCUCGCAAAUUGUGGGAGAGGAAGAGUUGGCGGAGCAGCUGUAACACUGGAAAAUGGAGGACGUUGACGAGUCCUCCAAGUUGUUCUUGACGUUGGUGCUGGAGAAACCUGCCUCUCUCAUGACUCUGCUGACACUUGGGUCGUCAAGGAUGGGGAUGAUGAGCUGCUCGAGCUCGACUUUGAUGGUUAAGAGCGGCUGCUGCUGCUGCUCGAUGCAGUCUCUUCUCUGAUGGGCUUGGGCUCUCUUGAGGGCGUUGGAGAGAGAGGGCUGCCCGUGGAGGAGAGGGCAUGGAGUUGUUGGGAGAAAUCAGGGCCGGAAUGGAAAAUAUUCCCGAGCUGCAUCAACGAGGAGAUAACACCGCUAAGUUAUUCAUCUGGUUUGCUUUAGUCAAAUGGAUCAAUCCGCGGGUCAUGCUCGCUUGCCAUCAUCAUCCCAGUGCACAGGCAUGUCGGGCACAUGACCUUUCCAGCACCAGAGCAAUUUGGGCACCUCUCAGUUGUGGGCACUCGCAAAGGUUGGUCUGAUGCACUAGAUGCUGAUAUAGGAUUGAUGUUCAAGCACACUCCACUUGCAGAACAUCUAGCACAGGCCAAGUACCCAGUUCCAUGGCAAUAUUUGCACCUUUUCUUCUCUUGCUGCUCAACAUUAUUAGCUUCAAUCAACAUCAAUGCUGAAAUGACACCCACUGCCCCACCGGAGAAGGAUGCCACAAUAGGAUCAACCUGACUUAAUUGUAAAGGCAGAUGCAUGCUACGAAUGAAAUCUUCAUACGAGGUACCUCCUAUACCUAAUUUUAGUUCCAACGAUGGCGCAAUGAGACCCCCAAAUACAAUUACACUAGAUAUCAUAGAUAAGCUUGUGAGGUAGAGCUGCUUCAACGUCUUUGGUGUCAUAUGAGGGAGAAAAGGGAUAGUGGAUGGAAUGUCAGGCAUCUCAUUUGACUCUUCCUCACAAGCCUCAUCCAUAUCUCUCGCCAUCUUUAUCCGUUGCUGCACCCGCAAUCUCCUUAGCUCUUCCAUGAGAAGAAAAAUCUUGUUGUGCCGGCUUCUUAUGUUGUCCUAAAUUUCCUGUAGUUGCAUCUGCACAAAGUCCUGCACCGUCUCCGGCUCUUCUAUGAUACAAAAAGUGCUUGGCGUGUUAUCGCCGGGGAAUGAUUCCUUGGAAGCAGAACAGGAAAUUUGGGGAUGCGGGGAGGUGAAUUUGGACAGAGAGAGACGUCUAGGGAUUCCAUGGGAGGGGGGUUGAGAGUGGUUUUUUGCCGGCGCCUCUAGGGUAGUCGUCGUUGGCUAUUGCUAUAGAGAGGUCAAUGACUUCACCGGAGAUGGCGUUGUUCUGGAGCCCGAGCGUGAGAAGCCGGGUGAGAUUGUCUGGAAAGGGUCCCCAGAGGUUGUUGUCGGCGAGGUCGAGAAGCUUGAGCUUGGUGCAAUUGACGAGAGGAGAAACGGUGUCGUUGAGGCGGUUGUUGUGGAGGUCGAAGAGUGAGCUGGGCGAGAUCAGAGAACCUUGACGAAUUCGGAGCGUUGAGGGUUAUCAACACGAUCCCAUCGACGAAGAAGAAGCAGAAUGGGCCUCUUGCGGGGCCUAUGGCAUCAACCGGUCUUUGGGCUUCUGGGCCAGUAAAUUGGAGAGAAGCCUGGGCUUUUGACUUGCAGAGAGAUUAGGCUCUGGGAGCCGCUUGUAGUAUUGUGGCUAAAGGGGUUGCUUCCUGUGGCCACUUAUAUAUAUAUAUUUUGUAAAUACAUAAAACAUUUAUCUCUUUUUUUUUCUUUUUUUUUUGUACAAAGAAAUUGUAAUAGCAUCAAAACUUUUAAUAAAAUCUUUAUUCCUUAUUUUGGUGUGACUGAACUCAAAUUUUGAAUAUUCGAGUUGCCUACGUACCUCUCCAAAGAAGAGAUCAAGUCGUAACGUAGUUCAAAUGAGUGAUGAAUUUAACAGUGAUUUUGAUGAUGAUUUUGUCGUACACAGUUUAUGCUCUUGCGGGCCAGGAGCUUUGGUUCGUGCAGUUUAGGCUCGUGCGAACAAGGAGUGUUGGUGUUGCCUUUUAUGCUCGUGCAGACCAGGAGCGUUGGUGUUGCCUUUUAUGCUCGUGUAGACCAGGAGCUUUGUGCCAUGCAGUUUAGACUCGUGCAGGCAAGGAGCGUUGGUGUUGCCUUUUAUGCUCGUGCAGACCAGGAGCGUUGGUGUUGCCUUUUAUGCUCGUGCAGACCAGGAGCUUUGUGCCAUGCAGUUUAGACUCGUGCAGGCAAGAAGUGUUGGUGUUGCCUUUUAUGCUCGUGCAGACUAGGAGCUUUGUUGUGCCAUGCAGUUUAGGCUCGUGCAGGCGAUGAGCUUUGGUUCAUGCAGUUUAGGCUCGUGCGAACAAUGAGCAUUGUGCCAUGCAGUUAGGCUCAUGCAGGCGAGGAGCGUUUAUUGGUUCGUCAAGCGAUCCAGGAGAGUCGUUCCUCGCAAUCUUCAUAGCAAGGAGCCUUGACUGAGUGAUUGAAGAAGUCUUUGGGGAAGAAAUCGCGCAUCGUGAUGGGGAUGGACGAUAUUUGUGUCGUCAUUUCAUCAUCUUCAACACUUUCACUUUUCUUUGAAGGUUGACAAGAGCUGCUUUGCCCCAUUUCCGAUUGGCGGACUUGUGGAUGAGACGUAUGCUUCUUCUGCAGUUUCUCUAGAGUGACAUGAGUCAUUCCUUCAACUUCGCUUGGCUCAACUGGCAUGGUUUUGGAGCAUGCCCCCAGCGAUUGAGGUGAAGAUUUUGAGUUGACAAAGCCGGAAGUGACGUCUUCUUCCAUGAUUUCAUCUUCUUUGUCUUCUUGGGCUUGUUGGCGUGAAGAUUGGCCGGCGUAGAUGAUGGUGCGCCUCUUUACCUUCAGUGGUCCUUUUGUGUCGACCUCCCAAGCUGUUUGGCGCUUUAUCCUUGAAUGAAUCAAGCUUCGAACGUCGUCUUUUCCUGCUAGACCGUCGAGCUUUUCUUCCUUUGGCGUUGUCUUCCUAUUUCUAGAAUGCUUCUUGGUUUCUUCAAGUUUUUCCAAAGCCGAUCGUUGGGGAGGAGAGCCAGCCUUGCUGCUUUGUUUCUUAGGUUUUGACAACCUUUCAAAAACAGAGCUUUGGGGUGUUGGCGUGUUAAGCCGUUUGAAGAUGGAAGUUCGGUCUUGCCCACCAAUGCGAUCAAGUGCCGACCUUCUGGGUUUUGAACGAUUCAGCCUAUCGAAGACUGACACUCGAAUAGGAGGUUGAGGCUCCUCUUGAUCUUGUUCAAUCCUCAAGCUGAUGUGUCGAGUGCUAGCAUUUUUUGCUUUACUUGAAAUCUUCACGGGUGCAUUUGGUGUGAAGCCAAGUCUAGCUCUGUUGUUGUCAACUCCGUAAUCAUGCUUUUCCAACUUCUUCUGAGUCUCGGUGAAGUCAUGAUCUUUGUCGUUGAUGGUGUUUGAAACCUUCUUCUCAAGAUUUGAAGAGGAAGCAAAGUCGUACCCAGCCUUUAACAUGAGUUCGUAGGCGUUUGGGUUGAGACCUUCUUCGGUCCUCUUAGUUGGAAUGAAGCUUGGGUUCGCUUUGACGCCAUGAUGCGCCUCCAGACGGUUGAUAAGUCCAACGGUUUGCAAGUUUUUCUCCUCCGCAGUCUUUAUCAGCCUUGCAAUUGUUUCCUUCAUCUGAACUAGUUGUUCUUCAAUAGAGGUAGCGCCGAUGGUCAUGACUUGUUCUUUGUUUGAAGCCAUGAAGUGUGCUUGAAUUUCUUGAACAGAGAAAGAGAUGAGAGGUAGAGAUUGUCCCACUGGGCGUGCCAAUUUGUGAACACGGAAAAUUCCCGAAACGAAAGAGACAAGAACAACGUGCACAAACAAAUAUUUUGUAUUUGAUGAUUAUUUUGGGUUACAAUCUCUCUCUAAUUUGAUCCUCUGAUUCGAUCUCCGUAAGGUAUUGGUUUGUGGAUGUGCGAUUGAUCCAAGGGCCGUCGAGGCUUGAUCUUGGAUGAACGGAUCUUCAAGGGCUUUUGGGCUUAAUCUUGAAGAAUAGUGAUGAACGGGUCUUCAAGGGCUUUUGGGCUUGAUCUUGAAGGAUGGUUGGAUGUGUGGAUUUGUCGACGUUGUUGAUCCAAAGGGCCGUUGGGGCUUGAUCUUAGGAUGAACGGAUGAUGAACGAAUAACACUUUCUUCAAGGGCCGUCGGGGCUUGAUCUUGAAUUGGUGAAAGUUCUUCAAGGGCCGUCGGGACUUGAUCUUGAAGGUAGAUGAUUGUUGAUCCAAGGGCCGUCGGGGCUUGAUCUUGGAAGAACGAUGAACGAAGAACGAAGAAGGCUUUCUUGGUUCUUCGGGAACCUGGAUGCUUGAGAGCUUCGGAGUUUCAGAGCUUCAGAGCUUCAAGGUGUAAUAUGAAUUUGGUUCCCCUAAAUGAAUGAAAUUGGCUUCUAUUUAUAGAAUUUUUCAAGGCCUAAUUUUGAAUAUAAUAUUCCAGAUGAAAUAAGUCGUUUCUGCCAAGUGUUGACACGUGUCUUAUUUGAUGACUUUUCCGACUCAUUUCAAUUUUUCGUCGAGUCACACACUACGUGUAAAAUUUAUGUAAUACAUGAGCGUUGAAACUUUGAUUUAUCAGUCAACAUUUAUUUACCAAAAUUUCGAUGUCUACAGUUAAAUGAUUUGGCUGUGUGCAUUGUUUCAGGACAAUUUGUUCUUCGUUUUUUGGGGCUUCUGUGCGUAGCUUUGAAGUCCUUUGUAGUCAACAUAAAUAAUUUUAUUUUUCUUUGUUUUUAGUCUUCUAUGUAAGAAUUUCUUAGUUAAUAUUCUGAGAAUUAUGUUUACUAUAGUAUGAAAAUUGAAUCUUUGUGAUCUUCGAAGUGUAACGUCAUUGCAACAUGGACGACUGCCAUUAUCGAACAUGAAAAACAUUUUGAUUUCUGUACUCCGUCUAGUAGAAAACUCUCGACUUCUUCAGAAACCACGAGAAACUUAAAACUGAGAAAGCUUCGCGGUCUCCCUUCCAUCUCUGCUACGCGGUCUCUGCUUUGCGAUCUCUGCUUCCUUCGUGAUUUCUUCCUUCCUGAACGACAUCUAUUCGAAUUGAAAACCUUCUGGAGCUCUCUUCCCCAAAUUUCAGCAGCAACUUUGCUCCAGAUCUUUCCAAUUGAAAUUCCUCUCCUUCACAUUUUGCAUAUUGAAUUUCGCAUCAUCAUCAUCUCCCUAGAACCUAGGAGUUCGGUUCGGUUUCGAGUUUUCCGACGGAAAUCCGGCGACAGCGGCCAUCGAGGUUGGUCUGAAACUAUUCCUCAUCACCACAGGUACUUUCUACACCUAUUACAUUUUAGAAAAAGUUUCAUGACUUUGUGGAAUCCAAUUUAACGAUUAGAAAAAUUUUCAUUAAUUUUCUGGGUUCGUGAGUUGGAGGGGGAUUAGAAAUUUUUUCAUUAUUUUUCUGGGUUUGUGGUUUUUUUUUUCCAAAACGUUUUUCCUUUCUACUAAUCCAAGUUCCUUCACAUCAAUCUCUCUGUUUUGUUCUUGAUCUUCCUCGAGUAGAAUACCUCUUCUUGCUCUGGAGCGCGUGGGCAGUCUCUCUAAGGCAGCCCAUGACGUCAUUUUCCGAUUCGACUCGGAGGAGGUUGGCUGCUCUUCUUGGCUGAGCUUCAUGGCUGGCCGAAUUCCCCUAUUCCCUUCCUCUUAUACUUUUUUAUAUUCGUUCACCAAAACAAUAGGAAAACGUCUCCGUCUGUUUGAUUGACGGCGAAAAAAAAAAAGACGGAGAAUAAAAGCCUGACGGAAGCUGAAAGCUUGGACUCUGUUUGUAUUUUUAAUGGAUUUUCAGAACACAGGUCAAGAAUAUUGCGAUUUGAGAAAAAAAGAAAGAACCACGUUGACAUAAUAUAUUCACAAUAGGUGUACAAGGUUCAUAAAGCUUUACUGUGGUUCCAUUUUUUGUUAAUGGAAUUAGCCUUUUGUUUUAGGAAGAACUUGGAACCCCCUCCGUCCAUUCUAUCCCCAAUGGAAUUAACACUUAGAUAGUACUAUGACAAUGUGUCAUUAUUUGAUGCAUACCUGUAUAAAUUUAGGCUAAGUGUUUUAUACACAAAUUGAUACAGAUUAACUAUACAAUGAUAACUAUAUACCGGAGAGCUAACUAUACAAUGAUACAUUCUUAUCUGUUAAUUAUCUUUGGUUACCAGCUAUCCAUGUUGCUGUCAUAUUAAACUACACAACAUCAGUUGUAAUUUAUGUCUUAUUAGUAUCAUCAUUUUUGUUCAUUAUUUCAAUGUCUAACAUAACUCCGCCUAUGUCUUACAUGGCCGGUCCCAAGCCCGGAUAAAGGAGGAGGGGGAGGGCGUCAGGUAGUCGACAGCCGGCACUCCAUGAUCACGUCGAAUCCUUAUGAAAAUGAAUCCAGAACAAAACCCCACUUAGUGGGAAAAGGCUUUGUUGUUGUUGUAUUUCAAUGUCUAACAUGAUGAUCUGGUUUCAAUUUGCUACAGGCAUUAUUUCCAGACAAUAGCUAUGGUUUUGAUUGUAGCGGUGACUGAAAAAUUAUUCCGAAACUAACAUUUGAGGAAUUCAAGGUUUGUUAGUUAAUUUGUACAUCAGAAUACCAUGACAAACUAUGAAGUUGUAAUUGUUGACCUUACAAUGUAUCUUUUUUGGUUUGGAGCAUUAGACUUAUAUGUGUUGCUUUCACCUCAUGAAGGCUAACUCUUUAUUUUAGGCCGUAAGAGUAUAAUUUCUUGGAGAAUCUACAUUGUUGAUAAUUUUUUGAACAAUAUUAUCCCCAAAAUUUCUCCGCAUGUUACCCUCAACGUAGACAUCAUAUAACCAUCAUUGAACUUCUGAACCAAAAAUUUGAGUUUUAUGAUUAUAACUAAACGUCUAUAAACACAUGAUACAGAUUGAGACGAAUGUCAAAUUUAAAAUGGCAUUAAUACAGCUGCAAACUCUGAUUUGCGGGAUUUGAAAUGGAGCAGUUACUUCUUGCUUCACUUCAGCAGCAUAGUCCAGCUUCUAAAUUCAGUUCUCAGGUAUGAGGUUUCUCAGUUACCUCUUUUUUGUAAUAAAACAUUUGAUCAGUACUUGCCAGGAUAUCCAAUUAAUUAGGUCAGUUUUUGUUAGCAGUAAUAAUUUGUUUUUGCAGCUUUAUAUGUGUCUCUGUCUCCAAAUAUGAUGAUCUCUUAAUUUGCUUCUAUAGCUUUUGUAAUAUAAUGAUCUCUUAAUUUUCUUUUGCAUAUCUUCUUUGCUUCCUCUGCUAGCUCUAUAUGAGAUUCCAUCUCCAAAUAAUUAUUCCUUAUUUCCUAUUUUUACCAGAAGCAAAUCAUUGAAUACACAUGGUAAAUUAAAAGGGUUUUAGUUUUUGGAGUAGUUUAAAUUUUUUGUUUGUUAUUGCUUGUAUUGCUGUUAAAUAUUUGAUGGGUAGUUUGAAAUGGGGAACUUGGUUGAUUGAGUAUUAACUUUUAUUAAAUUAAUAUUCUUAUUCAAUAUUGAAUUAAGACUCCUCUUAUUAAAUUAAGACUCUUAAGGCUCUAAUCUAAUGUUCAUGCUCAAUAUCUCCUCUAUCUUUCUACAAUUGGUAAAACUUUUGUAUUAUUAUUCCAAUUUUGGUUACUGGGUUGUGGAAUUUUCCAUUUUUUUUCUGGGUAAUCAAUACUAUAUAUAUGCAUGACAAGUAUAAACAAUAUUUUGGGGCAAAUUUAGUUGUUUAAUUUUUAAUUUUUAUGUGACAGUGAGAUUAUGGUAGGAUUUCGUUUAGAUUCUGCGGCCCAAUGGGAGUCUCUGCUUUGAUAAGAUUGGGGUUGAUGCCAAGAAAGCCAAUAAGCCUACUGUGGACGCCGUAGCCGCCUGGCGCUGUUUUCCAAAAUCCUCUCUCACUUGGUUAAGCAAUUAAGACUUUUUGGUUCAGUUUUUAUUAUGCCCAAUUUUGUAUUUAAACCUUAAAAAAAUUUAAACUGAUAUGGGGAUACUGAAAUAGGCUGCAGAGCUGCCAUCCCUGAAUCAGAAGAUGUUCAGAAGGAAGAAGAAGAACAAGAAGAAAGUCGUGGAAUAUCAAAAGCUUUUAGCUUUGUGAAGGUAUGCUUUUUCCCAACUCACCUCUUGCUUUUGUUGCACUGAAUUGGUAGAUUGGGUUCAAAAAUAUAUAUAUGUGAUUUUUCGUGUAACUAUUUCUUUACAUAAUUACCAAUUGGAGGUGAUUUGAGAUCAUGUAACAUUUCCUCGCUAGAACCGAAGAUUGCCGUCGCUCAGAGCUGCGUUUCAUGAAACAAGUUCAUCUCCUGCCAAUUUUGUGUACCCACCUUUUAUUCAUGAGGGUUGGUGCUUGCUUGCAACACAAUUUGGUGCUAUUAAGUUUUGCGGUUUUACAAUUUGUUCAUGCUUAAACCUCUUUCAAAUUUUCAUUUCUAUGUAAAUCUUGCAGGUAGGACGACACACCUAUCUUGGCAAUGUCGGGAUGUCUAGGCUUGGGUGGAGACGUGGUCUUAUGGAAGAGGUGAAGUAGCUUAGCUCGAUCUCAUUAGCUCUUAUCUGUUCUAUUAUGCUAAGAUCAAUAGUAAAAAGUUCUAUUGAUUUUAUAAUCAAAGAUACAUAUAUUAUAGAAACAGAGGGUAUAUAAUUAAUUUCUUGAUGUAAACAAUUAUAACUUGAGGAACCAUUUAAAGUAUUUUGGUAAUCAGCAUACUUAAACUUAAAUGUGAUAUAUCCGUUUAGUAUUUUUUUUAUACAGUGAUAAUACUUAAGUAUAAUUUACAUCAUAUAUCUUUUGAAGUACAUGAAACUAUGAAGAAAAUGAUAAACCAAAUCCCAUUCCAUCUCUGUUUGCUACUGCACAAUCACAAUCCAAUUCCAACAUGGAAUCCUCAGACGACAUGCCUACUGCAGAACAAGUUUCAUCCUGACUUAACUUAUAUUUAGUCCACGUCCUGUUUAGAUUGUAAUCCUAGUUCUACGUGUGUUUGUAUAGUACUCCUAUAAAUAUCAAUGAACAUCGCUCACUCUAAUUAAGAGUUGAGAUUCUGCAAAUCAUAUUUACUAUCUUUCAUGGUAUCACGAGCCAGCGUCUAACGACAACGGUUCCUAUUAUAAUUUUUUUCUCUUUUGCAGAUCCUAAACUAUGGCAUCUUCUUCCUCCUCCGCUGCUCCCUCCAUCACAAAUUUUCUUACGAUCAAGCUCGACCGCAACAACUACCCUCUUUGGCAUGCUCAGUUUCUUCCCUUGCUGCGCAGCCGCAACUUACUCUCUUAUGUUACUGGCGAAACUCAAUGCCCCUCUUUCUUCUUGAUGACAAUGGUAAAUUCACCGAUAAAGUCAAUCCAUUAUAUAAUGAAUGGAUCCAGACUGACCAGAUGAUCCUAUCUUGGAUUACGAGUUCUCUUACUCCCAAGGUUCUUGCUACGAUCGUCAACAAAAUUGAUUCGGCCUCUGCUUGGUCGUCAAACUCGAAUUAAUCUGAUUGUGAGGGUUUUGUUUUAUAUCAAUAUAUUGCAACAGAAGUCACACUUUGAAGAGUUCAUGCUGCACAGAAAGAUGAUGAAAUGCUACCCGUUGAGUCUAUCAUUGCUCCAUUGGAGACAGAGCUGAAGCUUACUGCAGGAGUUAUACAUUUGUUAUGCAAUAUGACCCCUUUAAUUUUAUUUUAAAACUGAUACAAAAAUACUACAAAAAUUUAUGUAGUAUUUUUGUAUCAGUUUUGAGUGUCUAUUUUGGCUUCCAUAUAUCGUCUGUACAUGUGAGAGGUAUAGUGUUCAAUAUGUAUUUGGUUUCUAUAUUGUUAAUGGAUCCUUUUUUUUUUUUUAAUUUUAAUAUAAUUUUAUUAAGGUAACCAAGUUGCAGGAUGACAUCAGAACACUUGAUCUGCAGGUAAACCUUCAAUUUCCAUAUGAAGUUUGCAUGUUCGUUGUUUCUGGAAUUUGAGUUUUUAUUAUUUCUCAAUUCUAUCACAUAGAUUACGAUUUCACAUAUGUGAUUAUUAAUGGCAAUUAUAUGAUAGAAGAAUUGGGAUUGGAAGAAGAUAUUGAGUUGUUUAUUUAUGGGGAUUAGAAAAUGAUUAUCAUACAAGUGAUAUUUAUUUUUGUGUGGAUUGUUAAUAUAUAAAACUAUAAGCUUUUGAGAUUGGGAGAUAAAACCCACAAAUUCAAAUCAGACAAAAUAAAUAAAAAAUUUAACUGACUUAAAGAUCAAACUCCAAAAGGGUAUUAAAAACAAGGCUUAUUUGAUCCAUUGAGUGUGAAAGUUUUGAGCUUUGAAGAAGCAUAGGAGGAGAGUUGUUAACCAAGCUGCAUUAUCCAUGUAUUAGGAUGUUGAGGGUAGGCAGGAAAAAUACUUUUUGACGCCAUAUCCAGAGGAGCAUAACGACAGGCCUGCAUUUUUGCAGCAAGGACCAAAACAAGUAGAAGUGAAGGCUUGACUGUUUGGGUAUUAAUCCUAAACCUAAUUAUUCUUAUUUAGGUUUAGGAUAAAUGAUUGAGUGUGUCUCGAUGAUUGUAUUACCAUGUUUGAUGAAUGACUUGAGGAGUUGGAAAUGGUUUAUUGCUUAUGUUUUUCUUAGGUGUGUACUUUGGUUAUUUCCGAGCUUUUCACGACUCUUGAUACCUAAUAGAGAAAAUGGAAACCCCAACUUUAAUUUUAUGAAUUGGUUUUGGUGCCUAAAAUGAAAUCUAGCAUAGUGAAAUCUUGCAUAAUGAAAUUAUGACAAAUUUCCCUUCAUCUUUAGAUUUUCAUUUAGUUCAAUUUGUAUGCAAUUUAGGGUUAUUCAAUUCAUGAGUGAUCAAAUUAUGUUUUUAAUUCCUUCUUCUUUUGAUUUACAGUUCAACAUUGUCGUACAAAAUGAAAAAGGUGCCAGUAACAUAGUUAUGGAUUUGGAUGCCUUUAGCGGAAUAAAACUGAAUUUUUUAACUUUGUAUAGUUGUAAACAUAAAAUACUCCAUCAGAUAGACUCAUAGCAUUUGAAAACAAUCCUUGAGGAUGGCAUAACAACAUCUCCAACUUUUGUCAUGUAAUGUAUGAAUGUAAAUAGCACUUUGUAAACAUAUGGAUGUAAUAUAUGUAUAUAAACAGUCUUUAGCAUGUAUAUUUUUCAAAACUUUCUACAUCUUCAACAAUGUUUCAAUGAUUUCUUGAUGUAAACAAUGAUAAUUUGAAGAACCAUUUAAAGUUUUCGGUAAUCAGCAUACUUAAGCUUAAAUGUGAUAUAUCCGUUUAGUAUUUUUUAUACAGUGAUAAUACUCAAGUAUAAUUUACAUCAUAUAUCUUUUGAAGUACAUGAAACUAUGAAGAAAAAACCCUAAUUAAUCUGAUUAUGGGGGUUUUGUUUUAUAUCAAAAUAUUGCAGCAGAAGUCACACUUUGAAGAGUUCACGCUGCACAGAAAGACGAUGAAAUGCUAUCUGUUGAGUCCAUCAUUGCUCCAUUGGAGACAGAGCUGAAGCUUGCUGCAGGUGGUAUACUUUUGUUCUGCAAUAUGACCCCUUUAAUUUUAUUUUAAGACAGAUAGGGUUGAAAAGAAUUUAUGUAGUAUUUUUGUAUCAGUUUUGAAUGUCUAUUUUGACUUCCAUAUUUGGUCUGUACAUGUGAGGUAUAGAGUGUUCAAUAUGUAUUUGGUUUCUAUAUUGUUAAUGGAUCUUUUUUUUUUGUUUUUUAGGUAACCAAGUUGCAGGAUGAAAACAAAACACUUGAUCAGCAGGUAAACCUUCAAUUUCCAUAUGAAGUUUGCAUUUUUGUUGUUUCUGGAAUUUGAGUUUUUUGCAGGAUGAAAACAGAACACUUAAUCUGCAGGUAAACACUUGAUUUGUUAUUUCCAAGCUUUUCACGACUUUCGAUACCCAAUAGAGAAUAUGGAAACCCCAACUUUAAUUUUAUGAAUUUGUUUUGGUGCCUAAAAUGAAAUCUAGCAUAGUGAAAUCUUGCAUAAUGAAAUUAUGACAAAUUUCCCUUCAUCUUUACAUUUUCAUUUAGUUCAAAUCGUAUGGUUUAGGGUUAUUCAAUUCAUGAGUGAUCAAAUUAGGUUUUUAAUUCCUUCUUCUUUUGAUUUUCAGUUCAGCAUUGUCGUAUUUUGGAUGCCUUUAGUGGAAUAAAACUGAAUUUUUUUAACUUUGUAUAGUUGUAAACAUAAAAUACUCCAUGAGAUAGACUCAUAACUUUUGAAAACAAUCUUUGAGGAGGGCAUAACAACAUCUCCAACUUUUGUCAUGUAAUGUAUGAAUGUAAAUAGCACUUUGUAAACAUAUGUAUGUAAUAUAUGUAUAUAAACACCACUCUUUAGCAUAUAUAUUUUUCAAAACUUUCUACAUCUUCAACAAUGUUUCAAGCCCCGCGGCAACGGGCGGGUACACUUGCUAGUAUACAUCUAAAAUUAUAAGACUAAAUCCUUUAGUUCUUGGAUUCAUCUAAGAACUACUUAUUCCAGCAGAUGCUAUGCUUGCACUACUAGAAUUUAUGGCUUGCCCUGUCAACUAUUGCGCGACAGAAGAUUUCGUCGGUUUCACCUUUUUUAACCGACAGAAUAUAAGUUUAGUAGGGCAAAAUCAGUCAACAAACUGGGUUGAUUGAAUAAAUUUACAGGAUGGCUAGAGUUCGUAGGUUAAGACAUCGGUCGUUGGGCAAACAUUUGGAGCGAAGAUGUGAGUGUUUUAACUGACGAAUAAGCUGGUCGUCAUGUAGAUCUUCUUUCCCGACGGACGGUUCAACAGGUAGCUCUUUGGAUAAUAAUUCAUCUUCAAGGGGAACAGGUUGCCCCUCAGAUGAAUGGUUAGAGGCAAUUGUGAGACUAUAAUUUUCUAGGGCCGGAAUAAAAAAUACAUAAACCCUCACCUAUUCUGUCUCUGUAACCAUCCACCAAAUACCCAUUUUUCCCUUUCUAUUUCUCUCCUAGUAAUUUCCCCUGACCGAAUCACACAAUCCAACCAACUCUCUUUAAGCCUCCCUCACUGAUUCCAUGGAUUUCAUGGACUUAUCCCACCCUCUCUCCUUCCUUCUAUAUAUAGCAAGUCCCCUUGCCUCAGUGUCCCUGGCAACAGAAUUUAUGGCGUUUCUUCGUUCUUUCAAUUAUUUGAAAGCUUCCCUGCCCUGCAAUCUUGUAUAAAGGCGUAUGGUGUUUCAUCAGUUCCAUUUGGUGGUCGGGUGGGAAAUGAAAUUAAAACACUGCAUUUCAAAUGCAUUUCAAAUGGUCUAAACCAAAUUGAAUCAAAUGUGAAGCAAAGGGCAAGAGGUGUAGAUUGAAGAACAAUGGCACCAAGAGCGAAAUUGAACUUGUUGACAGGAGGAAACCAAGUAAGGAUAACACGUCUAAAUCUUAUUUUGAAUCCAUUCAGCUCAUGAUGUUUUGAAUGAUGAUGAUCGGUAUACUCUGCUACAUGCUGUGAUUUUUCCGCUUUCAUGUAAUUAACGGCUUAUAUUUGUGGUAACCAUAUUGAUUAAAAAAGGUCGUACCCAGUGCACAAGGCUCCCGCUUUACGCAGGGUCUGAAAGGUGAAUGUCGGCUAGCCUUACCCCCAUUUUAUGGAGAGGCUGCUCCAAAGUCUCAAACCCAAGACCUACCGCUCAUGGGCGAAGACACUUGCCAUCGCACCAAGUGCGAUAUUGAUUAAUUUCGAGAAAUGACAGUCUAAUUUUUGCAACUGUCUUUUGCAGGCAAAACAAAGACGUUUGCAAGGGUGAGUUGUGUAGGAGCUUUGUUUCAUGUCCAAAGGACACUUGAGAAUAAAUGUUUACACUCAUGGAUAAUAUCUAUCUAUUUGCAGGAGUAACCCUGGGUUCAUUUGUUCUGUAACUGCUGGUCAUUGCGGCAUAUCACGCCUAUAGCACUGACAAAAGUAAAAAGAGAAUCGAAUGAAAUUUGAUAAGUUUUCAGCGGACUACAAAGAUCUUAAGCCAAGCAUAUAUUCCCAUGCAGAUAUUAAGAGGUUUACAAAUCAAUUCAAGUACAAGUUGGGCCAAGGAGCAUACGGAACUAUUUUUAAAGGAAUGCUUUUUUCUGAAUGCUUUGUUGCCAUGAAGUACUUAACAAUGGGCCAUAUUCACCAUGUCAAUGUGGUUCACUUGGUUGGUUUUUGUGCUGAUGGAUUUAGAUGAGCUCUGGUUUAUGAGUUCUUUUCCUUUGGUUCACUCCAGGAUUAUAUUUCAUCAGUAGAUAGAUUUCUUUCCUUGGUUGGCAUAAGUUACAAGAUAUUGCUAUCAGCAUAGCCAAAGGAACCAAGGAUGUGAUCUACAAAUCCUCCAUUUCGAUAUCAAACCCCAUAAUGUUUUGCUCAACCAAAAAAUCACGCCAAAAAUCUCUGAUUUUGGUCUGGCCAAGUUAUGUUCCAAGGAUCAAUCGGCGUGACUAAAGCAAGGGGGACUAUGUGACUAAAGCACCCGAAGUGUUUUCCAGGAAUUUCGGAAAUGUGUCUUACAAGGCAGAUGUCUUGAAUGCUGCUGCUUGAGAUGGUAGGAGAAAAGAAGAAUAUUGGUUCAACCAGAGGACACGACAAAUGAAAUCUACUAUCCAAAAUGGAUUUAUAAUCUUCUAGAGGAAGGAAAUGACCAACAGAUCCCUAUUGAGGAAGAAUGUUAUGGUAAGAUUCCAAAGCAACUUGCAAGUUUAGGGCUCUGGUGCAGCCAGUGACACUCAGUGGAUCGGCGGUCCAUGAAAACGGUGGUUCGGAUGUUAGGAGGAGGAGAAAACUUGAUGAUGCAAGCAACCCUAAAAGCCUCAUACAGUUAGAAGCAAUUGCUGAAUUAGAGUAACAUACGUAUAUGUAUACGCACCAACACAAGUCGUUCUUAGAUGAAUCCAAGCCAAACAAUUACAGACAAUAGUUAUUCACUAAAUCACUUUAAGGCAAGAAUUUAAUUAAUAAUACAUUACUGCACUUUCUUAACCAUUUGACUAUCACCUAGCUGACAAUGAACACGUUAGCUCCGCGUUAGAACAUCUUGGGUUCAAUUCAUUGUCUUGAAUAUCACCCACUGUCACAGGCGUCUUUUGGGGGCAUAGAGAAGGCCUGAGAGGCAUUUGCAGACAUUCAACAUCUCCUCCAAGCAUUUUGACAACUUUGGACAUCGAAGGGCGAUCACUUGGUUUCAUUUGAAUACACCACAAGGCGGUUAUAACCAUCUUUCUUAUUACUUUCUUUUCCUCCUCUGUAACAUUGUCCAUUUCCAAGUCAUUUCCUACAAUAUACUGAUCGUAUACCCACAUUGGGAAGUAGAUUUGGCUUGAAUGCUCUACCGUUGGAUUCAAAUUCCUCCUUCUGCUUGCCAUUUCCAUCAACAACAUUCCAAAACUAUAGACAUCUGACUUAUAUGAGACGCCUCCAAUAUUUUUGUAGAACAACUCAGGAGCAAUAUAUCCCAGUGUACCCCGUGCUGCUGUCAAAGAGACAAUGCUAUUAUCUACAUGAUACAAUUUUGCAAGCCCAAAGUCAGAAACCUUUGCUUUAAAGUUCUCAUCAAGAAGGAUGUUAUGAGGCUUGAUGUCGAAAUGUAGAAUUUGCAUUUCGCAACCUUGGUGUAGAUAUUCGAUCCCUUGAGCCACUCCAAGAGAAAUCUCGUACAUGUUCUUGAUAGUUAAGGGGACACUUCCUUCUUUGGAAUAAAUGUAUUUAUCAAGAGAACCAUUAGGCAUGAAGUCAUAGACUAGAGCGCGUUUUGAUCCCUCAACAUAGUAUCCAACAAGUUGCACCACAUUGGCAUGGUGAAUCCUUCCGAUUGUAGCUAAUUCGCUAAUGAAAUCUUGGCCAUCAGCUUUGGGCUUGGCCAAAACUUUAACUGCUACAAAUCGACCACUGCGUAGCUUUCCCUUAAAUACAGAGCCAAAGCCACCUUUGCCCAACUUGUCCUUAAACUUGCGAGUCAUUUUCUUGACGUCCGAGUAAGAGUACCUUAUAGGCAUGAAGUUGUUAUUGCAUUGCAGAAAAUCUUCUAUUGUGCUAUACAUUGAUAAAUGUCUUCUGCGCCAUGUGUAGAUUAGAAAUGCAGUCACAAUUGGAACUCCAAAAACAAAUCUGGCUAGGAAAAAUAACCCUACAUGCAUUGACAUUAAUAUGUUAGAUCCACUGCGUACUACUUUUUCUUCCCUUUCUUUCCAAAUUACUUUGUCUUUGAUGUAAUUAAAGAGAGAAUGGGAAAUGUACAUAUGUUGAUAAUACAAUCUCGUCUUAGUCCUUACCGAUGCAUAUGAGUAUAAACCAUACACGUACUGCAACAAAAUCAAUCGACUAUGAGUUUGAAAAGUGCAUAAAGUGAAAAAAAAAUAAAAAAAAUCAAAGGGUGCCUUUAUUGACAUCCAAAUUUUAGUUAGUUUUACUCAACUAAAAAAUUUUUGUCAUCAAACUUUUUAAUUUGCCGUCGAAAUUGAGUUCACCCAACCCACAAAGCAGCAACUACCACUCACCAAAAAAACCAACAACACACAGCCACCAGUACCAUUCACCAAUAGAAAGAGAAGGAACACACAGACCCACCAAGGAGCCGGCAUCGACGCGUCUACGAGGGAGGGACCGGAGGGUGGUGUAGUUUUGUUGGGCGCGCGGUAGUGGUUUUGUCUGUUCAUUUUCUCUUUGUUUUGGUAGGUGGAGGCUGGUGUGGAUUUGGGCGAACUUAAAAAUGAGGGGAAACUAUGAAGUUUGACAAAAUGUUUUAGUUAGGUGAACUUCACUAAAAUUUGGGUGCCGAUAAAGAUACCCAAAAUCAAAAGACUAGAUGGACUAAUUAAAUGAAGCUCUUACCCAUAUAUAACGAUGGACGCAACUUGCCAGCUGCUGCAGUACAUACCACGGAAAAGUGAGCAAAGACAUACAGUUACUAGGUUUAAGAAGUACAGAUAGAGCACACAAAAAAUAAAAGAAGCUUUUGGGAAGAAACUUCUUACGCAAAUAGAUUUUUUUCAUGACCUACAGUAAAAAAAUGUCAAGAAGAAUACACAACAUUAGCAAUAGCUCACCCAGUCUUCAAAAUUUAAAAAAUCAAGUUUGUCGAUCGAAAACUUGUAAAUAAAACAAAAAGAGGACCCCUUACCGAUUUGUUGCCAUAGAUAUUGAAAGAAACCUACAAGAACAAAGAAAGAACAAGACCACAUGCAUUAGAAUAACAAGUGUGAGGUGUAUAAGCCGUUAGAAAAUAAAUUUAAAAUUCUAGUGCUGUCAAUACAUUGAUAAUAUAUAUAUAUAUAUAUAUAUAUAUAUAUAUAUGUAUGUAUGUAUUAUUUUUUCUGAAAAUUUAACUUUUCCCGUCCAAACUCAUUUUUCUAGUCUCUAGCCCAACAUAUAAUAUUUAUCUGAAUAAAACCAAAUGAUUAGGAUCCAACUAAGAAACUUACCAAAUUAAGUUUGUGUGUCCAUUUUUAUAUUUUUUGGAUCCCUAAUAUACCCCAUCUAAGCCAGUAUGGAAAGGUCUUGUAAUUUUGCUUUAAGUGAUUACGUGCAUUGAAUUUGGCAAGGUCUUAUAGCCAUGAAAUAUGGUUCUAGAUGGAGGAAUUAAUUUGGAAUUUUUUUUAAUUUCGACAACAAAUUUCAAUUUGAAUAUACCUAAUUUAGUGUUUAUUUUCAACAAUAAAUGUGCCUACUUUUUAAAUUUGUAACAAAAUUAAUUUACCUACUUUUUAUGGUAUUAGUGACACACCCUGUCCCGAAGGAGGGCAUGCUGGCCGUCACGAGAGAGUGACGUAACCAUUUGCACAGUACGGAAGCUUUAAGAUACAAUUUAUAAGUUGAUACACCCGAAGGUGAGUCCUAAUUUUUGUCCAAUCUGUCAGAACACCGUCAAAUUCCUCGUAGUCACCACACCUUUGUGAUUCCUGAACCUGGAGGGGCGCAAAACCAAAAUUGAGUGGGUCAGUAAAACAAUUCUUUUCCAAAUCCAAACAUUUCUCAAAACGUUGUAACCCUCUCCGUAAAACUUGUAUACUUUCCCAGAAAUGUAAAAUAUAAAUAUACAUAUAUAUUCUCAAACUUCAUUUUUACUAUCUCAACAUUUUUCUUUAUCAAACAUGCCAUGCCAUGUCUAAUUCAACAGUUAAGUAUGGAUGCAUCAACAAUAAUCAUAUCAGGUGCAAGAAAGUAAUCAACCGGAGGCCCUCUAAUAGCCCUGUACGGUUGAACCUAGAGCUCAAAAUCUAUCACUCUCACUCUGCCGGGAGUCACCUCUGUGACCUGUCCGGCCUUCUGCACACAAGUUACGCUCUAGUGCUUUCUCAUCAAUCAUCUGUGCACAUAAUCUAAGGUCACCCACCAGUCGAAAUCUCACUAACACUCUUCGACUGGCCCGUCGCACCCACUCCGCGUGGACUGUGCGACCAGCAUCUACUUGGAUCCAAGGCGAGCGUGCGAUGCGGUGAAUACUAUAAGCACUAAACCAUGGUGCAGGAUUUGAGCUCAAUAUAUAUCAACAUCAUCAUAACAGUACUUAAAUACUCACCUGAUACUCACCUGUGCGUCCGCCGCACCAAUUCAUACAUAUGCAUCAUAUUUCAAUUCAUAUCAUUUCAUGCAUGGCAAUUCGAUUCACAUUUCUAUAUACAUUUCAUAUACUUCUAUGCAUGACCUUUCAAUUCACGUUUUCAUAUAAUUCUAUAUACCUUUCAUUUAAAACAUAAUUUCAUUCUAAUUCAAUUUCUGGGAAAACGUCAAGUAUAUAUAUACGGAAAACAAAACUGCCCACUCACCUGGAGUUCGUCCAACAACUCCCUAGCACCACACAUCAAGGCGUCAUGACGAUCGCCGUCUAGAACAGUAAUCAAAUCCAGCCUCAGAAUUCAUAUCGAUAGAACAUAUAACUUAUAUAAAAUAUGUCACUACGUAGAUCGAUCCGGAAGAUCUGCCACUCAGAUUUUAAAUCCAUAACUUCCAGAGGUCCACAAUAUAUCUCUAGGAUAACAUCCUAAAAUUUCAUUACCAUCCAACGGUCGGAUCUCCGUCAAUUUCCAAAACUAAGUGACGGUUAACAUUUUAUUUUAUGAACUUACAAUUCUAAUUCCGGAAGAUCCGUAACUCGGAUUCCCAAUCCGUAAGUUCCAAUAAUCCUCAAAUAUUACGUAUUACAACGUAUCAAAGUUUGGUAACGAUCCAACGGUCGGAUCAUCAAUUCACAUUUUCACCUAAUGCGAAAACUAUAAAACGUUAUUCGAACACCUAACCAACAAUCCUUAAUAACUUUCUCAUACGGUGUUCAAUUUGGGUAUAUGAAUAUACCACAGUGAUCUACUCAUUAAAAUAAUUUUUUACUGUAGCACGCGCCCCCACGCGCCAAGGAAGGCACGGACCUACGCGCCCCCACGCGCACCUUCUUCUUCCUUGGGUCGCCGGACUGGUUUUUCCGGCGGCCGUUUUUCAAAUUGCCAUAACUUUGUCAUUUCUCAACGAAAUCAAGUGAUUCAAAAACGAAAGUUGUAGCCCUUGAAGAGACAAAGAGAAUGGUACCUUGCACAACACCUAGUUCGCCGUGGUUUGGCCGGAAACUGCUUCGAAAGCCUCGGAGGUCGCCAGAAACUGGGUAUUUUUCAAAUCAGUAUAACUUCUUCAAUACUCAACGAAAUUGAGUGAAACAAAAAGGAAAGUUGUAGUACUUGACGAGACGAAGAGAUUGAUACCUACCUCGACUCCUAACUCACCGGAUAUUCGCCGGAAAAUGCCUCGAAAGCUCCGGCCAAACUUUGAACUUGUCGAUCUCCGUGUUCUUACAUCCAAAAACUUCCAACGAAGCACUCCGAGCUUCCUUGGGACCUCACUAAGCUCGCUAUGAUCUUGUUUUAGCCUAAAACGUAGUCAUUUAGAAGAUCAUGAACAAUACCAUUUCACGGGAACUUUGAAACUAGGGUUUUCCGAAGCAAAACUUACCUGAAAUGGAUACCAUCGUGAUCGUGGAGGUUCCAGGAGUUUGAUGGUGGUCUUAACUCUGUCGUUGGUGGAAGUUUAAGGUUGUUUUGUGGUUGGUUUGUUCGAACGGAGAAGAAGAGUGACAGAGAGAGUGAGAGAGUCGUGAGGGAAGAGAGAGAGAGACAGCAUGCAGAAAAUAGGGAGAGGAUUGAGGGGUGUGGGGAUCCCACGUGGUCCUUUUCCAAUCCCCAACUCCAAACCAUAAAAUUUUAACCUAAAAAUCUAAGUUCAAUCCUUAAUAAAUUCCAUUUUAUUUUCAAAACUUAGGAACCUAGAUAAUUAUCAACUUGAGCUUCACAUACUUAGUAUUUCUUAAGGGCAAUUUCGUUCAUUCACAGCCACGAAUGUAAUAUUUUGGAACGGGCUGUGACAAUUAGUAUACAUAAAUGUAGAAUAUAUGUCCGUAUAUAUUUGAUCCAAUUAGUAUUAGGGAGAAUGACAAGUCAUCCAAGUCUGCUACUGUUAAUAAUUCUGUUACUGUAAAUUAACUGAUUGUAUUAGUUGUGAUUAGUUAAGAUAGUUAUAAAGUAGUUAGGGGUAUCUAUGUAAAUAGCCAAAGGCUAUAUAUAUUCCUACACAAUGUGUAAAGUUCUCAGUCAAGUAAAUACAAUCAAGAAAACUUACUGUUGAAGUUUUCUGUUUCUACAUGGUAUCACGCCAUUCCGCUUCACAGCUUCGAUCUUUCUCUUCGCUUGCUGCAUCGAUCGACUCUUGAUCGAUUUUUCUUCUCUGAUCUUCUCUUCGCUUGCUGCAUCGAUCGACUCAUGAUCGAUUUUUCUUCUCUGAUCGUCACUUCUUCCCUUCCGAUCUUGUAGUAUUUUCUUGAUUUCUGUCAGUAAUGGCGGCUCAAUCGACUGGUUCAUCUUCUCCGGUCAUCUCCCCCUCGAGCCCAAACCCUAAUUUUCUCUGGAAACCCUAAUUCCUCUGGAAAUCCGAGUCCUCUGACUUCCUACACUUCUCUCUCACAAUUCAUAACAUCGGCAGCAUGGUGCCGAUCAAGCUCAAAAGAUCCAAUUACCUACCAUGGCGCGCCCUGUUUGGCCCGAUUUUCCGGCGAUACAAGCUUCUUGGAGUAAUCGAUGGUACUGACGUCUGUCCAUCGCCAUUUCUGCCUGAUCGUAGCAUCAAUCCUGCUUUUGAGGACUGGUAUGAGAAAGAUCAAAAUCUUUUUGAUCUGGUUGAAUUCCACACUUUCUGAGGAAAUCAUCCCGUUCACGGUUGGGGUUUCAUCCUCUCGAGAACUUUGGGUAAAGCUUGAACAGCGCUUUGGUGGAAUUUCAGAGGCUCAUAUCCAUCAGUUGCGAUCGCGCCUUCAAUCUGUUCAGAAAGGAUCGCGUUCUAUCUCUGACUAUCUUCAAGAACUCAAGGAAAUUUCAGAUUCUCUGCAAGCUGCUGGUGCUUCUGUCUCUGAUCGAGAUCUUAUCGCCGCCACACUACAUGGCUUGCCUGAUGAAUUUGAGUCUUUCAUCGACUGUAUCAUGCUCCGAUUGUCCUCUACCUCUCUGAUGAACUUCAUGGCCUCCUUCUCACAAAGGAAUUGUCUAUGGCCAGACGCAAAACUGUCAGUUCAUCUCCUGUCCCUGAAUCUUUUCAGGCUUUCUCGGUGCAGUCUCAGCCUCAUCUCCUUCCUACUCCAUCUGCUUUUGCUGCUCAGAAUCUCCCUCUUCAAUCUGCAUCUCGGUUCAACUCUAAUCGUGGCAGGAACACUAAGGGCCAGUUCUUUUCCAAUCGAGGUCAUCGAGGUAAUCGUGGUAAUUUUCCUAAUAAACCGUGGCAAUCGAGGUUAUCAAGGAUUUCGCAGCAAUCAAGGCUCUUCUCACUUCAAAGUGCUUUGUCAAAUCUGUGGUUCUACCAGUCAUGAGGCUAUUGACUGCUUUGAUCGUAUGAAUCCUGACAUCUUGUGGUCGUAUUCCUCCAGCUAAGCUUGCUGCCAUGUGUGCCACAACAUUCUGCUAAACCAUCUCAGCCUUGGUUAAUUGAUUCAGGGGCAACCUCUCAUAUCACUAAUGAUGUUGCUAACCUCACCUCUCCUACUCCCUACACUGGCGAGGAUUAAAGUGUAUAUUGGAGAUGGUAAAGGUUUAUCCAUCCUCAAUGUUGGUUCAUCUACUCUGCACACCUCUCAUAAUUCUUUUCAAUUGCGAAAUGUUUUACAUGUUCCCCACAUAACCCAUAAUCUUAUCUGCUUAUCAGUUUUGUUAAUGAUAAUAAUUGUUCAUUGACACUUGACCCUUAUGGAUCCUAUGUCAAGGAUCGUAUUUCGGGGAAGAUGCUUUUACGGGGACCGGUUAGAGAUGGCUUCUAUCCUCUUCAAAGUUCCAGCAAUCUUCAUCCUCUUUCACAUACCGCUUUACUUAGUAUUAAAGCUCCAGUUACAAUUUGGCACAAGCGUUUGGGUCACCCUUCCUCCUCCAUUUUUAGAAGGCUCCUUUCAUCCAAUAAUCUUGCUUUACAAGGCAAGUCUACUGUGGACUUUUUCUGUUCGGAUUGUGCUCUUGCCAAGAAUCAUAAGCUUCCAUUUAAAGCUGCUACUUCAUCAUCAACUCACAGCCUUCAACUACUGCACUGUGAUCUGUGGGGACCUGCCUCAAUCACAUCAAGUAGUGGUUUUCAAUAUUAUUUGCUCAUUGUUGAUGACUAUAGCAAAUAUAGUUGGUUCUUUCCUUUGAAAUCUAAGUCAGAUGUAUUUUCUACAUUUGUUGUCUUCAAAUCAUAUGUAGAAAAUUCACUUGGAAAUAAAAUAAAGGUUCUGCGUUCAGAUUCAGGGGGUGAAUUUACUAGUCACUCUUUUGCAUCAUAUCUCAGCAAACAUGGCAUUCUUCAUCAGUUCAGUUGUCCCCACACCCCUGAGCAAAAUGGUUGUGCAGAAAGAAAGCACAGGCACCUUGUUGAAAACAGCUCGCACUUUGCUUCUUGCAUUCUCAUGUCCCUCAUAUUUUCUGGGUUGAAGCAUUCUCCACUGCUAUCUAUCUUAUUAAUCGCCUUCCUAUUUCUGGCAUUUCACAGUCCCCUUGGCAGUUGCUAUUUCACAACCAUCCAGACUACUCUAAGCUCAAAGUAUUUGGUUGCCAAUGCUUUCCUUGGCUCAAACCUUACUUUCAUAGCAAAUUGGAUCCCAAGAGCAAAAAGUGUGUUUUCUUGGGGUAUAGUCUUCAACACAAAGGCUAUAGGUGCCUUGAUCCUAUCACCAAUCGCAUCUACAUCUCUCGUCAUGUCUGUAUUCGAUGAAAGUACUUAUCCAUUUCAGUUGUCCCACAUUCAACACUCUUUUCCUGUUCCAAGUCCUCCAUCUUCCUCACCAACAAUUUCUUCCUCUCUGGAUCUUCAUUUUUUAGCAAACACAUUCCUCCUGUUUUCAGUCAGCCAUCUACAUCACCAUUAUGUGCUUCUGUGCCUGUUCCUAUUUCUUCAUCUUCAUCUUCCCCUGCACCUGUCUCAGUUGGCUCUUCUUUCCAGUUUUGUUCCUCCUUCAGCACAUUCAUCUUUCUCCCAAAAUCAACAGAGUCAUCCUCCUGCCCCUGUUAAUUCUCAUCCAAUGAUUACUAGAUCCAAGGCUGGUAUACUCACGUCGAGAGCCUGUGCAGCAACUAAGCACCCACUUCCGGUUGAUAUGGAUUAUGUUCCUACAACAUACUUGCAAGCUUCUAAGCAUGCUCAUUGGAGGCAAGCUAUGCAAGAUGAAUUUAAUGCCUUGCUAACCACUGGUUACUUUGGUCUCUUGUUCCUUCUCACCAUUCUCAAAACUUAGUGGGCUGCAAGUGGGUUUUCCGGAUUAAGAAGAAGCCCGAUGGCACUGUUGACAGAUAUAAAGCCCGGCUUGUGGCCAAGGGUUUUCAUCAACAAGAAGGUAUUGACUUUUCAAGAAAACCUUCAGUCCAGUUGCCAAACCGGUUACAAUUCGGAUCCUUCUUACCCUUUGCUGUGCAAUAUAAUUGGUUUCUCAAUCAAUUGGACAUUAGUAAUGCCUUUCUUCAUGGAGACUUAAAGAGAGGAUGUCUACAUGCAACAACCCCCUGGUUUUGUUGAUCCCUUUACCCUACAUUUUGUAAGUUGAGGAAAUCGUUGUAUGGUCUCAAACAAGCUCCUCGAGCUUGGUUUGAUAAACUGUUCCAAGCUCUUCCUCUCUUGGAUUCACCCAAUCAUCCUCAGAUGCUUCUUUAUUUGUUCUCAAUGGUCCUCAGUUUAGUCAUUGUCCUUGUCUAUGUUGAUGACAUUCUUGUCACCGGACCCUAUCCUUACCUCUGUCAACACUUCAUUCAGCAACUUGGGGCUCAAUUUCCAGUAAAAGACCUUGGUCCUCUUCAUUAUUUCUUGGGAUUAGAAGUACAUCGAUCUUCCCAGGGUAUAUUUCUCCAUCAAACAAAGUACUUAUUGGAUCUUCUCAAGAAAACAAAUAUGGAGGGUGCAAAACCUUGUUGUACUCCCCUUGGCUCUAAGAAAUUAGAUCACAGUGGCCCUCUUCUGUCCAAUCCUACUGAAUAUCGCUCCAUUGUUGGUGGUUUACAAUAUCUUACUUGGACUAGACCCGACCUUGCUUUUGCUGUGAACCAAAUCUGCCAAUUCAUGCAUGCUCCCAGGGAACAACAUCUCCAGGCAGCAAAAAGGGUUCUCAGAUUUCUCAAAGGCUCUAUCUCACAUGGUGUGUGGUUCACUAAAGGCCCUGUCCAUCUUUCUGCCUACUCGGAUGCCGACUGGGCUGGUUGCACAAUUGACAGGAGAUCAACCACUGGUUAUUGUGUAUUUUUGGGUUCCAAUCUUAUCAGCUGGAGUGCCAAGAAGCAAAGUACUGUUGCCAAGGUCCUCUACAGAGGCUGAAUAUCGCUCCUUAGCUCACACAGCUGCUGAGAUAACUUGGGUUUGCAGAUUCUCAAAGAUCUGCACUAUCCUCUCUCUUACAUUCCCUACUUUUGGUGUGACAACAUAUCAGCAAUAUCUUUAGCAUCUAAUCCUGUCUUUCAUGCUCGAACAAAGCAUGUUGAGAUCGAUUAUCNGAAGUUUUCUGUUUUCUACAUGGUAUCACGCCAUUCCGCUUCACAGCUUCGAUCUUUCUCUUCGCUUGCUGCAUCGAUCGACUCUUGAUCGAUUUUUCUUCUCUGAUCUUCUCUUCGCUUGCUGCAUCGAUCGACUCAUGAUCGAUUUUUCUUCUCUGAUCGUCACUUCUUCCCUUCCGAUCUUGUAGUAUUUCUUGAUUUCUGUCAGUAAUGGCGGCUCAAUCGACUGGUUCAUCUUCUCCGGUCAUCUCCCCCUCGAGCCCAAACCCUAAUUUCUCUGGAAACCCUAAUUCCUCUGGAAAUCCGAGUCCUCUGGACUUCCUACACUUCUCUCACAAUUCAUAACAUCGGCAGCAUGGUGCCGAUCAAGCUCAAAAGAUCCAAUUACCUACCAUGGCGCGGCCCUGUUUGGCCCGAUUUUCCGGCGAUACAAGCUUCUUGGAGUAAUCGAUGGUACUGACGUCUGUCCAUCGCCAUUUCUGCCUGAUCGUAGCAUCAAUCCUGCUUUUGAGGACUGGUAUGAGAAAGAUCAAAAUCUUUUGAUCUGGUUGAAUUCCACACUUUCUGAGGAAAUCAUCCCGUUCACGGUUGGGGUUUCAUCCUCUCGAGAACUUUGGGUAAAGCUUGAACACAGCGCUUUGGUGGAAUUUCAGAGGCUCAUAUCCAUCAGUUGCGAUCGCGCCUUCAAUCUGUUCAGAAAGGAUCGCGUUCUAUCUCUGACUAUCUUCAAGAACUCAAGGAAAUUUCAGAUUCUCUGCAAGCUGCUGGUGCUUCUGUCUCUGAUCGAGAUCUUAUCGCCGCCACACUACAUGGCUUGCCUGAUGAAUUUGAGUCUUUCAUCGACUGUAUCAUGCUCCGAUUGUCCUCUACCUCUCUUGAUGAACUUCAUGGCCUCCUUCUCACAAAGGAAUUGUCUAUGGCCAGACGCAAAAACUGUCAGUUCAUCUUCCUGUCCCUGAAUCUUUUCAGGCUUUCUCGGUGCAGUCUCAGCCUCAUCUCCUUCCUACUCCAUCUGCUUUUGCUGCUCAGAAUCUCCCUCUUCAAUCUGCAUCUCGGUUCAACUCUAAUCGUGGCAGGAACACUAAGGGCCAGUUCUUUUCCAAUCGAGGUCAUCGAGGUAAUCGUGGUAAUUUUCCUAAUAACCGUGGCAAUCGAGGUUAUCAAGGAUUUCGCAGCAAUCAAGGCUCUUCUCACUUCAAAGUGCUUUGUCAAAUCUGUGGUUCUACCAGUCAUGAGGCUAUUGACUGCUUUGAUCGUAUGAAUCCUGACAUCUGUGGUCGUAUUCCUCCAGCUAAGCUUGCUGCCAUGUGUGCACAACAUUCUGCUAAACCAUCUCAGCCUUGGUUAAUUGAUUCAGGGGCAACCUCUCAUAUCACUAAUGAUGUUGCUAACCUCACCUCUCCUACUCCCUACACUGGCGAGGAUAAAGUGUAUAUUGGAGAUGGUAAAGGUUUAUCCAUCCUCAAUGUUGGUUCAUCUACUCUGCACACCUCUCAUAAUUCUUUUCAAUUGCGAAAUGUUUUACAUGUUCCCCACAUAACCCAUAAUCUCUUAUCUGCUUAUCAGUUUGUUAAUGAUAAUAAUUGUUCAUUGACACUUGACCCUUAUGGAUCCUAUGUCAAGGAUCGUAUUUCGGGGAAGAUGCUUUUACGGGGACCGGUUAGAGAUGGCUUCUAUCCUCUUCAAAGUUCCAGCAAUCUUCAUCCUCUUUCACAUACCGCUUUACUUAGUAUUAAAGCUCCAGUUACAAUUUGGCACAAGCGUUUGGGUCACCCUUCCUCCUCCAUUUUUAGAAGGCUCCUUUCAUCCAAUAAUCUUGCUUUACAAGGCAAGUCUACUGUGGACUUUUUCUGUUCGGAUUGUGCUCUUGCCAAGAAUCAUAAGCUUCCAUUUAAAGCUGCUACUUCAUCAUCAACUCACAGCCUUCAACUACUGCACUGUGAUCUGUGGGGACCUGCCUCAAUCACAUCAAGUAGUGGUUUUCAAUAUUUAUUUGCUCAUUGUUGAUGACUAUAGCAAAUAUAGUUGGUUCUUUCCUUUGAAAUCUAAGUCAGAUGUAUUUUCUACAUUUGUUGUCUUCAAAUCAUAUGUAGAAAAUUCACUUGGAAAUAAAAUAAAGGUUCUGCGUUCAGAUUCAGGGGGUGAAUUUACUAGUCACUCUUUUGCAUCAUAUCUCAGCAAACAUGGCAUUCUUCAUCAGUUCAGUUGUCCCCACACCCCUGAGCAAAAUGGUUGUGCAGAAAGAAAGCACAGGCACCUUGUUGAAACAGCUCGCACUUUGCUUCUUGCAUCUCAUGUCCCUCAUAUUUUCUGGGUUGAAGCAUUCUCCACUGCUAUCUAUCUUAUUAAUCGCCUUCCUAUUUCUGGCAUUUCACAGUCCCCUUGGCAGUUGCUAUUUCACAACCAUCCAGACUACUCUAAGCUCAAAGUAUUUGGUUGCCAAUGCUUUCCUUGGCUCAAACCUUACUUUCAUAGCAAAUUGGAUCCCAAGAGCAAAAAGUGUGUUUUCUUGGGGUAUAGUCUUCAACACAAAGGCUAUAGGUGCCUUGAUCCUAUCACCAAUCGCAUCUACAUCUCUCGUCAUGUUGUAUUCGAUGAAAGUACUUAUCCAUUUCAGUUGUCCCACAUUCAACACUCUUUUCCUGUUCCAAGUCCUCCAUCUUCCUCACCAACAAUUUCUUCCUCUCUGGAUCUUCAUUUUAGCAAACACAUUCCUCCUGUUUUCAGUCAGCCAUCUACAUCACCAUUAUGUGCUUCUGUGCCUGUUCCUAUUUCUUCAUCUUCAUCUUCCCCUGCACCUGUCUCAGUUGGCUCUUCUUCCAGUUUUGUUCCUCCUUCAGCACAUUCAUCUUUCUCCCAAAAUCAACAGAGUCAUCCUCCUGCCCCUGUUAAUUCUCAUCCAAUGAUUACUAGAUCCAAGGCUGGUAUACUCACGUCGAGAGCCUGUGCAGCAACUAAGCACCCACUUCCGGUUGAUAUGGAUUAUGUUCCUACAACAUACUUUGCAAGCUUCUAAAGCAUGCUCAUUGGAGGCAAGCUAUGCAAGAUGAAUUUAAUGCCUUGCUAACCACUGGUUACUUGGUCUCUUGUUCCUUCUCACCAUUCUCAAAACUUAGUGGGCUGCAAGUGGGUUUUCCGGAUUAAGAAGAAGCCCGAUGGCACUGUUGACAGAUAUAAAGCCCGGCUUGUGGCCAAGGGUUUUCAUCAACAAGAAGGUAUUGACUUUCAAGAAAACCUUCAGUCCAGUUGCCAAACCGGUUACAAUUCGGAUCCUUCUUACCCUUGCUGUGCAAUAUAAUUGGUUUCUCAAUCAAUUGGACAUUAGUAAUGCCUUUCUUCAUGGAGACUUAAAGGAGGAUGUCUACAUGCAACAACCCCCUGGUUUUGUUGAUCCCUUACACCCUACAUCUGUUUGUAAGUUGAGGAAAUCGUUGUAUGGUCUCAAACAAGCUCCUCGAGCUUGGUUUGAUAAACUGUUCCAAGCUCUUCACUCUCUUGGAUUCACCCAAUCAUCCUCAGAUGCUUCUUUAUUUGUUCUCAAUGGUCCUCAGUUUAGUCAUUGUCCUUGUCUAUGUUGAUGACAUUCUUGUCACCGGACCCUAUCCUUACCUCUGUCAACACUUCAUUCAGCAACUUGGGGCUCAAUUUCCAGUAAAAGACCUUGGUCCUCUUCAUUAUUUCUUGGGAUUAGAAGUACAUCGAUCUUCCCAGGGUAUAUUUCUCCAUCAAACAAAGUACUUAUUGGAUCUUCUCAAGAAAACAAAUAUGGAGGGUGCAAAACCUUGUUGUACUCCCCUUGGCUCUAAGAAAUUAGAUCACAGUGGCCCUCUUCUGUCCAAUCCUACUGAAUAUCGCUCCAUUGUUGGUGGUUUACAAUAUCUUACUUGGACUAGACCCGACCUUUGCUUUUGCUGUGAACCAAAUCUGCCAAUUCAUGCAUGCUCCCAGGGAACAACAUCUCCAGGCAGCAAAAAGGGUUCUCAGAUUUCUCAAAGGCUCUAUCUCACAUGGUGUGUGGUUCACUAAAGGCCCUGUCCAUCUUUCUGCCUACUCGGAUGCCGACUGGGCUGGUUGCACAAUUGACAGGAGAUCAACCACUGGUUAUUGUGUAUUUUUGGGUUCCAAUCUUAUCAGCUGGAGUGCCAAGAAGCAAAGUACUGUUGCAAGGUCCUCUACAGAGGCUGAAUAUCGCUCCUUAGCUCACACAGCUGCUGAGAUAACUUGGGUUUGCAAGAUUCUCAAAGAUCUGCACUAUCCUCUCUCUACAUUCCCUACUCUUUGGUGUGACAACAUAUCAGCAAUAUCUUUAGCAUCUAAUCCUGUCUUUCAUGCUCGAACAAAGCAUGUUGAGAUCGAUUAUCACUAUAUUAGAGAAUUGGUUUUGGCUCAACUUCUCAAAGUCAAGUUCAUCUGCAGUGAAGACCAAUUAGCUGAUCUUCACACCAAGUCUCUGUCUAAAACCAGAUUUAAUUAUCUGUGUUCCAAGCUUCCCAUUGGUCUCAUUUCUGAUCCCCCUUCUCGCUUGAGGGGGUGUAUUAGGGAGAAUGACAAGUCAUCCAAGUCUGCUACUGUUAAUAAUUCUGUUACUGUAAAUUAACUGAUUGUAUUAGUUGUGAUUAGUUAAGAUAGUUAUAAAGUAGUUAGGGGUAUCUAUGUAAAUAGCCAAAGGCUAUAUAUAUUCCUACACAAUGUGUAAAGUUCUCAGUCAAGUAAAUACAAUCAAGAAAACUUACUGUUGAAGUUUUCUGUUUCUACAGGUUUUGGAUUGGAGGAGUUGACACAAAAUUAUAAAUAUAUUAAACAAAUUUAUCUAUUCUAAAGUUGGAGGGAAAUUGGCCUGUACAUUGCUACAGUAAUUUUUUUUUACCCAAUUUCACGUUAUUUACAACAAAGCUAUCAGAUUUGGGUUGGGUUGGAGGGUAAUUUGUUAAAAGUUAGGAGGGUAAUUUUGUGCAUAGGGUUUAGGUGCCCUCCUAUACAUGACCCUUGAUUUUACUUUAUUUACACCACUGCCAUCAAAUAUGUGGCUGAAUUGGAGGGUAUUAUUAAAAGUUAGGAGGGUAGUUUGUUCAAGGGGUGAGGGCGACAUUCGCAGACAGAGAGCGAUGGGAGCCAUGGCCAUUGCACAGAGAGAAAGGGAGUGAUGGGGGAAAUUACAGACAGAAAAGGAAGGGAUGGGGGGGAUUUGAUGGAUGGUCACAGAGAGAGAUUGGGUGAGGGAUGUGAGAGGAGAUUACAGAGAGAUAAAUAAAAGGGAGGGAUCGGGGGAUGUGAGGGAUGGUCAGGGAGAGAAAUAGUGAGGGAGGGAGGGAUGGGGGGGCUGAUUUUCGGUUCCUCCUUCCAGAUUUGUUCCGUAAAAACCUGUUGGGUAGAAUUCAAUUUCCUCCCCCUUUCCCCUGAACGAAAAAUUCGAAACCUACAACUCAAAACUCACUCAUUUGUCGUCCCUCCUUGGCUUUCCGCUUUACUCAUCUCCCGGUGGUUCUCUCUCCAUACGAUUCCAUUUCGGUGAGUUCUUCGUUGCCCUCAUGAUUUCCCACUUUUAUUUUUGGGGCGUCCUUAGUCGUCGUUUUUAUCUGGGUUUACUGCAUUGUUGCUUUUAGUUUCUGGAUUUUUAUUUUUUUGGCACUUGGAUGAAUCGUGGUUAAUAAUUUCACAUCAUGGGAUUUUCGCACUUCUGAUGGAAUUGAGCGCGGGGAUUCGGGGUGGGGUUUUACUGAUAAUUUGUCUUCAUUCAAACGAAGGGUUAAAAUUUAUGAGUAUUAACAAAUUUUGUAAAUUAUUCUUAUACAUUUUAUUGAGGGAUCUAAUCGAUUUCUUUCUGUAGUGGGAUUGAAAUUGGGGCUUUGUGGUACUCUCUCUCGCUCACUCUCUCUCCUAUGUGUAUGAAUUGAGUUCUGCAGUGAGUUUGCAGGUGGGCGCGUUCACUAACUAAGCUUUCAAGGGAACCGAUCAACGGUUUGCUUGCUGGGGGAAUUCGGAGACUACCAGUGUAUGAUUUAGUUAUCAUUAAUUUUUUUACUUAAUUUUAUCCAUAUAUAAUAUGUGGGUAAAUUUAGAGGUCGCACUUGGUGCGAUGGCAAGUUCCUUCGCCCAUGAGCGGUAGGUCUCGGGUUCGAGACUUGGGAGCAGCCUCUCCAUAAAUGGGGGUAAGGCUAGCCGACAUUUACCUCUCCCAGACCCUGCGUAAAGCGGGAGCCUUGUGCACUGGGUACGAUCUUUUAUAAUAUGUGGGUAAAUUUAUACUAAACAAUUGUGAUAAGCCAAUAUGCUAUACGACUUUGAAAGCAUUGAUUUUGUGUUUAGUUUGCAUUUUUGCAUUGUGAAUGUUGAAUUUUGUGUUUAAUUUGGAUUUUUGUGUUUGAAUUUGUAGCAUGAUCUUCCGCUGCAGCAUCCAAAUUUUGCAUUUGUAAAUUGUCAAAGAAAAACGAAGUAUGAGGAAAUUAUAGGAGAUUGUGUCGGCUUUGGCCAUGAAGGGUAUCAGCAGCUUGUUCCCCCAUACAGGUGAUUAAUCGCAGUCUGUUCUAUUUGGAUGAGAAAGUGAUUGAAAAAUAUGAUUUUUUAUUUGUUGGUUGAUUUUGUAUAACUCCGCCGUGUAAGUUUAUCUUACAUUGCCGGUCCCAAGCCCGGAUAAAGGAGGAGGGGGAGGGCGUCAGGUAGUCGACAGCUGGCACUCCAUGAUCACGUCGAAUCCUUAUGAAAAUGAAUCCAGAACGAAAUCGCGCUAAAGCUAGGGCGUCACCCAUAAGUGGCGCGCUGUGUGGCCCGAGCACAGUGAUAAGUGAGCAAGGGUCGUUGUAUCUCCAUCGGCACCCGGAUGCAGUGUUAAAUGAGCAAGGGGCUAUAGAAACUUCUUUUCGAACGACUCCACUCAAAGUUGUUUGGGAGCAUAUGCUCCUAUCAACUUUACACGGGACACACAAAAGAAGUACUUUGAUCCUAUUAGACGGGGAAGGGUGAAGAAGCUAGGACAGAAGGGUAGAGUUCAAGAGAGCAAAAUGCGUUUAGGAACGUGGAAUAUAGGAACCUUGAACGGGAAAAUCUAUGGAAGUAGUAGAAGUUAUGGUGAGGAGAAGGAUAAAUAUUAUGUGCCUACAAGAAACUAAGUGGGUUGGUCGUAAGGCAAAGGAUCUAGAAAACUCAGGGUUUAAACUAUGGUAUUCGGGCACAAAUAGAACGAGAAACGGUGUUGGCAUCAUCGUGGACAAGACCUUGACACAAGAUGUUGUAGAUGUCAAGAGGGUAGGAGAUAGAAUCAUGGCAAUCAAGAUUGUAAUAGGACAAGAACUUAUCAAUGUGAUUAGUGCGUACGCACCUCAAGUAGGGUUGGAUACGAGUUCGAAGGAGAAAUUUUGGGAAGACCUUGGAGACUUGGUGCAAGGAAUUGCUCAGACGGAGAAGUUAUUUAUAGGAGGAGAUUUAAAUGGACACGUGGGCAGGGAGACAGGCAACUAUGGAGGUUUUCAUGGUGGCCAUGGUUUUGGGGAGAGAAACGAGGAUGGGGAAGCUAUCUUGGAUUUUGCAAUGGCAUAUGAUCUCUUCUUAGCCAACACCUUCUUUAAGAAGAGAGAAGAACAUGUGAUCACCUACAAGAGUGGGUCGUCAAAAACACAAAUAGAUUUUCUUCUAAUGAGGAAAGGGGAUCGUAUAACUUGUAAGGAUUGCAAAGUUAUACCAGGAGAGAGCGUGGCUAAUCAACAUCGCUUGUUGGUGAUGGAUGUACAUAUCAAAAGAGUGAGAAAAAAGAACAAGACUUGGAAGUGCCCAAGGACUAGAUGGUGGAAUCUAAAAGAAGAAAAACAAGCCAUUUUCAAAGAGAAAGUAAUCACCCAGUGUGUGUGGGAUAGAGAGGGGGAAGCUAACCAAAUGUGGGAUUCCAUGGCUAGUUGUAUCCGAAAAGUAGCAAAAGAGGUAUUAGGAGAGUCCAAGGGCUUUGCCCCACACCAAAAGGAAUCUUGGUGGUGGAAUGAGGAGGUACAAACAAAGGUGAAGGCUAAGAAGGAAUGUUGUAAAGCCUUAUACAAGGAUAGGACCGAUGAAAAUGGUGAAAGGUAUAGAAAAGCGAAGCAAGAGGCGAAGAAAGCUGUGAGAGAAGCUAAGUUAGCGGCUUAUGACGAUAUGUAUAAGCGACUAGAUACCAAAGAAGGAGAGUUGGAUAUCUAUAAACUAGCUAGAGCAAGGGAAAAGAAGACAAGGGACCUAAACCAAGUGAGGUGCAUCAAGGAUGAGGAUGGAAAGGUUCUUGCUACAGAGAACGCGGUUAAAGACAGAUGGAAAGGUUAUUUUCAUAAUCUUUUCAAUGAAGGACAUGAAAGGAGUGCUUCUUUAGGGGAGUUGAGUAACUCAGAAGAGUGUAGAAACUACUCUUUUUAUCGUAGAAUCCGGAAGGAAGAAGUGGUUGUAGCUUUGAAGAAGAUGAAGCAUAGAAAAGCAGUAGGCCCAGACGAUAUACCAAUCGAAGUGUGGAAAGUUUUGGGAGAGACAGGUAUAACAUGGCUCACUGACCUUUUCAAUAGGAUUUUGAAAACGAAGAAGAUGCCAAAUGAGUGGCGAACGAGCACUUUGGUGCCUAUCUACAAGAAUAAGGGCGAUGUACAAAAUUGCAUGAACUAUAGGGGUAUUAAGCUAAUGAGUCAUACAAUGAAGCUCUGGGAGAGAGUCAUUGAGCAUAGAUUGAGGCAAGAGACACGGGUUUCGGACAACCAAUUCGGGUUCAUGCCAGGGCGCUCAACCAUGGAGGCAAUCUAUCUCUUACGAAGAUUGAUGGAAAGAUAUAGAGAUGGGAAAAAGGAUUUACACAUGGUCUUUAUAGAUUUGGAAAAAGCGUAUGAUAGGGUCCCAAGAGACAUUCUUUGGAGGAUUUUAGAGAAGAAAGGAGUACGAGUAGCAUAUAUCCAAGCUAUACAGGAUAUGUAUGAAGGAGCAAAGACUGCCGUAAGAACUCAUGAAGGACAAACCGAAAGCUUUCCCAUAACUGUAGGAUUACAUCAAGGCUCAUCCUUAAGUCCUUACCUUUUUGCGUUGGUAAUGGAUGAGUUAACAGGACAUAUUCAAGAUGAUAUUCCUUGGUGUAUGCUUUUCGCAGACGAUAUAGUGUUGAUAGAUGAAACUCAGGAAGGGGUAAAUGCAAAGCUUAACCUUUGGAGAGAAGUGUUGGAAUCUAAAGGUCUUCGCCUAAGCCGAUCAAAGACAGAAUAUAUGGAGUGCAAGUUCAGUGCAAAUGGAGGCCAAAACGAGUUAGGGGUGAGGAUCGGAGAUCAAGAAAAUACCAAAGAGCGACCGUUUUCGUUACCUAGGAUCUAUCUUGCAAAAGAACGGAGAAUUAGAUGGAGAUCUCAACCAUAGAAUACAAGCUGGAUGGAUGAAGUGGAAGAGUGCAUCCGGCGUGUUGUGUGACCGCCGUAUGCCACUGAAGCUCAAGGGAAAAUUUUAUAGGACGGCAAUAAGGCCGGCGAUGCUGUAUGGCACAGAAUGUUGGGCGGUGAAGCAUCAACACGUACACAAAAUGGGUGUAGCGGAGAUGAGGAUGCUUCGUUGGAUGUGUGGGCACACGAGAAAGGAUAAGAUUAGGAAUGAGGAUAUCCGGGGUAAAGUAGGAGUAGCCGAAAUUGAAGGAAAGAUGAGAGAAAAUCGGUUACGGUGGUUUGGACAUGUGCAAAGAAGGCCUACUGACGCUCCGAUUAGAAGAUGCGACUAUGGGACAGAGGUUCAGGGCCGAAGGGGUAGAGGAAGACCUAGGAAAACUUUGGAAGAGACCCUAAGAAAAGACUUAGAGUACUUGGAUCUAACGGAGGACAUGACACAGGACAGAACACAAUGGCGUUCUAAGAUUCAUAUAGCCGAUCCCACUCAGUGACUUGGAUUUUCCAAGUCUCCAACCGAGAAGUUUUCCUCACUCGGGAAAUUAAGGGAACACUACCUCAACCUACAUGCUCCACUCACAAAGCUUCAACAUACAAGCUUCAACAAAAGAAAAUUCAAAGAACUUAGCGAAGAAGGCUUUGGUGUAUUUAACACAAUACGUUGAAAUGAAGGAAAGCUUAUUUAUUGAUAUCCCCGAUAAGUUACAAAUAUGUACAUAUACUUGAGUCAAAAUAAACAAACAAGAGGGAGCCUUCACAAAGGUUGCUUAGGAGAAGUCUCAGCAGUCGGUAGAGCCCCAGAAAGAGAAGGCACCGGAGGGGGAUCAUUCGGAGCCUCAGUACUGGACAGAACCCUAGAAGGAGGAGGCAUCAGAGGUUGAUCAUUUGGAGCUUCAUUACGCGGUACAGCCCCAGAAGACGAAGGCAAUAAAUGCCUUUGGAACAAACCCACAAAUCUCUGAUGAUCAAGUAAAACCUGACCAUCAGAUUCCUUCAUCUGGUCAAGCUUCCUCUUCAUGUUUGUAGCAUAGUCAUGUGCGAGCCGGUGCAACUGUUUAUUCUCAUGCUUGAGCCCUCUAAUCUCCUGUUUGAGACUCAUCACUUCAGCCGCCAAUGAUUCAACUUGGCGGGUUCGAGCAAAUAGGCGUUGGGCCAUAUUAGACACAGAACCUGCACACUGAACACUGAGAGCCAGAGAAUCCUUAACAGCCAACUCAUCAGACCGUUUGGAAAGUAGUCUGUUAUCUUUGGGAGUGAGAAGGUUCCUGGCCACUACCGCAGCGGUCAUAUCAUUCUUCAUCACGGAAUCCCCAACGGUAAGAGGACCAGUAGGGGAGACGAAGGAUGGGCGCCAUAUGUUGUCUGGAGAAGGCGGGGCUGCCUCUUCAACAAGGUUCAAGUCAAAACGACGGUCGGAGGGGCCAGACAUUUUCAAAGGUGUUGAAGAGAGAAGAGGUCGGACAAAUCAAGAUCUUAGAAGUGCAAGAAUGGAGCUUCUACUGGUGGAUAUUCAAGUGUGCUUUGGAACUUAAUGUCAGCCCCUAUAAAAAUCUGCACUCGACGAAGCUUCAGAAAUCGAAGAGGCGCCUGCUCAGAAAUCGAAGAGGCGUUUGCUUUCUCAAAAGCUGGGCUGCUCAGAGACCACGAGGGUCGAUCUCAGAAAUCGAAGAGGCGUUUGCUUUCUCAAAAGCUGGGCUGCUCAAAGACCACGAAGGCCGAUCUCAGAAAUCGAAGAGGCUUGCUUUCUCAAAAGCUGGGCUGCUCAGAGACCACGAGGGCCGAUCUCAGAAAUCGAAGAGGCACCUACUUUUCCAGCCUUGUCAGCACCUGUCACACGCACACUCAGCUUUGCGGAAAUUAUGGGCAUUCUGUCGAAGAUUUCUGGCGAAGUAGAAAGCACAUGAAUCGUACUGUUCAAUCACCCACUUCCCACACGCAACAGUAGCUCAUGGGUACCACAGAUAACUUUGCCAAAGUUCUCUGACAAAGUUGAGACACGUGAAGCUUGCAGCUCCCACUACAUCGCUCUGACCAAGAAGGGUAAAAGAAUUAGCAAAGAAACAACACUAACAAAGUUUAGACACAUAAAUUUUGAAGGUCUAGCUACCAUAUUAUUACCCACAAGGGUAAAGGAACAGUACCACUGCUGGAUAAUUGGAAAGUCCCGGUGUGUCAACCUCUGUGCUUCGUGGCAAGGUAGACUAGCAAACAUGCCCAACCUUUACUCACAUUCGAGAAAACACUCCCAACAAGAUUGCUUGCUCCAAAAUCGAAGAGGCACCGCCCUCCGAAUCUCGAGAGCCAGACUCCCAACAUGAUUACUUUCUCAAAAAUCGAAGAGAGGGUAAAGGAACAGUACCACUGCUGGAUAAUUGGAAAGUCCCUGUGUGUCAACCUCUGUGCUUCGUGGCAAGGUAGACUAGCAAACAUGCCCAACCUUUACUCACAUUCGAGAAAACACUCCCAACAAGAUUGCUUGCUCCAAAAUCGAAGAGGCACCGCCCCUCCGAAUCUCGAGAGCCAGACUCCCAACAUGAUUACUUUCUCAAAAAUCGAAGAGAGGGUAAAGGAACAGUACCACUGCUGGAUAAUUGGAAAGUCCCUGUGUGUCAACCUCUGUGCUUCGUGGCAAGGUAGACUAGCAAACAUGCCCAACCUUUACUCACAUUCGAGAAAACACUCCCAACAAGAUUGCUUGCUCCAAAAUCGAAGAGGCACCGCCCUCCGAAUCUCGAGAGCCAGACUCCCAACAUGAUUACUUUCUCAAAAAAUCGAAGAGACACCGCUCUCCGAAUCUCGAGAGCCAGACCCCCAGCAGGAUUGCUUUCUCAAAAAUCGAAGAGGCAUCGUUCUCCGAAUCUCGAGAGCCAGAUCCCCGACAGGAUUGCUUGUUCGAAAACCGAAGAGGCACCACUUUCCCAACUUCAAGAGCUGGAUCUCCUUGGAUAAAGCUUGUCUGUAAUCUUCACACGCAACAUCAGCUUUCCAGAUACCACAGACCACUUUUUCAAAGUGCUCUGACAGAGUUAAAACAUGUGAAGCUGGCAGCUCCCACUACCGUGCUAUGACCAAGCAGGGUAAAGGAAUAGCAUUAUUACUUGAUGUUAGGGAGACUCCUAUAUAUGUCGACCUCCAUCCCCAACGGACAGGCAGACCUGCAAAAAUGCUCAACCCUUCCUCUUAUCUGAGAGGGCACUCCCAACGAAGCCUUUCGAAAUAUUCAGCUUUCUUUCCCCCCGAUAAUACCUCUGUAAACAAGCUAUACUAGAGCAAGAAUAUCUCAUAUCAUCAGGGUUAAAAGCAAGAGUAUCCCAUAUCAUGCUUUUUCCCUGUCUUUUCCUUUGGCCUUGUUCUUACCUGCAAGACAAGGAGAAAGAGAGCAAUCAGUCAGCACUUGGAAUCAAGCUUCCAGCCAGGAACUGACUGCCUGGAACCCCUUACCUGAUUACUUACCUGGCAUUGCUCUCGAGUACUCAUCUUCAACAUCUUAUGCUUCCAGGGAAGAUACCGCAUCUGCCUGAGGAACAGAUAGGGCAAGUGAGAAGGAUACAAGGAAGCAUGUGGAGACAAGCGUAACAGCACACGUGCCGAUACAUCCAUUACUCUGUCAAAAGCAAAAGUAUCCCAUAUCAGCAGGGUCGAACGUACUCUAGAUUUGAUGGACUUGUUUUGACCCUCAAAUUCUUCAGUCGGCCUUAUACUCUGGAGGAAACCAGAAAACCCUCCAGCCCAGUUCAAGAAUAAGCCUGUGGAAAGUUACUUCUUCAAAAGCAAAAGUAUCCCAUAUCAUCUCUUCUCAUUUUUCUUCUCUUUAUCCUUCAUGCUGCCUGCAAGAUAGGGAGAAUGUGAACAAUCAGCCGGAGCUCUGAUUGCUUACCUUGUCUGUCACCUCUUUCAGCAGAUCCCCUAGCUCGGCGACUUGGGGGACUCCUACUACAUGGUUUGUAUCGCGCUUGACCAAGCCUGAAACUACAAGUAAGCUUCAAGUGACAAUUGAUACAUUACCUUGUGCAUCUCCACCAGUUACAGAUACCACCCCUGGAUGGAGGAAGAGUACUUCCAGAGAAGAUGCCACAUCUACCUAUGAGACAGAUAAGGAAAGUCAAGACGAUACCACACUCCGGUACUUAGAAGUUUCGUGGUUACGAGAUCAUUCUCCCACAAUAUUUCCUAAUGUCAUUUGUACUAAAUCAUUCACUUGUACUCACUAAAGGAGAGCUUGAACCUAUGUACUUGUGUAAACCCUUCACAAUUAAUGAGAACUCCUCUAUUCCGUGGACGUAGCCAAUCUGGGUGAACCACGUACAUCUUGUGUUUGCUUUCCUAUCUCUAUCCAUUUAUAUACUUAUCCACACACUAAUGACCGGAGCAAUCUAGCGAAGAUCACAAAAAAGUGACCGUUUUCGCUACCUAGGAUCUAUCUUGCAAGAGAACGGAGAAUUAGAUGGAGAUCUCAACCAUAGAAUACAAGCUGGAUGGAUGAAGUGUAAGAGUGCAUCCGGCGUGUUGUGUGACCGUCGUAGGCCACUGAAGCUCAAGGGAAAAUUUUAUAGGACGGCAAUAAGGCCAGCGAUGUUGUAUGGCACAGAAUGUUGGGCGGUGAAGCAUCAACACGUACACAAAAUGGGUGUAGCGGAGAUGAGGAUGCUUCGUGGGAUGUAUGGGCACACGAGAAAUGAUAAGAUUGGGAAUGAGGAUAUCCGAGGUAAAGUAGGAGUAGCCAAAAUUGAAGGAAAUAUGAGAGAAAAUCGGUUCUGGUGGUUUGGACAUAUGCAAAGAAGGCCUACUGACGCUCCGGUUCGAAAAUGUGACUACUGGACAGAGGUUCAGGACCGAAGGGGUAGAGGAAGACCUAGAAAAACUUUGGAAGAGACCCUAAGAAAAGACUUGAGUACUUGGAUCUAACGGAGGACAUGACACAAAACCGAGCGCAAUGGCGUUCUAGGAUUCAUAUAGCCGACCCCACUUAGUGGGAAAAGGCUUUGUUGUUGUUGUUGUUGGUUGAUUUUGUAUGGACGAUGUAUUAAUUUUUUUUUUUUUUUGGGAUUUUGUGUAUUGGGUAUUGUGUAGAACCAGCAAUGCAGGAUCUGAUCAGUCACGCCCGAAAAGGGGUUUGUUUCUCAAAUCACAUUAAUUAAUUAGAUUAUUAAUGUGCGUUGGAAGGCUCUUCAAUAUGAUUUCUAAUUUCUCCUUUCCAGCAUUCUCUUUUUGGUUUUUGGAGUAUGUAUGUGAUUUGUAUUUGAUUAUAGAAUAAAAAUUAAUAAAACACGAGAUGCAGCAAUUAAUUUGCAUCCUUAUGACAACACAUAUAUGAAAGUGCAUUCAAUUUCAAUGUGCGAAUGUGUGACAGGACAGGAUGUGCCUGCCUGCUGGUGGUGGUAUGCUUGCUGUUGUUUCUUGCGUUGUUAAUUUUUUGUGUGUUGAUUUGAUUAACAAUUCAAGCGUAUCUUAUUUUUUUUGUGUUGGUUAGCAGCCAGUUUUAUGGCCCCGAUCUAGUGAUGCUUCUCAGUGACUGGUAAUUGCAGUUCAUUGCCACCAGUUGGUCAGCUACCUGCUCUGAAAGAGCUCUACGUAGAAGGGAUGAAAGUUGUUAAGAGUGUUGGUGUUGAGUUGUACGGGGGAAAUCAACCAUUUCAAUGUUUAGAGAAGGUAAAGUUUCGGGAGAUGCCAGAGUGGGAGGAAUGGCAGCCUAGUCCAAGUGGAUGUGAAAGUCCAGACUUUCCUCAUCUUAAGGAGCUGAGGUUAUCCGAAUGUCCGAAGCUGAGAGGAAACUUGCCCACUCAUCUUCCCUCCUUGAAAACACUUUAUGUGAACAAGUGUGAGGUUCUACAUAAAAACAGGGCCAGUAAUACCCUGAACGUGGAAUCCUUACGAGGAUCUCUUGAAAAACUGACAAUAAAUGGAUGCCCGGGUCUCUCAUUGUUACUAGAGUCGAUGGAGACGCUGCCGUCGCUUCAGAAGCUUGAUAUUGAUAGUGUUGGUGGGAAAGAGUUGUUGGUGCAAAUGGUGCACAACAGCAAUCGUCUUCAAAGUUUUGACUUUAUAUAAAUGUUCCUCACCCUUGUCGUUCCCUACAAAUGGUCUGCCCACCACGCUGACGUCACCGAGCAUAACAGAUUGCAAGAAAUUAGAAUUCCUAUCACGUGAGAUGAUGGCCAAAUUGACUUCCCUUCAGUCUUUGCGUCUAUCCAACAGCUGUGAAUGCAAAGGCUUGAGUAAUUUUUGUGAGUCUGCUGUUUGGUUUUUUUUUCUUCAUUUUAGAGAUUUUUCUACUGUUUGGUUUUUGGGUUUUGUCUAAUUUUUGUGGUCUGCUUUAUAGAUUGUUCUCUUUGGAAGCUUCUUUCCAGCCUUGACCUUCUUCUUGCCUGGUGCCUUCUCAUUGAGUAUUGGAGGAGCAUUAAAACACAGGUGUGUGUGUUUUGUCGAUGUAAGAGAUGAACGACAUAAAAACAUCCGUCUUUGUAUUUUUUUGUGCUUUUUCUAACCCAUCAAUUUCUUUUGAGUCAACCAAAUAGUCCCAAAUUGCAACUUAUGUUGUGAGGUAUUAUUGUCUAAAAUUAAGUAUGCAUGUAUAUUUUAUGUUUGUGCGCGCGCACACCUCCGCAUGGUGUUAAUCUCUGUGGGUCAUCUAUGUAUAUGUAGACAUAUCUAUAUGUGUAUGUGUGGAAUGCAACAUAUCGGAUUUAGGUUAUACUGUGCAUAGUUUUAUUGCCUGUUAUUAUCUACGAUAUCACUAUGCCAUUUCUAUGCAGGCUCUGAAAGUUAUCCAUGAGCUUUAUAAGCACUUACCAUAAUUUAAGCAGUCUGUUUUGGGUUCUUUUUCAUUAGGUCAUUAGCUACAGAUUAAUGGAGAAACGAGGACCAUGCAACUGAUUUGGGUUCUUUUUCUAAUUUUCUGAUUUUGGGGUUUUGCAGGGAGUACUGAUGUACUGAUUUUCUGGGAUUUUUUUUGUCCUUGCAGGAUUUUUGGUCUUUGGAAUGGGUAUGUGUUGUUUUUAACGUUUCAGUUCUAGCUUGUUCCGUUCUUCGUUGCUUCGUGAUUCUCAUUUUUUAGUGUUGGGUGAUGGAAAUUUGUUCAAGUAGUUGGUAGUUUUUUUAGAAAGUUGGCAUUUUUAGUUAUAUUUUCUGUUUAAUCCUAAAUGUUAGACUGGAA
rnacentral:lncRNA from 1 species